AUCAAAAAGCUAGAUCUUUUUUGGGGUUUGGACUCGACAGCAACUUUUGGAAGCAGUCAGGUCAAGGAUUCCAAAAUUUACUGUUACUUAGGGUCUUAGAUUUGAGUUUAGAUUAUAAAAUAGACUCUAAAGGGUGGAGAAUACCUUCGAGCAUUGGAAAACUCAUUCAUUUGAGAUAUUUGAGCUUACAAAUGGGUUGGGCAACUCAUGUACCUUCUUCUUUACGGAAUCUAAAGCUUCUAAUCUAUUUGAGUAUUUACUCCCGGGAAAGAGUUCAUCUGCCAAGUAUCUUUAAAGAGAUGGUACAGUUGAGGUUCCUGCUGCUUCCCCCUUUUGUUGACGCUAAAACAAAGUUGGAAUUGGGUAAUCUAGUGAACCUGGAGUACUUGGGCUGGUUCCGAUCAGAAUACGGUAGCAUCACUGACUUCCUCCGAAUGAAAAAGCUCAGGACUCUCGAGAUAUUUCUCAAAGGCAGGUAUACUUCUGAAAUUCUAGCGUCAUCUCUCGGUGAAUUAACAAACCUGGAGGAGUUUAGAUUGAUCGAUGAGAACAACGAAUCCGAUGGGGCUUAUGAUUUGGAUUUCGUUUGUAAUUUCAUUAAGCUAAGGCAUUUAGUGAUAUGGAUGCAUAUGACAAGGCUUCCUGAUCACUCUCGAUUGCCUCCCAACCUUGCACACAUAUCUCUAACUAACUGUGAAAUGGAGGAGGAUCCACUGCAGAUUCUGGAAAAGUUGCUUCAUUUAAAGUCGGUUGAAUUAUCAAGUAAUGCUUUCGUGGGGAGGAAGAUGGUGUGUUCAAAAGGUGGAUUCCCUCAAUUAUCUAAGCUUGAAAUGUCGUACCUAGACGACUUGGAAGAGUGGAUAGUGGAAGAAGGGUCGAUGCCAUGUCUUCGUACCUUGUCUAUAUGGUAUUGUGAAAAGUUGAAGGAGCUACCGGAAGGGCUCAAGUAUAUCACUUCUUUAAAGGAACUGGAAAUCAUACAUAAGAAGAAGGAGUGGGAGACGAAACUCGUACCAGGUGGGGAAAGUUACCACAAAGUCCAACACAUUCCCAGUGUUCAAUUAGACUAUCGUGGCGACGAAUAAGGAGAAUACAACCGUCUCAGGUAUAUAUACUUUUGUUUGGUAUAAUGUCAAUAUUGUUCUCCAUGAAGUUUAGUGUGGAAGUCUCAACUAUCUAACCUUUUUAUUAUUCGGUUUUCAGGUGAACCUACUCAGAAUCAGUACCCACUUAUUGAUUCUGUGAUGUGAUAUAUGUCGUUUUUGUUGUAUUGGUGUGUGAAGUUUACAUAUCUUGUUUGUGAUAUAUUUCGUUUAUCUGUUUGCAUGCUCAUUCACUGUAAUGCUAAGUUUGGAAAUACAUUUGUAUAUCUUCUUCGAUUUCUCCGUUGUGUGUGCCUAGUUGACUUGUAUGGUCGGAAUUUGAGAUAGAACGGUGCUUUGAUAGUGAUCACUGAACAUCAUUCUUAACAUGAUUUUAUCAUUUGGUUUAAGGAAUGUCAAGAGCUUUUAAAUGAAACAUCUAGUUAAUCCGUUUUAACAGAUAUAGAACCUUGGAGUUUAUUGAAACCAAAGUCAAGAGUUUCUCACCACAAUGGGACUCUCCUCACAGUUGAUAUCAAUGGCGCAAUCAAAUCAUAUAUACAACACCUUAGAGGAUUCAAGAAAGUCUCUUGGUUCCAUUCCUUCGCGUCCUGGUUCGCUUUUUUCACUAUUCAAGUGAUCAGCACUUUUGAUUGAAAACUGAUACCACACAGCAUCCACUUGAAACUAAACAUAAAUAUACAACCAAACAGUUACGCAAUGAUAGCUCAACCAGACAGAACCGAACCGAAUCUUAGUUUUGCUUUCCAAAUUUUAAAUAACGGGAUAAACCGGUUGAUUCUCAUCCAGUUCUGUAAUUUGUCUGACACUACUCAAGUGAUCAGCACUUUUGAUUGAAAACUAAUAACACACAGCACCCACUUGAAAGUUGAAACUAAACGCAACUCAAUGAUAAACCGGGAUAAACCGGUUAGUUCUCAUCGAGUUCUGUAAUUUGUCUUUUACUAUCAAACCGGACAAAUUGAUGGUUUAAAAACAAAACUCAGUCUGGAUUAUAAUAAAAUCAGAUCAUGAAACUCUACCAAACAAGAGUCCUUUCGGUCUCUGCAAAUUUGUUUUCGACUCUAAUUGAGAGGAGGAGAAGUCCAGUACUUGAAACGAAUCCAAAAACGCGGUGAUCCGUGCGUUUUCAGACACCAUCGCGACCGUAUGCAUAACUGGGUUAGAGCUUCCUCAUCCGAUUUCACCGGAACUCCUCCACAGCCCAGGAGGUAAAUUAAUUACUUCUUCUCCAUUCAAUUUCCGAUUUUAAUUUCAGCUGAUGAUUUUUAUUCUUCAUCAGUGGACAUACAGCUGUCAAUGUCGGAAAAUCCAUGGUCGUGGUGUUCGGCGGCCUCGUCGACAAGAAGUUCCUCAACGACAUCAUUGUUUAUGACAUUGGUAAUAUUAUACUUCAGCCUAUGAUUAUUGAUUCCUUGAUCCAAAGAAAUGCUUUUUUUUUUUAAUUUCUCUUGAGUUACUGUCUUGGCUUGCUUUGUUUAUAAUGAAAGACUAGUGUUUCUGGUAGUUUAUUUGUCUGUUAAGCUUAGUUAGGCUGAUGCUUCCAUCAAAGAUAGUUACUUUGGAAAAAUUAUAGAAAACUGAAAACUUCACAAUGAAAUUAUUCGAUUCGGUGUUAGUUUUGUUGCUUAGCAUCUUUUGUCCCCUCCUUGGCAUUGUUUUAAUUAUCAUAUGGUCAGCUUUUUUAAUCAUGUGAGAAUCGGUUUGUCUUAUGAUUCGGUCGACUAGAGAACAAACUCUGGUUUGAGCCAGAAUGUACCGGCAGCGUGUCUGAAGGAAAAGUUGGUCCUACACCUCGCGCGUUUCAUAUUGCCAUCACUAUUGAUUGUCAUAUGUUCAUCUUUGGUGGACGUUCUGGUGGCAAGAGGUACUCACUACUAUUUAUUUUCUAGUUAUAAGCGUUUUUGCAUUCUUUUUUCAGUAACUUCUAUAAAUCAAUUUCAGGUUGGGUGACUUCUGGGUUCUAGAUACAGGUAAGUGUACAAUCAUAACAAUGUCACUGAGACCUGCCUGGAACUUUUUAAUACCCUGCUGCUGACAUUUUCUGCAGAUAUAUGGCAGUGGUCUGAGCUAACCAGCUUUGGCGACUUACCUACGCCUCGUGAUUUUUCUGCCGCCGCUGCUAUUGGGAACCAGAAAAUUGUGUUGUGAGUAUUCAGAAAUUUUAGACGUUCAUCAGCUUGUUGCAUGCAUUGGCGUAACCUAUGAUCAUUGGCAGGUGUGGCGGCUGGGAUGGUAAAAAAUGGCUGUCAGAUGUGUAUGUUAUGGACACAAGUAUAUCUCGCCUCUACUUCAGUUUUGUAAUAAAACUGUUUUUAAGUUUAUGAUAAUGUCAGCUUUCUUGGUGUCUGUUAGUGUCUCUUGAAUGGAUGGAGCUGUCGGUUUCGGGGUCGUUGCCGCCUCCUAGAUGUGGCCAUACAGCCACCAUGGUUGAGAAACGUUUACUUGUUUUUGGUGGCCGAGGUAUAACACCAGAACCAGAAUCUUUGUUCUGCUUGAGCUGAUGACAACUAAACUGAGACUAUGGUUAUCUUUGACAGGAGGUGGUGGCCCUAUCAUGGGUGAUCUGUGGGCUUUGAAGGGUCUAAUAGAUGAAGGUUCAUCCUUACCUAAAUUACUUAAAAAUUGCAUUGAAUUAUGUAGAGGAGUAUUCUCUUGAGUUGUCUUUCUUUCUUUUGUUCUGUUUGCUGAUCUUAUUGUGGGGUUUACCUUUGCUGUGGAAGAAAGAACGUGAAACACCUGGAUGGACCCAACUAAAGCUUCCUGGCCAAGCACCAUCAGCUCGAUGUGGUCACACUGUCACAUCCGGAGGACAUUAUGUAUGUCUUUUUCAGCUUCCGUUUGCUCUUUUGUAUAAAUAGGUUCGCAUGACAUACAUCACUCACAUCAUUAAUGUUCAUGUAUGAAGCUUCUGUUAUUUGGGGGACAUGGAACUGGUGGAUGGCUGAGUCGUUAUGAUGUAUAUUAUAAUGACACUAUAAUUUUAGACAGAGGUAAAUUCUUGCUUAUGAGAUUCGUCUCCUCUGCUAAAGGAGCACUCUAAAUCCAAAAAUCCACCUCAGUAAUUUACAAUCUAGUGAGAUGAUAAAAUUGUGAUGUGCUUUAUCAUUUUUCUUGCUGAGCAUUGUUUUCUACGCGUUGUUGCUAAAUUUAUAUUUUCACAUACUAGUAACUGCACAGUGGAAGCGCUUACCAAUAAGCAAUGAUGAACCUCCUCCUCCUCGAGCUUAUCACACCAUGACAAGUAUUGGAGCUCGUCAUCUUUUAAUUGGUGGUUUUGAUGGAAAAUCAACCUUCGGUGAUCUUUGGUGGUUGGUUCCUGAAGGUAUCUUUCUCUUAUUUAUACUGAUGUUUUAGUCCAACUUAGCUAUCAUUCUGUGUACACGCAUCAUCAGUUACUUAUAGUUGGAAACUCUUUAGACGAACUAAUCUUGGUGUUGGUCGCAGAUUGUAGGCAAUUUUAGAGACACUUAAUUUCUAGCAUAAUCUUUUUUUUCUUCUUUAUCAAGUUUGUAUUGAAAGUUUUGAAGUUUUACUGAACUGUUUAGCCUUCUGAAAAUGUUGUUAUUCGUUUUUUUCUUUUUCUCUUUUCUCAGAUGAUCCGAUAGCCAAGAGGUCUUCUGUACCUCAACUUAGAAACCCUCCUGAGACUAAAGAGUCAGAGAGAGAUUUGGAUACGGUAACUGUGGUUCCUGCUCAUCAUCUUAUGUGUUUCUCGCCAAUGCAGUUAAAUUAGCUUUUCAACUUGUUUUAACACCAAGAGUUUGGUCACAGCAGGAAAGAGGACAAGAGGGAUUCACUAUCGUCGACUUGCAAAAGAAAAUGGGAAUCUCUGUUUCUUCAGGGUUACGCCUUCAAAUACCCGAGGAGUUAGAAGAUCAAGAGUUCGUUGAGUUAGGAACCAGAUUGAUUGAGGGAGAUGCAGUUGAUAAUGGAGCCUCCAUGAUUCAGGUGAGUUUUUCCUCUUGUCUAUUUUAGAAUGUGUGAUUGUGUUAUUCUUGUACUGAAAAUGCUUCUCAAUGAAAAGAUGGCAGCUGAAGCACUUCGUCAACAUUGGAAAGAGUCCACUCCAGAGACUUUGCAAUUAAAGGAGCUUGGUUCCUUGCUUCGAGAUUAUCAGCGACUGGUUACCCGAAAAUACACGUGAGUUCUUAUCCAUGCCUAACUAUUUCAGACUCAGUUCUUGUUUAUGUAGAUUAUCUUUUGUUUCACUAAAAAUGGUUGUUCUUUGAUUGCGCUUGGAAUCACCACAUGGCAUUAGAAUAACUUAGAUAAAUCUCCUGAGAGUUUAGGAGUCAUAUAGAGUUAAUAUGAAUAUAUCAUUUUUGUGUCUUGAAUAGCCCUCGAGACUCUUUAAUCCGAGCAUAUUGUCAAAACUGAUAAUGUUGUGAAUGCAUUGUUUUGUGCCCCUACUAUUACAUGUUAUGAAAUCUCACAUCUGCGUCUUCCUUUCCUUGACACAUGUUUCUUUUCAUUUGUUGUGGCGGGUUUCUAUCAGAGCACAGAGCAGCUUAACAUCUGCUGAUUUUGGAAAGAAGACCUUUACGUUUUAUCAUAUCAAAAAUUCUUCCGAGGUAUUACUCUGCAUACUUUCCUCCCUCGCCUGAAUAUUUGACACCAAUCAAUCAAAACAUCAGGCUUUCCUCCUGACAUGUCAAGUUUACAUUUUGCUAUUCUCAGUUGCGGAUGGAUGACAUUCCGGAGUUGCUGGAAGAAUACAAAACCCUUGUAAUCUGAUUGAGGAGCUCUGCCAUGAAACUCACAAGGAGAAUACAAAACUCAUCAAGUAGCUGCCAAGAAGAUCACUGAUAUUACGUGUAUACGCACACCAAGUAACCUAAUGUGCACACUACCACAAUCGAAUGGUAUGUCGAUGUAUCACUUUAGGAUCGAAUCCACAGAGACCAACUAUUACACUUUAUCUUUAUGGGAUCAAUAUCAAGCUAAAACAAUAUGGGGGUUUUAAAGUUGAUUUCGUAACAAGCAAGUAAAAAGAUUAAUUAAAGAUUUCAGAUGAUUAAAAUGCUAGCCUAGGGUGGUUUGGUCGGGUGUUAAGCAAGUGUGAGCCAAACAAUUAUUCAAGUUCAAUUAAGAGCAAGUCUAGAACUCGGAUCACUCAAAUAGAACAAUCCACUGUCGUGGUACUGCCCCCUAUGCUGAUCGAUCUUGAUACCUAAACUCUCGUUUGGAUCAAGAUGCGACAGCAAGCAAUAGAGAUCAAGUCCGAUAUGUUCACAAAACACCCUAAUAUCUACUUUCGCUGAUUAGGGAUGCAAUGCUCAUUCAAGUUAUGUCUAGCAACCUAUAACACUUUUGAUGAAUAGAUUAAACCUAGAAUCAGGCACUAAGUGGUUAACUUGAUGCAAGCCUUAAGAACAACAGUGAAUGAAGACAAUCGAUUUAUAACUUAUUUAUGUCAAGCUCACGGAUCUAACACCCUAACACCCUAGACUAAGCAAGUUGACUACUCAGCCAUGAACAGAGAAAACAUAGAGAUCAAUUCUGAAUAAGACUUCAUGUAAAUAAAAGAGAUAGAAAGAGGGUUCAGGAUAAUCUUCUCUAUGGUGAGAGAGAUGGAGCCUUCUCCCUUUACAAUCCAAAAGCACAAAAGUCUCCAAUGGUUUUCUUCUGUCUAGAAUAGCGUAGAAUGAUAAAGAGAAACAGAAAAUAUGAUAUAUCAAAGCCACAGGCGGCUGGGAGAGAAAAUAGGGAUAAUUAGGGCAAAUCCCGUAAUGAUUGUAGUUUCCUUAAAAAUCUCUGCCGCUGGAACACUCAUUCGGAACAAUCACUCGGGUUGCUCCGCUAUCCGGAACAGUCAUCAAGACUGUUCUGCGUGAAAACCACCAAAUUGCACUGUUUGCUGCCUCUUUUGUUCCAGCUGGUCCAUCUCCCAUCCAAUGCAACUCCAGACCUGUAAUGACUCGAAAAGGACUAGAAAGACUCGAUAAAGACUUGAAAACCAAUUGAAAAGCAUAUAUACAAGAUGUAUAAAACACCAUAUAUCAAUUCCCCCAGACUUAGAUCCUUGUUUGUCCUCAAACAAUGUCAAGUAUCAAGAACAGGGAGAAAGGUUUGAAAGUGUGGGAACUCUCAUAUUCUCAGCAACCAUACUUUAACCACGAAUCUCUGAACCAUACAAGCAGUAAAACUAGGACAACACACCCUUACCGGAACCCCACUGACUGCUGUUCAAAAAUCGGCUCCAUACUCUUCAUCUCAAACCUGAAAAAGCAACACUAUCGAGACAGAACUCCCUACAUUCAUUUAAGAGUAGCGUGAGCUUCUCAUCACAGGCAUCAUUCAGGGUAGACGGUCUAGGUGUGGAACAGGCUAUUUAAUGGUGGAGUUAAGAGUGUUUAGGGGCUACCAUUUCAUUGAAGAGGAUGCAUGAUAUCACACAAAAUGGCAAGAGAGGAUAGAUCCAUUGAUGUCCACAGCCUCUACUCGUUUUUGCUCUAUCUGGUGCGACUGUUCUGAUGACGGAACAGGCAACUGAUUGUUCUGCUUUCCACUUUCCUCUACACACUCUUCAAUACUUGGUACCAACUUCUUGCUCGACCUUUCCAGUGGCUCUAUGUUUCUUUUCUUUCUUUCCCUUCUCCAUCACAUUGUUCUCGUUUUUUUUUUUUUUUUUGAAUACUGAUAUGGUGAUGUGACGAAGAAGGAGGUAAUACAUGAUCGUUCUGAGUGCCACUGGUGGUUCUGAUUUCGCGACCAUUCUGGUUCUCCACCCCUGCUCUUGCGCAGUUCAUUGGUUAUGGAGCGGUUGCUCCCUUAAUCUGCUUGUUCUCCUUUCUGACAAAAUUUCUGCAGCAGUAACGAGUAGGAGGCUGCGUUGAUCCUUUCCUCUCCGACCUUUUUGCACAUAUCUGCACAUAUGACACUGAAAAACAAAUGCAUGAAGGUAGAAUAAAGGCUAAGGUGCAGGGUGGGAACUAGCUAAAGAUGAGCUAGCCACUCAGGAUCAGCAAGAUGGAUAAAAAGGAUAAGAAGUCCUGAGUGUGUUCUCGUUUUCCUGAUCUAAUGCCCAUAACAAGAAGAAUUUUAGUCAAGAUUAGGUUCAAGUAAGGUGGAGUUAUGUCUACCCAGUGUAACCUGAUCGGCUGAGAACUUCUGGAGAAUCAAGUGAGAUAUGUCAGGGUGUUCAAGGUUCACAUGUGUGUCUUUCGCCACUGCUAAGGUCACUAAAUAAGAUAACUAAAGCACGAGGUGGUCAGUGAUCAACACAGAAUAAGGUCUUAAUUCCCACAAAGUUUUGACUGACUUAAUCAUAAAAACUGACUCAAACUGACUUAAAAGAAAAACAAAAGAAAGAAACAAGUUAGUAAACGACGAAAACCCUCCCCCAGACUUACUUCACAACGUCCCUGGUGUGAAAAUAAAUCAGAGAGAAGGACAAAACAAGAAUAAAUAUUUUUUUGUUUGGGUCGAGAUACUUACCUGAGUGGAGCAGGCGCUCCAUGAAAAUUCUGGGUGUUCUAUCGUCAGAUGAUCGCCUGGAACAACCGCUCUUUUCAGGGGAUAGGUUGUUCCGUUUCUGCAACCCAGAAUUUUUGAAGUAUCUCGAAUUUUUUUUGCUUUUUGACCUGAAACUUAAUAAACUAAAACGAAAAUUGAGUAAACAAAAACAAAACCAAGUUAUAUUUACACUUACCAGUGGGUUGCCUCCCACCAGCGCUUGGUUUAAGUCUCUAGCUUGACUUGGUGACUGGGAUCAGUCGGGUUGAGCAGGAGGGCCUGUUCCAAAACAAGCUCCACAAUCAGACAUGUUCAGCUUCAAAACCCUGCUCAACAACCCUUUCACAGCAGCUUCCCCUUUCUCUUUCAGCUCAUGUGUGAGAAUAGCUCUGCUUUAGAGAACGGUUUAGAGGUACCCUUGCACUUUACCUCAUACUCAAUGGAGUUCUCAUCACACUUGAGAGGUAUCAAAGUCACUGUAGGAUCUCCUUGACCCUUUUCUUCUGGACUUUCUGUUUCACCCUUGAAUUCCCUCUGAAUUUAGUAGGAUCAGUGCUAGGAUCUUCAUCAAAGAACAGUCUGCUCUCACCCUUAUCACCAUGCUCCUUCUCUGGAACAACCUUCAGCUUUUCUACAUCAAACACUGAGAUGCGAGAGGCGUGUGAUGAGGAAGAUCUGGUGGGUACAGCCUUGUAGAAUACUUUCUUGUUGAUGUUGGAGAAGCAGACUCUCUUGUUGGGCAUAUCGAUGGUUGCUCCAACAGUAGCCAUGAAUGUCCUUCCAAAUAUCAAAGGCAUCUCAUGAUCUUUGUUCAUCUCAACAACCUGAAACUCAGCAGGAACAAUGCAUUCCCCUACUUGAACAUGAAGGCUGCGGAUGGUUCCAUAUGGGACUGCUCUGGAAGAGUUUGCAAAGGUCAGGGUCAACUGAGAACGCUCAACAUCAGCAAUACCCAAAUCGUCUACAAUAGCCUUUGAGAUGAGAUUCACACAAGAACCAGAGUCACAAAGAGCGUCCUUGAAGGUUGUUCCUGCGAUGGAACAUGGGAAAACAAACUUUCCAGGAUCAUGAACCUUAGGCAAUACCUUCAGUGCUGGCGUAGACAGUGCUCUGGUAUAGAGGACCUUGAUCUCCUCUUGAGUCUCUCUACAGUGUUUAAAGAACUGGAGCAAUGGACGAAUCUGCAGAGCAUCUUCGAAUGCAAGUUCUUUAGGAAGCCUUCUCACCAUCUUGUUAAAACCUAUCAGCUGCUCUUCACUAAUGGGAUCCAUCAGAUGUCUAGGUGGAAUUGGAUAGGGAACCUUGGGAACAUAGACUCGCACUGGUGGAGUUUCAGCAGGUUCGCUAGGAGCAAUCACUCCAGAGCUAGCAGACUGCUCUGUGUUCUCUUCUGCGCCUAGAACAGUCUCAGCGAACGGCUGCUCUAUUGCAUUACAGUGCUCAGUCCUAGGAUUUUUAUCAGUUCUUCCAGGGAGCGUCUCUUGUUGCCUCUUGACACUCUCAACUGUUUGAGCAAGCUGAACAUCGAUCUUUCUUAUAUGGAUUGCAAGAUUGUCAUACUUGUUAUUCAGUUCAGUGAACAUGUUGCCCAUCCUGGUGUCUAUUUCCGUGGUUACCUGAUUCAACACCUUGGCCUGAACCUGCUGACCCUGCAACAGUUGUUGCAUCAUCAUACCCAGACCCUUCAGCUCAUCUGGUUGACUGUUCUCGGUAGCUGGAACAACAUGCGGAUUGCUCUGCGGUUGUCGUUGGUUCAGGUUCUGAAUAUGCCCGGCCGUAGGUUGCUCCAUGCUGAAAACGUGUCCUUGGUUGUUUUUCAGUAACUGAUCAACCUUGGCAGUCAGCUCAUCUAUUUUCUGGGCGUCAGAACUGUUCCCUUUCAUGGAGCGAUCACUCUCCUCUUUCUUAUUAGCUGAGCUAGCAGCCAUGUUCUCAAUCAGCUUAAACGCUCCAGCAGUGGUUUGAGUCAUGAAGUCUCCAUUGCUCGCAGAGUUUAGAGCACCUUGGUAUUUCCAGUCCACUCCAUCAUAGAAAAUAUCCAGGAUAUAAUCAUCAUCAAAUCCAUGGUGAGGACAUUCUCUGCGAUAGUCAUUGAAGCGCUCCCAUGCGUCGCAGAAAAGCUCAUCAGUGAGCUGUCUGAAGGAGGUGAUCUUGUUCCUCAAUGCAGCUGUUCUCGCCUUAGAGUAGAAAUGGCUGAGGAACGCUGAUCGGACCUGUUCCCAUGAAGUGAGAGAGCCGGUAGGGAGAGAGUUCAACCACCGUGCAGCUUUUCCAUCAAGAGAGAAUGGGAAUAACAUGCACGUGAUGUAGUCUGGUGGAACACCAUUCACGCGAGUGAAACUGCAGACUUUUUCGAAGCUCUCAAUAUGCUCCAUUGGAAUUUCUGUAGAGAGACCAGAGAACACCUUUCUCUGUACUAGACCGAUCAAAGCAGGCUUGAUCUCAAAGUCCUGCCUAGUACAAGGUGGAGGAACAAUGGCAGAGCGCGUAGUAGGGAUGUUACGCGGGAGGUUUCUCUGCCCGAUUGGAACAGUCUGCGCCUGUUGUUCCUGCUGCGCGAGAGCAGCCUGUUCAGCAGCAUCCUGCUGAGCUUGGAUGGUCUGCUGCAUUUGUUGCAUCUGCUGCUGCAUGAGUGCCAUAGCCGCAGCGAGAUCAUCUUGAUUGGCGUGAUCACCCAUAGUGGUGUCGGUUUGCCUUGGCUGUUGACGAUUUGUUCUUUCUAACCUUGCUAGCUCCUGGUUGGUAAAUGUAACUAACUCUCCUUGUGCGUUUCUUCGAGUAUGUCUACUGGUCAUGCACCUGGAACAUUAGCUGCAACAAAAAGGAUAAGGCAAGUUAGAGGUCUUAGACUAAAUAAAUAACCGAAAAAUAAAGGUAAAAAGAUGGUCCCCGGCAACGGCGCCAAAUUGAUAUUACGUGUAUACGCACACCAAGUAACCUAAUGUGCACACUACCACAAUCGAAUGGUAUGUCGAUGUAUCACUUUAGGAUCGAAUCCACAGAGACCAACUAUUACACUUUAUCUUUAUGGGAUCAAUAUCAAGCUAAAACAAUAUGGGGGUUUUAAAGUUGAUUUCGUAACAAGCAAGUAAAAAGAUUAAUUAAAGAUUUCAGAUGAUUAAAAUGCUAGCCUAGGGUGGUUUGGUCGGGUGUUAAGCAAGUGUGAGCCAAACAAUUAUUCAAGUUCAAUUAAGAGCAAGUCUAGAACUCGGAUCACUCAAAUAGAACAAUCCACUGUCGUGGUACUGCCCCCUAUGCUAAUCGAUCUUGAUACCUAAACUCUCGUUUGGAUCAAGAUGCGACAGCAAGCAAUAGAGAUCAAGUCCGAUAUGUUCACAAAACACCCUAAUAUCUACUUUCGCUGAUUAGGGAUGCAAUGCUCAUUCAAGUUAUGUCUAGCAACCUAUAACACUUUUGAUGAAUAGAUUAAACCUAGAAUCAGGCACUAAGUGGUUAACUUGAUGCAAGCCUUAAGAACAACAGUGAAUGAAGACAAUCGAUUUAUAACUUAUUUAUGUCAAGCUCACGGAUCUAACACCCUAACACCCUAGACUAAGCAAGUUGACUACUCAGCCAUGAACAGAGAAAACACAAAGAUCAAUUCUGAAUAAGACUUCAUGUAAAUAAAAGAGAUAGAAAGAGGGUUCAGGAUAAUCUUCUCUAUGGUGAGAGAGAUGGAGCCUUCUCCCUUUACAAUCCAAAAGCACAAAAGUCUCCAAUGGUUUUCUUCUGUCUAGAAUAGCGUAGAAUGAUAAAGAGAAACAGAAAAUAUGAUAUAUCAAAGCCACAGGCGGCUGGGAGAGAAAAUAGGGAUAAUUAGGGCAAAUCCCGUAAUGAUUGUAGUUUCCUUAAAAAUCUCUGCCGCUGGAACACUCAUUCGGAACAAUCACUCGGGUUGCUCCGCUAUCCGGAACAGUCAUCAAGACUGUUCUGCGUGAAAACCACCAAAUUGCACUGUUUGCUGCCUCUUUUGUUCCAGCUGGUCCAUCUCCCAUCCAAUGCAACUCCAGACCUGUAAUGACUCGAAAAGGACUAGAAAGACUCGAUAAAGACUUGAAAACCAAUUGAAAAGCACAUAUACAAGAUGUAUAAAACACCAUAUAUCAAUCACCAAGAUUGCUAUCAGCAUUACCAUUGCAAACCACAAAGCUAAAAAGUCUCAAGAGAAUCACAUCUCUGAUAGACAACUAUGUGCAACUUCUUUUUAGCAAGAACAAAAAGAUACAACGUAUAUGUAAGACUUCCAUUAUCUCAACUUAAAUCCAUAUCUAAGCCUCUGCUCUUUUAUUUCUUGUUUGGGCUUUGAAAAUAGAUUGCUUUGCCUUGAAGCCAAUGCGAAAGUAAGGAAAAAAGUAGGCAAACUUCAUCUAUUAGACUUUGAAAUGGAUUACAACAACAACGGUACUCUUGAUAACUUAAACCACAGAGUUUCUGUCUGCAUAGACCCGUAUUGUCUUUUCUCUAUCCCCUAAAACAACUCGAACUCAAGAUGAUCUCCCAUGGCUUUACAUUCAAGAUAUCCAUUACCAUUUCCUUUAGGAGAAGUUGCUUCCGUUGCACCAUUCUCAUAUACAUCAGGCAGAUCAGGCGGAAUGGCGCAGCGGAUGAGAGCCCAGUUCAAUCCUUCAAAGAAUGGAUGCCUCUUGAUCUCUGCAGCUCCUUUCUCCCACCCGAGGCGGCUCCCCGGAUCCUUCAUCACCAACCUUCUGAUCAAAUUCUUUGCCUGGAAGCUCACAAGAGGGCUAUCAGGAAACUUGAGGUUCUGAAACACAAACGUCUCCUCAUUGUCAUAACCUUUGAACGGUGUCUUCCCGUAUAAAAGCUCAUAGAGAAGAACCCCAAACGUCCACCAGUCUACUGCAGCACCGUGACCUUCUCCUUAAUGAUCUCCGGCGCCAAGUACUCGUGCGUUCCUACAAAAGAGUUUGAUCUUGCUUCAGUUGGUUCAGCCACAAGCUGAGGCAAUGAUCUGAACUGUUGGGUCAGAAGAUCAGGCCUUCUCUGUUUUCUUGGUUUUGAGUUUCUAGCUUGCGUUGACAAGAGCCUAGGGCUGAAACAUGGGACACGGCACGAUGGACUCUAUCUAAAUCACAGGUUCUUCAUCUUCUUUGGAAGCUGAGGAGCUUGAUACAAUAAUUGAAGACGAAGACAAACAGCAGUAUCCAGGCGAUGUGCACCGCAGCUACAGCUGGUAAGAAGUCAUGUUCGAACCCGGAUCCAUCUUUGAGCAACUGUUUUAGUUCCGUGUCUAGGAGACCAGUGUUCUGCACUAUCGAAUCUUGGUCUCCUACUUGAGAUGUGAUGCUUCCAUACAAUGUCCAGCCACUGGCGUUGCCUAGUAAUUAAUAUCAUCUCCACCAUAUCAAUAUUUGCUGCAUCCCCUCCUCCAUAAGAAACAUAAAACAUAAAAGUUAGGUAGCUCUAAAACACUUCUGAUCAUAACAAAAAGUAAGAUCUAUAACACACUUGAUGAUUACGUAAGUUGGUUCGUAAUUUUUACCAAUCUUUGGGAUGAGGAACUGGAGAAAAGAUUCCAAAUAGACCGAGGAAGAAAGACAUGCAGAUUCCGGAGAUUUGAUAGUUUGGUGUCAAGGCCACAAAGCAUCAAGCUUGGUAACAUGUCGUAGUAGUAGAAGUAGAACCAGAAGAACUUGACCACAGUACGGUCGUAUCCUAUCAUUGAGUAAAGGAUUAUAGUAUGUAAACUCUAGUUUGUAUGGUGUCAUACUACAUGAUCUAACAACUUUGUCUAUAUUAUCAAUUUUCCUAAUUAAUUAUUUCUAACAAAAAUAUAAUUUUUAAAUAUUAACGAAUAUAUUUUGGAAGUUGAAAAUAAGGUAGAAAUUUUGUACAAAAGGGAAGGAAGGAUAUGGGGGAAUUAUUUGCCUGCGAAAAGUCAUUAUCCCUUACAGACUAGAAAAGUCGCAUAUUUUCUUUUUAUUCAAAAUCAGAACCACAGAUGGCAGCCAAUAUAGACUGUUGAUAAGAUUGACUUGGAGUCAACUCUUUCAUUGCCAUUCAUAUCUCUUCUUCCAAAGAACGUCUCUAAGCAAGUUGAAGAGCUGUUACAUGAAAGGUAAAUCAUGUUCUUGUAUCAUUAUUUGUCUGUUUAACUUGCUUUGAUCUGUCUUUUGGACUCUGUUGUGGUUGAAUCUGAAUUUAAAAACGAAAAUUCGUUGGAUUAUUACAAAUCUUGUUUUACGAAUUUAAACCAUUUAAUCAUCAAAUCUUGUUAUAAAUUGUUUGAAUAAAAGUAAGUUAAGUAAAGUUCCUCUGACAUGUAUCAUGUUUUAUUAGAUCAACCAAGGAUUAUCAUAAACGGUUUUAAAUCGUACUACAAGUUUGUACUUAUGUGUUGUGUUGAUGGUGGAACAGGAGAAUAGUGAUGGCUGAGGGAGUUGUGUCGUUUGGAGUGGAGAAACUCUGGGAUCUCCUCAGUCGAGAAUCAGAGAGACUGCAGGGAGUUCAUGAGAAAGUUGAUGAUCUAAAAUGUCAGAUGAGAAUGUUACAGUCGUUGUUGAAAGAUGCAGAUGCCAAGAAAUAUGAGAGUGUGGUGAGAAACUUCUUGGAAGAUGUCAAAGACACUGUUUUUGAUGCUGAAGACAUAAUUGAAUCCUUUCUUUUGAAAGAAUUGAGUAGAAACCAAAAAGGGAUCAAGGGGCGUGUGAAAAGACUUGCUUGUUUCUUAGUGGAUCGCCGAGGUCUUUCUAUGGACAUUGAAGGCAUAACUAAGAGAAUGGCCAAGGUUGUUGGGCAAAUGCAAAGCUUUGGAAUACAACAGAUCAUCUACAGAUCACCGUCUCUACAAGAGAGACAGAGGGAGAUCCAACAAACAUAUCCUAUGGGAUCUCAAAAGGAUCUUGUGGGGGUGGAACAGAGUGUUAAAGAAUUGGUUGGUCAUUUGGUGGAGAAUGAUAACAUCCAAGUAGUUUCCAUAUCUGGGAUGGGUGGUAUUGGAAAAACCACUCUUGCCAGACAAGUCUUACAUCAUGACAUUGUUCAAAGUCAUUUUGAUGGAUUCGCAUGGAUCUGCGUUUCGCAAGAUUGUAAGCGGAUGGAUAUUUGGCAAAAGUUAUUGCAAGACCUUAGACCUCAAGAUAAGGGCAUCGAACAAAUGAAUGAGCCUACACUCCAGGCUAAGAUCUUUCACUUGUUGGAAACAUCUAAAUAUUUAAUUGUCAUGGAUGAUGUAUGGAAAAAAGAAGACUGGGAUAUAAUAAAAGGCGUUUUCCCCCAAGAAAGAGGUGAGCUCUCUAAUUGUACAUACAUUACUUACGAACUCUCCAUAGCUAUUUCAUAAAUGCCUUUUCAGUCUCUGAGAUGAAAGGAAAUACAAUUGCAGGUUGGAAAAUGAUUCUUACUUCACGUGAUGAAAGUGUUGGUUUCCAUGCAGACCGAACAUGUUUUCCCUUUAGACCAAAAACUCUUACUCCUGAAGAAAGUUGGAAGCUAUGUGAAAGCAUAGCAUUCCCUAGACGAGAUAUAACCGGUACGUUUUUAUAUAAGAAUCAUAUGAAUCCUUAAGGCCAGAAAGCUUGAUAUCUCUUACGGACCUUCUAAUCAAAAUUCUUGUGUUGUAAUUCCUAAAUCAUCCUCUGGGAUUACAUAUAUGGUUCCAAUGUUUAAAAAAUCGAUUUAUUCUAACAUUAUCUCUUAAUUUAAUUUAUUUAGAUUAAUUUAUAAUGAUUUAAACCGAUUUGAAUUGUAUAAAUUGGUAUAAAUCAGAUUUUAAGAAAAUCGUUUCGAUGGGACAAAGUUAGCCUAUGUGCCGCCUAGACCAAUUUUUAGAACAUUGUAUGGUUGUAUAUACCUUUGAGAAACAUUAUAGCAUUUCAUUUAUGUCAUAUGUCAUCAGCAAUGUUUUAAAAACCGGAUCAGACAUUGAUUCGGCAUUGUAGCUGCGUAAAUGGUCAGAUCGGUGCAAUUAGUUCAACUGACUUCUAAAUUUAAUUUAAUUUUAAAUUCAGUAACUACAUCUAUGUAUAAUAAAAUUGUUCUUAUAAAACUUUAUUUCAUUGUUAAUAUCUAAAAGAUCUUAUGAAAAUAAAAUGACAACUUCAAAAAUAAUAUAAACUAUAAUGAAACUAAUUGAUUUAGAUAGAUAUUAAAAACAAUAUGAAAUCUUUUUAAAAUUUGCAAAUUUUUAUUUUUAAACUUGAAUUUGAGAAAACUUGAUUUUAAUAUCGAACCAGAUUACCGGUUUUAGCAAAUUUGAACAGUUUAUGACAUGGUUUACCGGUUUAAUUCAAAUUCAGUUUUAAUACAACUCAAAACCGGCUAGAAUAACGAGUCAAGGUCCAACCGGGCAAUCCGGUUUUCAAAACACUAGUCAUCACCAUAAUGAUUCUUUUUUUUUAGAGAAAUAUGUUAGCCAUCUAAACAUAUAAUAUAAUACUCAUUAAACUAAAUAUUAAAUUAAUUAUUAAUGUACAAAACAUAUUAUUCCUUCUUUGCUUAAGUAUAAGCUACAAAAUUACAUAAUGUGAUAAAUAUAUAUAAGGAGUUUUCUUGCGCCAUGCGCAAAUAUACUAAUUUUUAGCUAAAUUUUUAUUUAUUUUAUUUUAAAUAAAAAUAAAUUUACGUUUUCAUACUAUUAUUUUUAUAUUUUAAAUUCAUCGGUCUGGAAAAGAGUGAAAUCACAACUAUUUUUUUGUAAUUUUGUUUCAUUUGAUUUGUUUUAUUUAUUUUAAUUUUAUUUUAUAUGAAUUUUAUUGGAGAAGAAUUAUAUUUUAUAUAACUUUGAAUUUUAUUUAUUUAUAUUUAGUGAUUAUUUAUUUUGAAUAUGUUUCUUAUCCUCUAAGUGUAUAAAUUUUAAUAAUGAUUGGGUUUCUGUUUAAAUGUAUAGCUAAUAUGUUAAACUCGUAAACUCAAUUUCUUAAUUAAUCAAAUAAACUAAUGGAUGCUAAUAAAAUUUUAAACAUUUAAUCAUCCAAAAAAAUUGAUUAGCAUUGCUUUAGUUUUGUGUUCCCUAAUGCACACUUACACUUUAUUUUAAUAAAAUAUAAAAUAUAUAUAGAAAAUAUGAUAAAUAAGUUAAUUUAAAAUUAAAAUAUAAUUAUAUUUAGUUUAUUUUUAUAAAUAUGAUAUAUAUAAUUUUAUUUUAUUUCAAUGGUGAUAUAUGAAUUAUUAGUUAUUAAUAUAUUUUAAAAGUCUUGCCAAAAUAAACAUUUACACAGAAAUGCUAACUUCUAAAUAGUGAUAUAAACAUUAUUAGUCAUUACCAUUUUUAUAAAUUCUUACUAGAAAUAUAUAAAUUUGUAAAAGUUAUUAUUAUUACCAUAUUUAAAAGUCUUUAACAAAAAUAUAAAUUUUUAUAAGAAAAUUUUCAUGUCAAAUUAACUUGAUCUCAUGUCAUUAUUUUCUAAAAACAUGUCAUUUUUUUGGGUGAGAAUGAACACUGUGAUGACAUGUGUACAAAACCACUUUGCAAUUAAUAUUUAGGAGAUACUACAAUCAAUGACUUUGAAUAAUAAUGAUUUGAUAACAAUUUGUGUAUCAUCUAUCAUCUUUAUUUAAUUUUAUAUUAUUAAAAUAAAUUAAUUAAUCAUAUUAAUCAUCUAAUAAAAAUAGAUUUUCCUUAUAUUUUGAAUUUUAAAGAUGACUAUAAAUUACUAAAAUUGUUAAAAUUAAUGGUUUAAUUUUAUUAUUAUAAUAAGAUACAAAUGAUCAUAAGAACUUAUGAAUAUGAAAUUUCAUUUAAUAGAACUGUAGAUUAAAAAAAAAAUAUAUAUAUAUAUAUAUAUCUAUUUCAAUAUCGUUUAAAUUUAGCUGUAUAUAUAUAUAUAUUUUUUUUUCUGAACAUUUGAAAAGACUAGAGACAUUAUUUCAAGGCUCUAAUGUUAUAAUAUGUGUUACUGUUUUCAGAAUUUAUUGUUGAUGAAGAACUAGAAGCCAUGGGUAAGAAAAUGGUCACACAUUGUGGAGGACUACCAUUAGCCGUUAAAGUGUUGGGAGGCUUGUUAGCUAAUAAAAGCAUGGUUGAAGAGUGGAAAAGAGUAGAUGACAAUAUUCAAAGUCAGAUAGUUCGCAUAGAUGACAACAGUCAAGAUUCGGUUUACCGAGUAUUGUCUAUGAGCUAUGAAGACUUGCCAAUGCAGUUAAAGCAUUGCUUCCUCUACCUAGCUCAUUUUCCUGAAGAUGACAAGAUACAAAUGGACAUAUUAUAUUAUCUAUGGGCAGCAGAAGGCAUAAUAAAGUCAAGUGGCGAUGGAGAAACCACUUGGGAAAUUGGAGAAGACUACAUAGACGAGCUAGUACGGAGAAAUAUGAUUAUUGGAGUAAAAGAGGAAUUGAGUUGCAGAUGGGCGUAUUGUCAAAUGCAUGACACGAUGAGAGAAGUAUGUUUAUAUAAAGCCAAAGAAGAGAACUUUCUUCAGAUUAUCAAAGUCCCUACUUCUUCUAUGUCUACCAUCAAUGCUCUUACUCCUACCAGAUCUCGCAGACUCGUAGUACACGGUGGUGGUAAUUCACUUGAUAUGCUGGGAGGUAAAAACAAUCAAAAAGCUAGAUCUGUUUUGGGUUUUGGACUCGACAGCAAAUCGUCGAAGCAGUCAGGUCAAGGACUCAGAAAUUUACAAUUACUUAGGGUCUUGGAUUUGAGUUUAGAUUAUAAAAGCGGCGACUCUAGAGGGUGGAGAAUACCAUCCAGCUUUGGAAAGCUCAUUCAUUUGAGAUAUUUGAGCUUACACAUGCGUUGGGCAACUGAUGUACCUUCUUCUUUACGGAAAUGAAAUACUUCAUCUGCCAAGUAUCUUUAAAGAGAUGGUAGAGUUGAGGUUCCUGCAGCUUUAAAGAGAUGGUAGAGUUGAGGUUCCUGCAGCUUCCCCUUCUUCUUGACGCUAAAACAAAGUUGGAAUUGGGCAAUCUAGUGAACCUGGAGUGCUUGGGCUGGUUCCAAUCAGAAAACGGUAGCAUCACAGACUUCCUCCGAAUGAAAAAGCUCAGGACUCUCCACAUAAAACUCAAAGGCAGGUAUACUUCUGAAACUCUAGCGUCAUCUCUCUGUGAAUUAAGAAACCUGGAGGAGCUUAGAUUGAUCGAUGAGAACAACGAAUCCGAUGGGGCUUAUGAUUUGGAUUUCGUUUGGAAUUUCAUUCAUCUAAGGGAAUUAUGGAUGGGUAUACAUAUGACAAGGCUCCCUGAUCACUCUCGAUUGCCUCCCAACCUUGCACACAUAUGUCUAAUUAAAUGUGAAUUGGAGGAUGAUCCACUGCAGAUUCUGGAAAAGUUGCUUCAUUUGAAGUCGGCUGUAUUACAUUACAGAUCUUUCGUGGGGAGGAAGAUGGUGUGUUCAAAAGGUGGAUUCCCUCAAUUAUGUAAGCUAGACAUAAUGUUCCUACACGACUUGGAAGAGUGGAUAGUCGAAGAAGGGUCGAUGCCAUGUCUUCGUACCUUGUCUAUUCAAAGUUGCUACCGGAAGGGCUCAAGUAUAUCACUUCUUUAAAGAAACUGGAAAUCAUACAUAAGAACAAGGAGUGGAAGACGACACUCGUACCAGGUGGGGAAAGUUACCACAAAGUCCAACACAUUCCUAGUGUUCAAUUAAACUAUUUUGGCCACGAAUAAGGAGAAUAAAACUGUCUCAGGUAUAUAUUCUUUUUUGGUAUAAUGUCAAUAUUGUUCAUUUUGUUGGUUAUAUAUCCUCCUUGAAGUUUAGUGUGAAAGUCUAAACUCUCUGUUAUUCGGUUUUCAGGUGAACCUACUCAGGAUCAGUACCCACCACUAUCGAUUGUGUGAUAUGAUAAUAAGUCGUUUUUGUUGUAUGAAGUUUACAUAUCUUGUUUGUGAUAUAUUCCGUAUAUCUAUUUGCAUGCUCAUUCACUCGUCUCAUAAGAUUCUUCUCCUCUGCUAAAGGAUCACUCUAAAUCCAAAAAUCCACUUCAUUAAUUUACAAUAGUACAAUACUAGUGAGAUGAUAAAAUUGUGAUGUAAAUUAUCCUUUUUCUUGCUGAGCAUUGUCUUCUAUGCGUUGUUGCUAAAUUUUUAUUUUUCACAUACUAGUAACUGCGCAGUGGAAGCGCUUACCGAUAAGCAAUGAUGAGCCUCCUCCUCCUCGAGCUUACCAUACAAUGACUAGUAUUGGAGCUCGUCAUCUUUUAAUUGGUGGUUUUGAUGGAAAGUCAACCUUCGGUGAUCUUUGGUGGCUGGUUCCUGAAGGUAUUAAACUCUUAUUUGUACUAAUGUUUUACUCCAACUUAGCUAUCAUUCUGUGUACAUGCAUCAUCAGUUACAAUCUCGGUGCUGGUCACAGAUUAUAGGCAAUUAGAGACACUUAAUUUCUAGCAUACUCUUUUUUUUCUUCUUUAUCAAGUUUGUAUUGAAAGUUUUGAAGUUUUACACAUCUGAUUGAAUUUACUGAACUGUUUUAGCCUUCUGAAAAUGUUGUUAUUCGUUGUGAAAGAAAGAAAUGGAUUAAAGAAAGAAAUGUUGUUAGCGAUCUAACUCUUUUUCUCUUUUCUCAGAUGAUUCCAUAGCCAAGAGGUCUUCUGUACCUCAAAUUAGAAACCCUCCUGAGACUAAAGAGUCAGAGAGAGAUUUGGAUACGGUAACUGUGGUUCCUGCUCAUCAUCUUAUGUGUUUCUCGCCAAUGCAGUUAAAUUAGCUUUUCAACGUGUUUUAACACCAAGAGUUUGGUCACAGCAGGAAAGAGGACAAGAGGGAUUCACUAUCGUCGACUUGCAAAAGAAAAUGGGAAUCUCUGUUGCAUCAGGGUUACUACGCCGUCAUAUCCCCGAGGAGUCAGAAGAUCAAGAGUUCGUUGAGUUAGGAACCAGAUUGAUCGAGGGAGAUGCAGUUGAUAAUCGAGCCUCCAUGAUUCAGGUGAGUUUUUCCUCUUGUCUAUUUUAGAAUGUGUGAUUGUGUUAUUCUUGUACUGAAAAUGCGUCCCAAUGAAAGGAUGGCAGCUGAAGCACUUCGUCAACAUUGGAAAGAGUCCACUCCAGAGACUUUGCAGUUAAAAGAGCUUAAUGCCUUGCUUCGAGAUUAUCAGCGACUUGUUACCCGAAAAUACACGUGAGUUCUUACUCAUUCCAACUAUUUCAGACUCAGUUCUUGUUUAUGUAGAUUAUCUUUUAUUUCACUAAAAAUAGUUGUUCUUUGAUUGCGCUUGGAAUGGCAUUAGAAUAACUUAGAUAAAUCUCCUGAGAGUUUAGGAGUGUUAUAUAGAGUUAAUAUGAAUAUCAUUUUUUGUGUCUUGAAUAGCCCUUGAAACUUUUUAAUCCAAGAAUUGCCAAAACUGAUUCAUUUCUUAAUGUUGUGAAGUCCUCACAUAAAAGUUGAUUGUAAAUGCAUCGCUUUGUACCCCUCUGAAAAGUAUUAAAUGUCAUGAAAUCUCACAUCUGCUUCUCCCUUUCCUUCACACGUUUGUUUUCAUUUGUUGUGGCGGGUUUCCAUCAGAGCACAGAGCAGCUUAACACCUGCAGAUUUUGGAAAGAAGACCUUUACGUUUUAUCAUAUCAAAACUUCUUCCGAGGUACUUCUGCAUACUUUCUUCCUGUUAUUAGCUUUAUUGAACAUUUGACACCAAUCAAUCAUACAUCAGGCUUUCCUCUGACAUGUCAAGUUUUCAUUUUGCUAUUCUCAGUUACGGAUGGAUGACAUCCCCAAGUUGCUGGAAGAAUACAAAACCCUUCUAAUCUGAUUGAGGAGCUCUACCAUAAAACUCACAAGGAGAUAUACUAAAACCCUUCUAAACUCAUCAAGUAGCUGCCAAGAAGAUCACCAAGAUUGCUAUCAGCAUUACCAUUCGCAAACAACAAAGCUAAAAAUUCUCAAAAGAAUCAUCUCUGAUAGACAACAAGACAUGUACAACUUCUUCUUAGUCAAGGACAAAAACAUAUACCCAUAUGUAAGAUUUUCAUUAUUUCUACUUAAAUCCAUAUCUCAGCGUCUGCUCUUUGCUUUAAAGCCAAUGGGAAAGUAAGGAAAAAAGUAGGCAAACUUCACCUCUUAUACUUAGAAAUGGAUUACUACAACAACAACGGUACUCUUGAUAACUUAAACCAUAGAGUUUCUGUCUGCUUAGACCCGUAUUGUCUUUUUUCUCUAUCCCCUAAAACAACUCAAACUCAAGAUGAUCUCCCAUGGCUUUACAUUCAAGAUACCCAUUACUAUUCCCUUUAGGAGAGGUUGCUUCAGUUGCACCAUUGUCAUAUACAUCAGGCAGCUCAGGGGGAAUGGCGCAGCGGAUGAGAGCCCAGUUCAAUCCUUCAAAGAAAGGAUGCCUCUUGAUCUCAGCAGCUCCUUUCUCCCACCCGAGACGGCUCUCCGGAUCCUUCAUCACCAACCUCCUGAUCAAAUCCUUUGCCUGGAAGCUCACAAGAGGGCUAUCAGGAAACUUAAGGUUCUGAAACACAACGUUGGACAAUGUCUCCUCAUUGUCAUAACCUUUAAACGGUGUCUUCCCGUAUAAAAGCUCAUAGAGAAGGACCCCAAAAGUCCACCAGUCUACCGCAGCACCAUGCCCUUCUCCUUUUAUUAUCUCCGGCGCCAAGUACUCGUGCGUUCCUACAAAAGAGUUUGAUCCUGCUUCGGUUGGUUUAGCCACAAGCUGAGGCAAUGAUCUGAACUGUUGGGUCAGAAGAUCAGGCCUUCUCUGUUUUCUUGGUUUCGAGUUUCUAGCGCAUUGAUGGGAGCCUAGGGCUGAAACAUGGGAAGCAGGUUCUUCACAGGUUCUUCACCUUCUUUGGAAGUUGAGGAGCUUGAUACAAUAAGCGAAGACGAAGACAAACAGCAGUAUCCACGCGCAGCUACAGCUGGUAAGAAGUCAUGUUCGAACCCGGAUCCAUCUUUGAGCAACUUUUUUAGACCCGUGUCUAGGAGACCAGUGUUCUGCACUAUCGAAUCUUGGUCUCCUACUUGAGAUUUGAUGCUUCCAAACAAUGUCCAGCCCACUGGUCGUUGCCUAGUAAUAUCAUCUCCACCAUAUCACCAACAAUAAACAUUUUCGAAACUACCCUCCCUCUCCCCUCUCCCAAUAAAAAAAACACAAAACUUAAAAAUUAGGUAGCUCUAAAACCCUUCUGAUCAUAACAAAAAGUAAGAUCUAAACACACUUGAUGAUUACGUAAGUUGGUUCGUAAUUUUUUACCAAUCUUUGGUAUAAGGAACUGGAGAAAAGAUUCCAAAUAGACUGAGGAAGAAAGACAUGCAGAUUCCGGAGAUUUGAUAGUUUGGUGUCAAGGCCACAAAGCAUCAAGCUUUGUUAACAUGUAGUAGUAGUAGUACCAGAAGAACUUGACCACAGUACGGCCGUAUCCUAUCAUUGAGUAAAGGAUUAUAGUAUGUAAACUCUAGUUUGUAUGGUGUCAUACUAAUAACUUUGUCUAUAUUACCAAUUUUCCCAAUUUCUUAUUUCUAACAAACUAUAAUGUAUAAAUAUCAAUGAAUAUAUUUUGCAAGUUGAAAAUAAGGGAGAAAUUUUUUUUACCAAAAAGAAUAAUAAGGGAGAACUACAGUGAAUGUUUCGAGUGGGCCUAAAGCAAAUGCAUUAUUGCCUUGCGAAAAAAUCAUUAUCGCCACAGACUAGAAAAAACUCCUAUUUUCUUUUUAUUCAAAAUUAGAACCACAAGAUGGCAGUCGUAGACUGAUAAGAUUGACUUGGAGUCUACUCUUUCAUUGCCACUCAUAUCUUUUCUUCCAAAGAACGUCUCUAAGCAAGUUGAAGAGCUGUUACAUGAAAGGUAAAUCAUGUUCUUGUAUCAUUAUUUGUAUGUUUAACUUGCUUUGAUCUGUCUUUUGGACUCUGUUGUGGUUGAAUCUGAAUUUAAAAACGAAAAUUCGUUAGAUUAUUACAAAUCUUGUUUUACGAAUUUAAAGCAUUUAAUCAUCAAAUCUUGUUAUAAAUUGUUUGAAUAAAAGUAAAGUUCCUCUAACAGGUAUCAUGUUUUAUUAGAUCAACCAAGGAUUAUCAUAACGGUUUUAAAUCUUACUACAAGUUUGUACUUAUGUGUUGAUGAUGGUGGAACAGGAGAAUAGUGAUGGCUGAGGGCGUUGUGUCGUUUGGAGUGGAGAAACUCUGGGAUCUCCUGAGUCGAGAAUCUGAGCGAUUGCAGGGAGUUCAUGAGAAAGUUGAUGAUCUAAAAUGUCAGAUGAGAAUGUUACAGUCGUUGUUGAAAGAUGCAGAUGCGAGGAAACAUGAGAAUGAAGUAGUGAGAAACUUCUUGGAAGAUGUCAAAGACAUUGUUUUUGAUGCUGAAGACAUAAUCGAAUCCUUUCUUUUGAAAGAAUUGAGUGGAAACCAAAAAGGGAUCAAGAGGCGUGUGAAAAGACUUGCUUGUUUCUUAGUGGAUCGCCGAGGUCUUUCUAUGGACAUUGAAGGCAUAAUUAAGAGAAUGUCUAAGGUGGUUGCACAAAUGCAGAGCUUUGGUAUACAGCAUAGCGUCAACAGAUCACCGUCUGUACAAGAGAGGCAAAGGGAGAUCCGACAAACAUAUCCUAAGAGGUCUCAAAAGGAUCUCGUGGGGGUGGAACAGAGUGUUAAGGAACUAGUUGGUCAUUUGGUGGAGAAUGAUAGCAUCCAAGUAGUUUCCAUAUCUGGGAUGGGUGGUAUUGGAAAAACCACUCUUGCAAGACAAGUCUUUCAUCAUGACAUUGUUCGAAGUCAUUUUGAUGGAUACGCGUGGAUCUGCGUUUCGCAAGAUUUUAAGCGGAAGGAUAUUUGGCAAAAGUUAUUGCAAGACCUUAGACCACAUGAUAAGGGCAUCGAACAUAUGAAUGAGAAUACACUCCAGGCUGAGCUCUUUCACUUGUUGGAGACGUCUAAAUAUUUAAUUGUCAUGGAUGAUGUAUGGAAAAAAGAAGAUUGGGAUGCAAUAAAAGACGUUUUCCCCCAAGAAAGAAGAGGUGAGCUCUCUUAUUGUACAUACAUUACUUAAGAACUCCCCAUAACCACAUUUCAUAAAGGGCAAUUGUCAAUAAUAGCACAUUUUGAAGUUUAUGUCACAAAAAGAGCACUAGAAGGAGAAAAUCACAAAAAUGACAUUCAUUAAAGGGUAAAAUGUCCCUAAUAUCCUUGGUUUAAAUUAAAUAAACAAACAAAAAUAAAUAAAUAAAUAAAUAAAAAAUAAAAAAAUAAAAAAAAAUAAAAAAAUAAAAAAAAUAAAAAAAAAUUUAUAGUUUCAGAUUAUAUGUUUUCAGAUUCGAAAUUUUUAUAAUUUUUUUAAAAAAAAUUUUGAAUUUUUUUUUUAUUUUUUUUUUCAAAUUUUCUUUUUAUAGUUUAAAAAUAAUUUUUGAAACUGUUUUAUAAAUUUUUAUUUUUUAUUUUAGUAUUUAUUUUUUAUAAAAUUUUAAACCCUAAUUCCAAAACCCCACCCCCUUAACUCUAAACCCUAAGGUUUGGAUUAAUUAACCCAAGGGGUAUAAGUGUAUAUUUACCUCUUUAAUGAAACCUAUUUUUGUGACUUUGAGCCUUGAGUGCUACUUUGGGAACAAAAACUUGGUUUGGUGCUAUCCUAGUCUUUUUCUCUUUCAUAAAUGCCUUUUGAGUCCCUGAGAUGAAAGGAAAUACAAUUGCAGGUUGGAAGAUGAUUCUUACUUCACGCGAUGAAGGUGUUGGUUUGCAUGCAGACCCAACAUGUUUUCCUUUUAGACCAAAACCACUUACUCCCGAAGAAAGUUGGAAGCUAUGUGAGAGCAUAGCAUUCCCUAGAAAAGAGAUAACGGGUAAUGUUUUUAUAUAAGAAUCAUAUGAAUCCAGAAUCCUUAAGGCCAGUAAUUUCUUACGGCCGGGACAUCUUAUCAAAAAUCUUGUGUAUUAAUUCCUAAAUCCGCAUGACAUAUAUUAUUACAUAUACCUUUGAGAAACAAUAUACCAUCAAUACUAUUAAAACAGAAGACCUUUUUUUGAGGUGCUCUUCUGUUUCAACAAUAUUUUCAGAUCUUUGCCACUGAAAUAUUUAAAACUUAUGAUUUUAAUUAAAUUCUGAAUUUUCUUUUAUUUAUACAACAGAAAAUCUAAUAAUGAAUCAACACGUUAUUAAAGUAAACCGACUUAUUUAAUAUUUUACCAAAAAAAAAAAAGUAAACCGACUUACCCAACGAACGUAAACCAACCAACAUACUUAACAAUAAAAUAAAGUGUUAUGCUGGUUCAAUCCAUCGAAGUAUAAAUUAUAAACUACAUGAUUCUAUAUACUUAACACGUCUUUAACUUGAUAUCAAGUAUAUAAACAAACAAUUUACAGCAUUUCAAUUCCUAUAGGAUACCGGUUCAAAUGUUCUAUAGAAAACUAAAUCGACGUUGGUAUGAAUUAAAUCAUCCAAUAUAUCACACUUAAAGAAACGAAUAUAUAAACAAUAAAUAUUAAAUAUAUGAACAAAAUAGGUGUGGGAAUAUUCAUUAAGAACAGUUAAUAUUUUCCUAAUUGAAUGGUCGAUAAGAUAUUUAUAAUAAUCAUAUUUUUCAUAGCAAUCAAUUAAAUGCAUCAGUUUCGGAAUGCUAACUAACAAUACCUUUCUUUUUAAAAAUAAAAUUAGAAAGAUCUUCCUAACUAAAUAAUUAAGUCGACAGCAAAAAAAAAAUUAUACAUGAACAAAAUGACUAAUCCUAUUAGAAAAAAUAAAUGAAUUUAUAAGGGUUUGAGAUUUAAAAAGUGUCGGUUAAAAAAGAGACGGGUUCAAAUACAUGACAGAUUUAUUUAUUGUAAAAUAUUAUUUUUAAAAACAAUUAAUUAUAAACUUUCUGAAUAUUUUUUUUUAAAUUCACCUUUCGUAUUGAAAUAUAAAUAUUCUAAAAAAAAUUGUUUUAUCAUGUAAUCUAAGAAAUAUGUCAUUACAAAUAUGUUCUUUACAAUUUCAUUUAUGAUAAUAAUGUGAAAUCUUUUUUUUCAAUAAUGUAUUUUUUCCUAUUAUAAAAAAUAUUAAUAAAAUAUUUUAAUAUUUUUAAUAAUAUAGUUAUUUGAAUUCAGUAUUUUUAAUAAUAUAGUUAGUACAAAAUUAAACUAACCCUUAAACUUACACAAUAUUUACAAUAGAAUGCCACUGCAGUAUUUAAUAAACCUAACAAUAGAUAUUCUUUGUCUUUCAUGUAUUAUUAAUGCAUUUUCCUAAAUUAAUUUUUAACUAAAAACAUGGCAACAAUAAUUUAAGCAAAUCUAAACAAUAAGGAAUAUCAAAACAUGAAUCAGUUGAGACAAUUUUUUUCACGAAAAAGAUGAUUAAUUAGUUUGUACUUUUAUUAUCAUAUCAUGAAUCAGUUGUAAUUUAAAAUCCAAUUUUUAUAUAUAUAUUUAUACUAUAAUGUAAAAAAAAUGACGUAAUAAGUGAAAAAAUCAUUUUAACCACACGAGAUCAACAUAUGAACAAUAAGAAAACAUAUACAAACAUCGUCCAUUUGUUCAAUGAAUAUUAUAUCUUUUUAAUGCUCUUCAUAUACUCAAUAUAAUCAAAAUAUCUAUUUUAAUAUAUCUAUAUUAUUAAAACUGAGGUAAGUAUUAGAAUAUUUUUUUUCAUUCUAAUAACUACAUGCGCUACCUAAUUAAUAAUUAUUAAUUAAUUGACAACAAAUCAUUUAUUUUGUUAGAUUUUUUGCUAUCCAAACUUCAAACUUAAUUCAUUAACUACAAAUCAUUUAUUUUGUUAAAUUCUUUUCUAACCAAACGUACGAAACUUACGAUUAUUUUCUAACUGGAUUAUUCUGUAACCAAAUUUUACAAUAAAACUAAAAAAAUUUAUUUAAAAUGUAUCUACAAACUUUAAAUGUUAUAGAUAUAUUCAUAUAUAUAAUUAUUUUAUUUCACAUGCAAAAUAUAAACUAUAGAUAUUUUUAUAAAGUUAUUUUCAAAAUAUAUAUUAAAUAAUUUGAUGAUUAAUACAAUUUACAAAUAUAAAUUUAAUUAUAAGAAUACAAUAAAUAAAUUUCAAUUUAAUAUUUUCUCAAAAAUGAAAAUAAAAGUGAAAUUUAUUUGGCAUAUAAAAAAAUUUAGAGACAUAUAUAUCUAUGUUAUUAAAACAUGAUACAUUUAAUUUUUAAAAUAUAAAUUUAUUAAUAUAUAUAUAAACAUAAUAAUUGGUACUCUAAUUUAGAAAUAAAUACAUCAAAAUGGUUACUGUAGUCAAAAAUAUAAAUCGACAAAUAUAUUAUAUAAUUUAUUUUUAAUUUGUUUUGUAUUCUACCAUAAUAUGAGAAAUCAACAAAUUACACACAGUAAAAAUAGUCCAUUUAUCACAAUUACAAAUCGAAUAAAUACCAUAUGAAUGUAUAUAUCUACAACUAUUAUAUUUUGUAUUGUAAAAAAAAUUAUAUUUCUAUUUUGUUAAUUAAACACCCGUGCGGAUGCACGGGUCAAACUCUAGUUUGAUUUAUUUCAUAUGUCAUCACCAAUGUUUUAAAAACCAGAUCGGACAUUGACUCGGCAUUGUACCUGGGUAAACGGUCGGCUCGGUCCAACCCGGUUCAAGCGGCUUUUAAAUUUUAAUCAAAUUUUAAAUUAAAUAACUAUAUAUAUAUAUAUAUAUAUGUAUAAUCAAUUUAAUUUUAUAAACCUUUCUAUCAUUGUUAAUAUAAAAAAUCAUAUGAAAAUAAAAUGCAACUUCAAAAAUAAUAUAAAACUAUAGUGAAAGUAAUUUAUUUAGAUAAAUAUUAAAAAAAAUAUGAAUUUUUAUGAAAUCUUUUUUAAAAUUGCAAAUUUUAUUUUUAAACUUGAAUUUGAGAAAAUUUAUUUAAAAAAAUCUCAUAAUUUCAUAAUUGAAAAAUAUUGUUUAAAAUCAGUUUAAAAUUGCAUUAUUUAAACAUAACUUAACAUUUAAAAGUUUUACGUAAACACAAGUUCAAUUAAAGCUACUUAAUUUUUUAUAAAACUUUAUUGUAAAUAACAUGUUUGGUUUUCUGUUGUGAAAGCAACACUAAGUAUAAAUUGCAUGCACCAUUAAAUAUUGAUUCUGGCAGAGUAACAAACGUUACAGAUACUAAAGUUUUAGCUAGCUCUAUUCAAAUAUGAAAGAAUUUCUAUACCAAAAACGAUGUGUGUUUUUUACUGAGAAAAACAUAAUUUUUUUUACUGAGAAAAACAUAAUUUUCUUGAAUAAAGUAGAAUCUUAAAUAUUGAAAUAUUUAUGUUGAUAGUUCAAAUUUCUUCUUAUAUUAAAUUACAUAUAAAUCUGAUAUUGAUAUAUUUAUAUUAAAGAUAUUGUCUUUUUAUAUUAAAUUUAUUUUUUAGUUAUAAAAAAAGAAAAUCGUUUUUAUUAAAUUACAUGUUUUAUAUUUAUUAAAGAUAUUUCCUUUUUGAUGAUAAAGUGAUUUGGAAACAAAUAUUUAAAUGUUUAUUAAAAUAUUGAUAGUGGUAUUUUAACAAUAAAAUUUAUUUAUUAAGGUUAUCACUGUAAUUAACCAUUCUAAGAAUCAACGUGAGUGCGACACGUAGAAAACUGACUUAUCAUAUACUAUUAUAGAGAUAAAGUACUAUUAUGGAGAUAAAGUACUAUUAUGUUCUACACAACUUUAUAUAAUUUUGCUUAUUUGUCAUCUAACACUAUUAAAAGGGGAAUAACAAGCCCUCUUAGAUGUGCCACGUCGGAUUGGAAAUUCAGACCAAUCAAACACAAGUUUUAUGACAUGUCAUUAGGUCAACACAUUAACAUACUGAACUUCAAUUUUAUUCGGCAAAAUCGAUUCCUUUUUCUUUCUUCUCAAUUUCUCUGCAAAAUGUAUUCUGAACUUUUGAUUUUCUAUCCAAGAGUCUACUCAUUGAUUCCUCUUCCUUUCUUCUCUCCUUCUCUACAAAACUUUUACCAUACCCAAGAGUCACUUUUUUUUUAAACUUCAGGCUUGUGAACUCUUAUUCUCGAAGUUGACUUUUGUGUGGUUCUCUUAGAAAUCCUAUUUCUGGAUUUAUGAUUCUGAAAAUUGGAAUUUUGUUUUUCGUAGUUGUAAGAUGGGGAAGAGAUGAGAAAGCGGUUAUAGGCGUUUCAGACAAAAAAAAGAAACAAGAGCUAAAGAAGGAGAAUCACGAUAAAUUACAAAGAGAUUUACGGCAAAGAUCAAAUUGAUGUGCUCUCCUCUGAACUCUGAUGGUAUCAUGGUAAAAAUAUUUGAUUCAAAAGCACUAAAAUUAUAGAGUGGAGAGAUUUGUGGAGAGAUUCAGUUUUUUUGUUCUCAUGUAAUUUUAAGUUAGUUCUCUCAUUGUUGUAUCUUUUCGCAUGAACAUUGUAAUUGAGUUGUUUGUGUGUAUGUCUUUUUAUAGAGUGUGGAUCACUGGAUCAACAUGGGUUUGCAAGGGACAAAAUCUGGGUAAUCGAUGACAAUCUAUCUCCUAUUUACUCAAAAGAGUUCUUAAGAAAAGCUUAGUUGAUCUUCAUCUCAAACCAUCAGAAGAGGACUUAAAGCAAUGGUCUGACAGGUAAAAGUAAAACCAUCAUCAUGCCUUUUAUGAUCUAUCUUUAUAGAUUCUGAAUUCUGUGUGUGUUUCCUUUUUGAGUUCCAGGUUCACUUGCUAUAGAUGGCGACUCAACAUUGAUUUCUUUAGAAACAUCAAUGGCAAGCCCUUCAGAUUCUUAUUUGCAUAUCAUACUUACCUCGCUGUCUCAGAUAUAAGGUAAUUGUACUCUUUAAAAAAAUAUAUCAUCAGCAAAAUAUUCUGUGUUUGAUGAAUCAUUCAACUAUUGAAGGAUCAGAAACAUUUGACUACUUGGAGAACCUCAGCAAAAAUGAGCUUUUGACUCUACUAGAGUAGAAACAUACUUCCCUGAGAACAAGUAUCGUUCGUUAACUGCCCAAAGUGGUAUCUCUCAGACACCAUAAGCUAAAUAAAUGUUUCUUUCAACGUGCAAAAAUCUGAAUCACAUUGCUUUAUAUUUCUAAUCUUCUUUGUUGGCAGGAACUUUGAAAACACAUUAAGUGAAUAGAACGUGUGAUGAUGAACUCAAUAUUCAGAACGUCUUUGUAGAACAUGAUGUCGUUUGUGUAAGUCGUAUAAUAUAAUAACUGUUCCAUAUUUACAUAUAUUUCGUCUUAGAACACAAAUCCAGACUGACCACAGAGUUCUUUAUUUUUUUGUUCUUAUAUGGUUUGAUUCGAAGUUAAAGUUCGUUUCUUUAAUUAUGUGUGUUGCAGAAGUCCAAGAGGAAUGAGUAUGCCAAACUAUCUCCUAACGUUUGCAAGGUAUUGUUUUACCUUGUCUGAUUUGUUUUCAUCAUUCUGUAAUUUUCAUGUGUUUGUUCGCUACAUGCUCGCAAGAGACUCAGCUUGAUCUUUGAAAAGUGCUCUGCUUUUUUCAAUUUUAGUUAGAGACCAAGGUUUCAAUUUUUGUUGCUGUUUGUUUGUGUCUCAGACUGUUUCGGUCAGGUUGAUAAAGGGGCUAAUAUUCUUGAAAUUUAUCGCAAUCAUUGUGAUACUGAUCACACUUGCUCGCAUGACGCUGCUACUUGCUCUUUUUGGUUCUUUGCGGGAGAAAUUGAAAGACUUGCGUUUAGCAUCUGAUCUCUCUUCUUUGUGUGUGUUUCUGCAAGUAAAAAUGGUUAAGGGCUUUGAAUGUACUUUUCAUUCUGAUGGGUUAUUUGGGAUUUAAAGUUUUUGACAUUCUCAGAGUUUCCAUAAAUUUGCAGCAUUGAACGUCAUUUUCCCUUUAUGAGUCCGUGCAAUAAGCUUGAAGACAGAGGUGGAAAGUCGGGGAGGUGGAUGGGACGAGCUUGCUGUGAUGGAUGGGGCGGAGAGGCGUCGGAUCUGAAGAAGCUGUGUAGUGGAGAUGGCAGAGGAAGCUAGCGGUGGUAGUGGUGGCGGCACAAAAAGAGAGAGCACUGGAAGAAUGGAGAUGAAUUUUAGGUUUAGUUAAAAAUUUGGUUUAGUUUGGUUUAGUUUAAUAUCGCAUUCAUAAAUAUGUAAACAAUUUCAAUAUAUAAAAUUUAAUUUAAUUUAUAUUUUUCAUAAUUUUUUAUUUUUUAAUAAUGAAAAUAAUUAACAAAAGUAAUACAUCAUUAAAAUCAAAUUAAUAAAUUUUAAUAACAUUUGUAUAACGUUAUUAUAAAUAUUAACAAUUGCAUAGAUAUUAACGCUAUUGUUGUUUAUUUAACUAUAGCAUACGACAAAUCCGCUAUCAAAAGGGUUGGACGAUGUCAGAGCGUUUUAGGGAACGCUAUUAAAAUGAACUAAUAGCGUUUAACGCCAGCUAUUAAUACCCCAUUUCCUAUAGUGUUCGAGUUACUACGCCAGAGUAUGCAACAUUCAGCAAGGUGGUAGCUUCCAGUUACGCUAAAUAGUCAAAAGUUGGAAAGUUUGGAUUUGAUCUGGUCACGUGCUCAAAGUCAUACCUUUUUAUUAAUCUUAUAAUGGUAACUUCUUUCUAUUGUUGAAAAUGCUUUUCUUUCUUUUAUAUAGAGUGAAGGUGGUGACAAAGCAGUUAAUCAGUUAGACAAAUCUGUUAAUCAACAAUAGCCGUCAACAUGUCUAUUGAGAACAAGGAAGUUGCUGAGAAGAUACAUCCGAGAACUAUACAAGUUUAAUUUUCUUGAUCUAUGUGUUAGUUUUAUCGCCGCCAACGUCCAGGAUUGUGAUCUCCAGUCUCUGCUUUAUACUAUAGUUCAGGUUAUAAAUGGAGUUGCUACACUGUUUAGUGGACCACGAUACCUGCUCCUAAGGGUUAAAUGUAUUCGAUGGCUAAAUCUCUUUCGUGCAAGUCGCAUAUUCAUUCCUAUAGCUUCACUGGUAUUGGAUAUACUGGAAUAUAAAUCCAUAAAUGAUAGUGAAAAGCAAGGAAGUAGCUUGAAGCUGUUUCAACCGUAAAGCUGCUUAAGAAUUGGUUGAAGUCCCUGAAUUUCCAAGAACAAUGUAUCUUUUCUGUGAUUGAGCUCCUUGCCGUCCACUUUUCUCAACGGAGCUUCAACAUAUCUUUUCUAGAGCUUGCUAUUAUUCCCUUAUGAGGCUGAACAAAUUUAACGAGAGAAGCAUUCUGGAAGGGUUAAAGAUGGACAUGGUGGUCAAACACUUCAUCAAGCAGGUGGAGUUGAAUAUUGAGUCUGUACACAAUACUAUCAAAGCAUCACAGACAAAGGUCUUGGAACAAAAAAAGAAGAAGUGAGACAAGUGUGCGAACAAUAAUAAUGCAAUUCCUGGGUUUGCAACUCAGAUUAUAGGGCAUAAUCAAACCGUAGCAGUUAGAAUUCUCAAAUUCUUAAACCAUUUUUGUUUCAUAAAUUAUUUUCAGAAAUACACAAAACGUCUAUGCAAUCUGGUUAAUAAAAACGGUGAAACAAAAAUAAAUCAGAUUCAUUCGAAAAAAUGUGUUUAAUCAGUAAUCUAAUUUCAGACCUACAACAGUAAUGUUUUAAAAAUGUUUUAAAAACAAUAGCCAAAAAAAAGUAGCAAUCUAAUUUCAGACCUAUGACAGUAAUGAUUUUGUUAUAUAUCGACAAUUUAUAACUUUGAGAGAGCUUUUAAACUGGGUAUGAGGUCCUCACUCUUACUUGUUUUCGAGAGGUCAUGCAAGAUCAUGUUUGAGCAAAGUUGACUCAAACACUACCCAACAAACAAACAAAAAGCUUGAACAUGAAAAAAAAAGUAUUAAUAUUUACAAUGAUUUCCAAAGUAUUAAAUAUUUAAAUGAUUAUCAUCAAAUGUAGUUAAAUAAAUAUUAAAAUAGUUAAAUUAUUAAAAUAAGGAACUAUGUAUAAAUUAAUAUGACAUCAAAUGUAAGAAAGUAAACCUUAAAUAACUUUACAACUAAAAAUAUUCAAAUCAUGAAGCAAAAUUUCUUUCCAUCACAAAAAAGCAAACAAUAAAUGAUAAAUUAAAUAUUUGGUUAAAGGUAAAUGGAGACAACAAACUCGAUUGGUACUUUCUCUUAAAUUCAAGUAUAAAAAUGAAAACUUAAUAAUUGUAAAACCAAACAAAAUUUAUACAGUAUUAAUUAUAAGUUUUACAAUUUUUUUACAUAAAAAUAAUAACCAAGAAAAGAAUAUAUAUAGAUCUUAACUAAUAAUUUAGUUAACUUUUUAUUAAUCUUUGCUAAUAUGAUUCUAAUAUCCUAUUUAAAUUUCCAAUAAAACACACAAACAAAUUCUAAUAGUUUUAAAUAUGCAUAUAUUUUUAUAAUUAUUCUUUAACCAGUUCCAGUAUAUAUUAUAUUUGUUCAUUUUUAAAAUAAAAAUACACAAAUUCAAUUAAUAUUAUAGGAAAAAAUCCGGGCGUAGCCCGGAAAACCCUCUAGUAUUUUUAAUGAUUUUGACUGAUGAAUCAUCAAUUUAGAUUUAUACUAUUAUUUAAAAUUUUAUCUUAUUUAGUCAUCAAUUAUUUAUUUAAUCUUAAUUUUAAAAUAGAAUUAAACUAAUAUUUAAAAUUAAUUAAUGUAAUCAAAUAAUAAAUCUAAAAACUGACAAAAAUUAUUUUAAAAUAAAAUUUAAAUUUAAAAAAAUAUUACUCUAAACAUAGUGCAGAAAAAUACCUAAUACAACUUCAUAUUGUAAGUGAACAUAAUGUUCAAGACAAAAAAAAAGUGGUAGUAAUAGCAAAAAGUAUAAAUACAAAGUAAACUAUAAAGGGGCCAUCAUAAAACUAACAAUUCUUCAAUAGUUAUAAGUUAGAAAAUAUUAUAUAGAUUCUUUAACUUAAAAAUUAGUUAUUUAUUAAUGGUAUCAACGUUUUUAACCGAUCUGACUUUUAAGGUGAGAGCUAAUAAAAAAAAAUUAAAUCAUUUUGCAAAUAAUAAAUAGAUAUAUUAUAUUUUAACAUUUAAAAGACACACAUAUAUUUCGAGGCUCUAAUCUUAUAGUACGGUUUUCAGAAUAAAUGUUGAUGAAGAACUAGAAGCCAUGGGUAAGAAAAUGGUCACAUAUUGUGGAGGACUACCAUUAGCCGUUAAAGUGCUGGAGGCUUGUUAGCUAAUAAAAACAUGGUUGAAGAGUGGAAAAGAGUAGAUGACAAUAUUCAAACUCAGAUAGUUCGCAUAGAUGACAACAGUCAAGAUUCGGUUUACCGAGUAUUGUCUAUGAGCUAUGAAGAUUUGCCCAUGCAGUUAAAGCAUUGCUUCCUAUACCUAGCUCAUUUUCCCGAAGAUGACAAGAUACAAGUACGGAUAUUGUAUAAUCUUUGGGAAGCAGAAGGAAUAAUAACGUCAAGUUGCGAUGGAGAAACCACUAGGAAAAUUGGAGAAGAAUACAUAGACGAGCUAGUAAGGAAAUAUGGUUAUUGCAGUAAAAGAUGAUUUGAGUUGCAAAUGGAAGUAUUGUCAAAUGCAUGACAUGAUGAGAGAAGUAUGUUUAUAUAAAGCCAAAGAAGAGAACUUUCUUCAGUUUAUCGAAGUACCUACUUCUUCACCUCUACCAUCAAUGCGCAUACUCCUACCAGAGCUCGCAGACUCGUAGUACACGGUGAUGGUAAUGCAUUUGAUAUGCUGGGACGUAAAAACAAUCAAAAAGCUAGAUCUGUUUUGGUUUUGGACUCGACAGCAACUUGUGGAAGCAGUCAGGUCAAGGAUUACGAAAUUUACAACUACUAGGGUCUUAGAUCUGAAUUUACAAACACAUGAUAGCGACUCUAGAGGAGGGAGAAUACCAUCCAGCAUUGGAAAAGCUCAUUCAUUUGAGAUAUUUGAGCUUACACAUGGGUCGUGCAACUCAUGUAGAGUUAAGGUCCCUGAUGCUUCCCUUUAUAUUGACGCUAAACAAAGUUGGAAUUGGGUAAUCUACUGAACCUAGAGUACUUGGUCGGCUUCCGACUUGAAUACGUAGCAUCACAGACUUCCUCCGAAUGAAAAGCUCAGGACUCUCGAGAUAUUUCUCAAAGGCAGGUAUACUUCUGAAAUUCUUGCGUCAUCUCUCUGUGAAUUAACAAACCUGGAGACGCUUAAAUUGAUCAAUGUGAACGGAUACGAUGAGGCUUAUGAUUUGGAUUUCGUUUGGAAUUUCAUUCAUCUAAGGCAUUUAGAGCUGGACAUACAUAUAACAAGGCUUCCUGAUCACUCUCGAUUUCCUCCCCACUUGCACACAUAUCUCUAUGUGACUGUAAAAUGGAGGAGGAUCCACUGCAGAUUCUGCAAAAGUUGCUUCAUUUAAAGUCGGUUGAAUUAUCAUAUAGUACUUUCGUGGGGAGGAAGAUGGUGUGUUCAAAAGGUGGAUUCCCUCAGUUAUGUAAGCUACAAAUACGGUUCCUGCACAACUUGGAAGAGUGGAUAGUCGAAGAAGGGUCGAUGCCAUGUCUUCGUACCUUGUCUAUUCGGUAUUGUAAGAAGUUGAAGGAGCUACCGGAAGGGCUCAAGUAUAUAACUUAUUUAAAGGAACUGGAUAUCAGACAUAACAACAAGGAGUGGAAGAAGAAACUCGCACCAGGUGGGGAAAGUUAUCACAAAGUCAAACACAUUCCUAGUGUUCAAUUAAACUAUCGUGGCAAUUAAUAAGGAGAAUAAAACUGUCUCAGGUAUAUAUUCUUUUUGGUAUAAUGUCAAUAUUGUUCAUUUUGUUGGUUAUGUAUCCUCCUUGAAGUUUAGUGUGAGUCUCAACUCUCUGUUAUUCGGUUUUCAGGUGAACCUACUCAGGAUCAGUACCCACCACUAUCGAUUGUGUGAUAUGAUAAUAAGUCGUUUUGUUGUAUGAAGUUUACAUAUCUUGUUUGUGAUAUAUUUCGUUUAUCUGUUUGCAUGCUCAUUCACUGUAAUACUAAGUUUGAAAUAUAUUUUGUAUGUUGAACCAUAUCUUCUUCGAUGUCUCCGUUGUGUGUGCUUAGUUGAUUUUCAUAGUCGGAACUGGAGAUAGAACGAUGGUUUUAUCAUGACAAAACGCAAGAACAACAACACAUAUAAAUUAGAUAUGUUGUAACAACUAUUUAAAAAAUUGAAUGAUGGAAACCCCAAAUUUGUUUAAAGAAAAUGAUGUUGAUAGUGGUUUUUGAAAAAAAAAAAGGAUUAUGAUGAACAAUAACAAUGAAAACUCAUUGUAAACACGCUUUAGAGAGCCAAACAAAUAAAUCAAUUCUAAGAUUUUUGGUGGAAAGGUAAUUUAAGAGGAGAUGGAAAACGAUAACAGGAAUGAGUCUUUAAAAACACACAUAUAUAUAGAUUGAUAAAGGAUGCUUCAUCUAAGAGUUGUAUUGUUUUGAGAUGGAGACUAUUCGGUGAAAAGAUGCAACGCACCGCAGUUUUGUUUUUUUAUAUCAUUAAAUUCAAUCAAAUAUGACUGUUGGACUUAAAACCUUUUUCUUUUAAAAAGUGACGAUAUCACCAGUUUUGGUAUGCUAUUAUAUAUAUAAUUUUUUUAUAAUGAAAAUAUACAAUUUUAAAAAUUAAUAAUAUUCAGAUUGUUAUGAAAAUAUACAAUUUAUAUAAUGAACAGACACAAUUUUUCAAACUAAUACAUUUCAGUUUUUUUUUAUGAAACAACACAACCAAAGUAGUUAUUUUGAAAAGACACAACUAUUUCGAUUUUUAGAAAAGAUACAACUUUUCAACAUAAGUAAGAUUCAUAACCUUUGAAAUUAAUCAGGAUUGCUAUUAUUAGUAGAUAAAAUAUUUGAUUUUAUCAUAUAUAUAUAUAUCUAUUAAUAAUAGCAAUCCCAAUUAAUUCAAAAGGUUGUGAAUUCUACUUAUGUUGAAAGGUUAUAUCUUUUCAAAAAUUAAAAAUUGUGAUUUUUCAUAUAAGUAUUAUUACAAAAAGACACAACUUUUUAAUUCAAACGAUGUGACUCUUCGAAUUUUUUUUUGAAAAUCUGUAAAUAAUCCAAUGUCCAUGCCUUCUCAAAGCAUAAUUUCCCUAAUCAAAUAAAAUGGUCACAUUCGUAGGGUUUUUAUAAAUACUUUAAAAAUAUAUAUAUAUUUAAAUAAAAAAAUGUGACUAUUUAUAGUUAAAAGUUGUGACUAUUUAUAUAAGUAUUAUCUCAAAAAGAACAACCAAUUAAUAUGAAAAGUUGUGAAUUGAUAGGUUGUGUUUUAAAACAUGUAACUCUACAAAAUAUUAGCUUUAAGAGUUGUGUUUUUUCAUCAUAAAUGAUAUAUUAGUUUUCAAAAGUUAUAAAAUAUUCUAUAAAGUAUCUUUGUACAAUUAUUUGUUUCUAGAGUUGUUUAUUAGUUAGUGUAAAUAGUAAUGUCUUUCUAUUGUAAAAGAAAACUAGAUUUUGACCCGCGCUUUUUAAGCGCGGGUUUUUUUCCGACAAAAAUAAAAGUUUAAAUUGAUUAUUAUUUUGUGUUCAUAUAAUUUUUUUAAGAUUAAAGUCACCAUGAUUUAUAUUGAUGUGAUCAAGCAUCUGCGUUUUUGAAAUUUGGUUGAAAUGUUUUUAAAAAUGAUGUUUGUUUGUCUAAUAGUAUAUGAAAUAUGAAGUGUAAAUAUAUAUAUUGGUAUUGGAAAGAUUGUUGCACACAACUAUAUAUAUAUAUAUAUAUUAACUAUCAAAAUUUAAAAAUAUAAAAGCAAAUAUAUAAAAGGAUUUAAUAUGUAGUUAUUAUAAAGCUAUAUUUUUUUCUAUACAUAGUCAAUAUUUAAAUUAUUGUUGAAAAUUAAAAUCUAAGUUUUUAAUUGCAGGUUUAUUAAUAUAGGUGUAAAAUGAGUUUUAAUAUAAACUAUGACAUUGUCAUAUAUACAUGAUACGUUUUUUUAUUUCACAUGUCCUAUUAGAAACAUACCAUAUAUAGGUCUAUUUAUUUAUACUGCUGGUACAUACGAUUUUAUAUAUACCUUUAUCAAAAUAUGCGAUAUUAUAAGGACUAAAAACCUUUUAACUAACGUUGAGUAAUAUAUGGUAAUAGGAGAAAUAAUAGGUAGACCAAUAUACUAUUAAUUAAAUAAAAGGGUGCAGUAACCUUGUUUAAGUAGAUUUCUCAAGACUGAUUCUCUUUUAAUAGAAUAGAUUUAGUUUUUAAAAAUAGUUAAGGUGUCUUUCUUUAAUAAAUAUCUUCGUGUCUUUCUAUUAAUCUUGUUGUAUUGUGUAACCUUGCAAUGUUUGGUUAUUAACAGUUGCAACUUUUAGUUUCUUAUAUAAAGAAUUUUGGAUUGCGACACAUCACAAAAAUUCAUUUACUUGAUUCACCCAAAACAUACAACAUUUUGUAUAUUUGUUUAUUUUAGAAUAACAACACUUGUGAAACAUAAAACAAGUGUUUCAAAACAUUUCGAUUGCAAAAAAGAAAAGAAAAUACCCAGUAUUCCUCAACAUGCAUACUGCAUAUAUAAUCUCAUACAUCACUCUCCUAAACUCUUUUUUCUUUGUUUUAUUUUUGUUGUAUUAUUGACUAGUAUAUAAUCUUAUAUUAAUAUUAUACUCAUGUGAUGAGAACUUCCCCCCCCCCCCCCCCCACCCCCCCCACCCUUUUCAAAAUUCGACCAAUUAAGUUGGUUCGUUGAAUCGUUAUCGAUUUUUAUAAAUUGGUUCUGCAACGGAUCAUCGUCCAUCGCGCAACACUCCAACCUCGUCUCCCAAGGCACGUUUACAGAUUUGUCAAGUCGUCAUGUUCUUCUGAUCUGAUAAAUGCGUAAUUUGAUGAACUCUUCUCUCGCCUAUUUGCGGUACUAUUAGGCAGAAGAACCCGUCGAUUUACGUCCCGUCACGACGGAUCUCCAGCGGAACUGCUGCGGCGACGCUGCGUUAUGCCACUGCUAUGAGAUCUUAUUCUACGUCGUUUAUGGAAGAGAGGGACACUUUCGGGCCGAUCCAAGUUUCUUCCGGUAAGUACAUGAUAUUUUUUUUUUUACCAUAACGUCUUGACUAUCUCAGUUCUCCAGUAUGUCUUAUCAGCCUUAUCUUUGUUGUCACUGUGUCAGAUUUUGGGGAGCCCAGACGCAGAGACGCUGCAGAACUUCGAAAUCGGUGAUGAGCACGAGCGUAUGUCCAAACCUAUCGUCUGCGGUUUUGGCGUCUUGAAGAAGUGCGUGGCCAAGCAUAGCUAUAAGUCUAUAACCAUAGGUUUUGUCUAAGUCAUGCACAUUGCCGCUGUAACUGAGAUUAAUUGAAGGCUCUUAUUCGUAAGACUGAUCAAAAAGCCAAUAAUGUGGCGGUGAUUUCAACCGGAAAGGAAGAUAAGUUCAAUUAUUAAGCUUCUAAAAAGUACAUAAAAACAUACCUUGACAAUCUAUGAUUAAGAGAUGAACGAAAAUGCAAUGCAGAUGAAUGAAGAGGUUGAAUAGAACGCAGAAAUCAGGAAUCAGAAAAAGAAAAUUGAAAAAAGGAGAUAAUUUGUAAACUGGUUAUCAAAAAUAUAAACGUAUGAAGAGGUGCCAACUAAGAGUCACAAUUUCAUUAAUGGAUAAAAGUCAGACAAUGCUUCACUACCGACAUACAACUUUGGUAGAGUCGUGUCUUAACUAAACCAUUGGAUUAAAAGGUUGCUAAUCUCAACAGUUUCCUGUUUUUUUUUUUGAAGAAAAUUACUAUAAGAAUAUGAAAUGGGACUUGGAACAAAAAAAAAGAAAAAAAAAAGAAAAGGGACUUCACUAACGACACAAAGCUUCAGUAGCGGUAGCGUCUCCUUUUUUUGUCAAAACAAAAAAAUUACUAAUCUGAACAGUUUCCUGUUUUUUAAAAGAAAGUUACUAUAAGAUUAUGAAAAGGGACUUCACUAACGACACAAAGCUUCGGUAGCGUCUCCUUUUUUUAGUCAAAUCAAAUGAUCAGCCCUUGGAUUAAAAGGUGUACUAAUUUCAACCAUUCCUUUAAACAAAAUUAUAAUAUAAAAAAAUGAUGUCAGAUAAAUACAAAUUUUGGUUUGCUAUUAUAUGUAGACCGUGUUUUUUUUGUAAUGAUAUAUCUUUUCAAUAUACAUUAUAUACAACAUUUUAAAAAAACUAUUUAUAAUUUGAAAAGUCGUGAUCAUUCAUAUACAUAUUUGAAAAACUAUAAAUAGCCCAUGUCCAUAAAUUUCUUAUUGUAAAUCUUUCAAAAAUUUAUUAAAAUGGCCAAAAAGAAAAGUUAUGUGCAGUAACCUGAUUACAAAUAAUUUGAAGAUAAUAGACGAAACGAUGUCAACAAAGAAUUGUAGCAAGGGUCAUUCAUGUUUGGCUAGUAAAAAAUUCUAAACGAGAUACUGAAGUUAUUAGUCUUAAUUUCUCUUCAACUAGAUGAAAAUGUGUGCUUUUAUUUCUUACAAAUUUUGCAUUUGUAAUGAUGUAUGUUCCAUGAAACACAUAUUAUGCAUGUCUUAUAUAUUCAUGUGCUAUAUAUUCUUACACUUGGGUUAUAUAAGAAUGUAUGAUCAUGUCACAAAAGCCGGUAAAUUUUAGUAACAUAAUAUUCUUAUUGAUUGUUGACAUUUUAUUUGAGUGGAUAUUUUUGUUUUACAAAACCAGUCAAUUAAUGUAUUUUUUUCUCAUUCUCUUGGGUUGUUUCAUAUUUGUGACAUCAAUAAUCAUUAUCAAUAAAAGAAUAUAGUUAUAUACAAAAUAAUUUUGUAACACGUGUAUUGUCUCAAAAUUAAUUGUAAACAAUUUUCAUAAAAAUUUAUUUUAUAAAAUAUAUUAUAUUUACUUUUAUGAAAUGAGUUCCCGUGCGAUAUCGCACGGGUUCCUUACCUAGUAUUAACAGUGGCGGUUCUACUAAGCUCAAGAAGGUGGCACUUGCCCCCUAUAAAAUCAUUAAAUUCUUUUUAACUUACCCAAAAUUUUGUUACAUACGUUUACUGAAAAUCAUGUUUUAUUUAUAUAGUUGUAUUUACAUAUGAUUUGCCCCCAGUAAAAUUUUGUUCUACAUCCGCCCCUGUAUAUUAAUUAACUUUUAGAAAUCCGACAUUUAUAUUUUUUUGUUACACUAUUUGGUGUAUACAAAAUAUGUUUUAUAGAAUUUAAAAUGUAUUUUUAUAUAUAAUUUUACGAAAUAUUAUCAAAAUAUAUUGAAAUGUUAAGAAAAAAUAGAAAUGAACUUCAUUUGUGAAUAUAAAACAAAUAAUACAAUGUUUAAUGUUUGUACUUUAUGUGUUUAUUAAUUAUAGAAUUUUUACUGCAUAUUGUUAUAAAUAUAUAUAUAUAUAUAUUUUAAAAACAUUUGAAAAGACUAAACACACUAUUAUUUCAAGACUCUGAUCUUAUAACGUGUGUUACUAUUUUCAGAAUUUGAUGUUGAUGAGGAACUAGAAGCCAUGGGUAAGGAAAUGGUGGCAUAUUGUGGAGGACUACCAUUAGCCAUUAAAGUGUUGGGAGGCUUGUUAGCUAAUAAAACCAUGGUUGAAGAGUGGAAAAGAGUAGAUGACAAUAUUCAAACUCAGAUAGUUCGCAUAGAUGACAAAAGUCAAGAUUCUGUUUACCGAGUAUUGUCUAUGAGCUAUGAAGAUUUGCCAAUGCAGUUAAAGCAUUGCUUCCUAUACCUAGCUCAUUUUCCCGAAGAUGACAAGAUACAAGUGGACAGAUUAUAUUAUCUAUGGGCAGCAGAAGGCAUAAUAAAGUCAAGUGGCGAUGGAGAAUAACGAGUCAAGGUCCAACCGGGCAAUCCGGUUUUCAAAACACUAGUCAUCACCAUAAUGAUUCUUUUUUUUAGAGAAAUAUGUUAGCCAUCUAAACAUAUAAUAUAAUACUCAUUAAACUAAGUAUUAAAUUAAUUAUUAAUGUACAAAACAUAUUAUUCCUUCUUUGCUUAAGUAUAAGCUACAAAAUUACAUAAUGUGAUAAAUAUAUAUAAGGAGUUUUCUUGCGCCAUGCGCAAAUAUACUAAUUUUUAGCUAAAUUUUUAUUUAUUUUAUUUUAAAUAAAAAUAAAUUUACGUUUUCAUACUAUUAUUUUUAUAUUUUAAAUUCAUCGGUCUGGAAAAGAGUGAAAUCACAACUAUUUUUUUGUAAUUUUGUUUCAUUUGAUUUGUUUUAUUUAUUUUAAUUUUAUUUUAUAUGAAUUUUAUUGGAGAAGAAUUAUAUUUUAUAUAACUUUGAAUUUUAUUUAUUUAUAUUUAGUGAUUAUUUAUUUUGAAUAUGUUUCUUAUCCUCUAAGUGUAUAAAUUUUAAUAAUGAUUGGGUUUCUGUUUAAAUGUAUAGCUAAUAUGUUAAACUUGUAAACUCAAUUUCUUAAUUAAUCAAAUAAACUAAUGGAUGCUACUAAAAUUUUAAACAUUUAAUCAUCCAAAAAAAUUGAUUAGCAUUGCUUUAGUUUUGUGUUCCCUAAUGCACACUUACACUUUAUUUUAAUAAAAUAUAAAAUAUAUAUAGAAAAUAUGAUAAAUAAGUUAAUUUAAAAUUAAAAUAUAAUUAUAUUUAGUUUAUUUUUAUAAAUAUGAUAUAUAUAAUUUUAUUUUAUUUCAAUGGUGAUAUAUGAAUUAUUAGUUAUUAAUAUACUUUAAAAGUCUUGCCAAAAUAAACAUUUACACAGAAAUGCUAACUUCUAAAUAGUGAUAUAAACAUUAUUAGUCAUUACCAUUUUUAUAAAUUCUUACUAAAAAUAUAUAGAUUUGUAAAAGUUAUUAUUAUUACCAUAUUUAAAAGUCUUUAACAAAAAUAUAAAUUUUUAUAAGAAAAUUUUCAUGUCAAAUUAACUUGAUCUCAUGUCAUUAUUUUCUAAAAACAUGUCAUUUUUUUGGGUGAGAAUGAACACUGUGAUGACAUGUGUACAAAACCACUUUGCAAUUAAUAUUUAGGAGAUACUACAAUCAAUGACUUUGAAUAAUAAUGAUUUGAUAACAAUUUGUGUAUCAUCCAUCAUCUUUAUUUAAUUUUAAAUUAUUAAAAUAAAUUAAUUAAUCAUAUUAAUCAUCUAAUAAAAAAUAGAUUUUCCUUAUAUUUUGAAUUUUAAAGAUGACUAUAAAUUACUAAAAUUGUUAAAAUUAAUGGUUUAAUUUUAUUAUUAUAAUAAGAUACAAAUGAUCAUAAGAACUUAUGAAUAUGAAAUUUCAUUUAAUAGAACUGUAGAUUAAAAUAUAUAUAUAUAUAUAUAUAUAUAUAUAUAUAUAUAUAUUUUAAUAUCGUUUAAAUUUAGCUGUAUAUAUAUAUAUUUUUUUUUCUGAACAUUUGAAAAGACUAGAGACAUUAUUUCAAGGCUCUAAUGUUAUAAUAUGUGUUACUGUUUUCAGAAUUUAUUGUUGAUGAAGAACUAGAAGCCAUGGGUAAGAAAAUGGUCACACAUUGUGGAGGACUACCAUUAGCCGUUAAAGUGUUGGGAGGCUUGUUAGCUAAUAAAACCAUGGUUGAAGAGUGGAAAAGAGUAGAUGACAAUAUUCAAAGUCAGAUAGUUCGCAUAGAUGACAAAAGUCAAGAUUCUGUGUACCGAGUAUUGUCUAUGAGCUAUGAAGAUUUGCCAAUGCAGUUAAAGCAUUGCUUCCUCUACCUAGCUCAUUUUCCUGAAGAUGACAAGAUACAAGUGGACAGAUUAUAUUAUCUAUGGGCAGCAGAAGGCAUAAUAAAGUCAAGUGGCGAUGGAGAAACCACUUGGGAAAUUGGAGAAUACUACAUAGACGAGCUAGUACGGAGAAAUAUGAUUAUUGGAGUAAAAGAGGAUUUGAGUUGCAGAUGGGAGUAUUGUCAAAUGCAUGACAUGAUGAGAGAAGUAUGUUUAUAUAAAGCCAAAGAAGAGAACUUUCUUCAGUUUAUCGAAGUCCCUACUUCUUCCAUCUCCACCAUCAAUGCUCAUACUCCUACCAGAUAUCGCAGACUCGUAGUACACGGUGGUGGUAAUGCAUUUGAUAUGCUGGGAUGUAAAAACAAUAAAAAAGUUAGAUCUGUUUUGGGGUUUGAACUCGACAGCAACUUGUGGAAGCAGUCAGCUCAAGGACUCAGAAAUUUACAAUUACUUAGGGUCUUACAUCUGAGUUUAGAUUAUAAAAGCGACUCUAGAGGGUGGAGAAUACCUUCGAGCAUUGGAAAACUCAUUCAUUUGAGAUAUUUGAGCUUAGACAUGGGUUGGGCAACUCAUGUACCUUCUUCUUUACGGAAUCUAAAGCUUCUAAUCUAUUUGAGAAUUUCCUCCUGGGGACUGGAAAGAGUUCAUCUGCCAAGUAUCUUUAACGAGAUGGUACAGUUGAGGGUCCUGAUUCUUCCCCGUUCUUUUGACGCUAAAACAAAGUUGGAAUUGGGUAAUCUCGUGAACCUGGAGUACCUGAUCGGCUUCCGAUCAGAAUACGGUAGCAUCACAGACUUCCUCCGGAUGAAAAAGCUCAGGACUCUCGAGACCUGGAGAAGCUUACAUUGAUCAAUGAGAACAACAAAUCCGAUGGGGUUUAUGAUUUGGAUUUCGUUUGGAAUUUCAUUAAGCUAAGGCAUUUAGUGAUAUGGAUGCAUAUGCCAAGGCUUCCUGAUCACUCUCGAUUUCCUCCCCACCUUGCACACAUAUCUCUAAUUAACUGUAAAAUGGAGGAGGAUCCACUGCAGAUUCUGGAAAAGUUGCUUCAUUUAAAGUCGGUUGAAUUAGGUUACAGAUCUUUCGUGGGGAGGAAGAUGGUGUGUUCAAAAGGUGGAUUCCCUCAAUUAUGUAAUCUAGAAAUAGAGUUACUAAACGACUUGGAAGAGUGGGUAAUCGAAGAAGGGUCGAUGCCAUGUCUUCGUACCUUGUCUAUAUGGUUCUGUGACAAGUUGAAGGAGCUACCGGAAGGGCUCAAGUAUAUCACUUCUUUAAAGGAACUGGAAAUCAUACAUAAGAACAAGGAGUGGGAGACGAAACUCGUACCAGGUGGGGAAAGUUACCACAAAGUCCAACACAUUGUUACCACUAUGAUGGCGACGAAUAAGGAGAGUAAACCGGUCUCAGGUAUGUUUUUUUGGUAUAAUGUCAAUAUUGUUCUUCUUGAAGUUUUGUGUGCAAGUCUCAACUAUCUAACCUUUUUAUUAUUCGGUUUUCAGGUGAACCUACUCAGGAUCAGUACCCACCACUACCGAUUGUGUGAUAUGAUAAUAAGUCGUUUUUGUUGUAUUGGUGUGUGAAGUUUACAUAUCUUGUUUGUGAUAUAUUCCGUUUAUCUAUUUGCAUGCUCAUUCACUGUAAUGCUAAGUUUGAAAUACAUUAUUUGUAUGUUGAACCAUAUCUUAUUCGAUGUUCUCCGUUGUGUGUGCUUAGUUGACUUGUAUAGUUACCGAACCGAACCUGAGUUUUCCAAAUUUGUCUUUUACUACUAAACCGGACAAAUUGAUGGUUUAAAAACAAAACUCGGUCUGGAUUAUAAUAAAAUCAGAUCAUGAGAGACUACCAAACAAGAGAGUCCUUUCGAUCUCUGCAAAUUUGUUUUUGACUCUAAUUAAGAGGAGAAGAAGUGUACUAGUUGAAGCGAAGAAUCCAAAACGCGGUGAUCAAUCGCCAAACGUAUGCAUAACUGGGUUAGAGCUUCCUCUUCCGAUCUCACGGGAACUCCUCCACAGCCUAGGAGGUAAAUUAAUUACUUCUUCUCCAUUCAAUUUUCGAUUUUAAUUUCAGCUGCUGAUUUUUAUUCUUCAAUCAGUGGACAUACAGCUGUCAAUGUCGGAAAAUCCAUGGUCGUGGUGUUCGGCGGUCUCGUCGACAAAAAGUUCCUCAACGACAUCAUUGUUUAUGACAUUGGUAAUAUCAUACUUCAGCCUAGGAUUAUUGAUUCCUUGAUCCAAAGAAGAUGCUUUUUUUUUAAAUUUCCCUUGAGUUACUGUCUUCGCUUGUAAUAUAAAGACUAGUGUUUCUUGUAGUUUAUUGUGUGUUAAGCUUAGUUAGGCUAAUGCGUACAUCAAAGAUAGAGUUACUUUGCAAAAAAAAAACUGUAGAAAACUGAAAACUUCACCACUAAAAUUAUUAGACUCACUAUAGGAUACUCUCUUUCUUAUUCCGCAUGGCAUUGUUUUAAGUACCAGUGAAAUUAGUUUCUUUACGGUCUGCUAGUAUAUGUGGUGGUUAUAUCAAGUACAUAGUUUCCUAUCCAGCUUUUUUAAUCGGUUUGUCUUAUGAUUUGCUUCUUCUUUAUCCUGUCGACUAGAAAACAAACUCUGGUUUGAGCCAGAGUGUACUGGCAGCGUUUCUGAAGGAAAAGUUGGCCCUACACCUCGCGCCUUUCAUGUUGCCAUAACAAUUGAUUGCCAUAUGUUCAUCUUUGGUGGACGUUCUGGUGGCAAGAGGUACUCACUACUAUAUAUUUUCUAGUUAGAAGCGUUUUUACAUUUCUACUUUCACCGGAAUAGCUUAUUUCUAGAAAUAAAUCAAUUUCAGAUUGGGUGACUUCUGGGUUCUAGAUACAGGUAAGUGUACAAUCAUAACAAUGUCAGUGACAUUAUGUCACUGAGACCUGCCUGGGAACUUUUUAAUACCCUGCUGCUGACAUUUUCUGCAGAUAUAUGGCAGUGGUCUGAGCUAACCAGCUUUGGCGACUUACCUACACCUCGUGAUUUUUCUGCUGCCGCUGCUAUUGGCAACCAGAAAAUCGUGUUGUGAGUAUCUGAAAUUUUAGACGUUCCAUCAGCUUGUUUCCUGCAUUGGCUUAGCCUAUGAUUAUUGGCAGGUGUGGCGGCUGGGAUGGUAAAAAAUGGCUGUCAGAUGUGUAUGUUAUGGAUACAAGUAAAACUUUAUACCUCUCGUCUACUUCAGUUUUGUAAUAAACUGUUUUUAAGUUUCUGAUAAUGUCAGCUUGCUUUGUAUUUGCUAGUGUCCCUUGAAUGGAUGGAGCUGUCGGUUUCGGGGUCGUUACCGCCUCCUAGAUGUGGUCAUACAGCCACCAUGGUUGAGAAACGUUUACUUGUUUUUGGUGGCCGAGGUAUAACACCAGAACCAGAAUCUUUGUUUUGCUUGAGCUGAUGACAACUAAACUGAGACUAUGGUUAUCUUUGACAGGAGGUGGUGGCCCUAUCAUGGGUGAUCUUUGGGCUUUGAAGGGUUUAAUAGAUGAAGGUUCAUCCUUACUUAAAUUCUUAAAAAUUGCAUUGUUAUGUUAUGUUUGCUAAUCUUAUUGUGGUUUACCUUUGUUGUGGAAGAAAGAACGUGAAACACCUGGAUGGACCCAACUAAAGCUUCCUGGUCAAGCACCAUCAGCUCGAUGUGGUCACACUGUCACAUCCGGAGGACAUUAUGUAUGUCUAUUUCAGCUUCCGUUUGCUCUUUUGUAUAAAUAGGUUCGCAUGACAUACAUCACUCACAUCAUUAAUUUUCAUGUAUGAAGCUUCUGUUAUUUGGGGGACAUGGAACUGGUGGAUGGCUGAGUCGUUAUGAUGUCUAUUAUAAUGACACUAUAAUUUUAGACAAAGGUAAAUUCUUGCUUAUGAGAUUCGUCACUCUAAAUUUAUAUAUUCACAUUCUAGUAACUGCUCAGUGGAAGCGCUUACCGAUAAGCAAUGAUGAGCCUCCUCCACCUCGAGCUUACCAUACAAUGACUAGUAUUGGAGCUCGUCAUCUUUUAAUUGGUGGUUUUGAUGGAAAAUCAACCUUCGGUGAUCUUUGGUGGUUGGUUCCUGAAGGUAUCUUUCUCUUAUUUUAUACUGAUGUUUUAGUCCAACUUAGCUAUCGUUCUGUGUACACGCAUCAUCAGUUACUUAUAGUUGGAAACUCUUUAGGCAAUUGUAGAGACACUUAAUUUCUAGCAUAAUCUUUUUUUUUCUUCUUUAUCAAGUUUGUAUUGAAAGUUUUGAAGUUUUACUGAACUGUUUAGCCUUCUGAAAAUGUUGUUAUUCGUUUUUUUUCUUUUUUUCUUUUCUCAGAUGAUCCCAUAGCCAAGAGGUCUUCCGUACCUCAACUUAGAAACCCUCCUGAGACUAAAGAGUCAGAGAGAGAUUUGGAUACGGUAACUGUGGUUCCUGCUCAUCAUCUUAUGUGUUUCUCGCCAAUGCAGUUAAAUUAGCUUUUCAACGUGUUUUAACACCAAGAGUUUGGUCACAGCAGGAAAGAGGACAAGAGGGAUUCACUAUCGUCGACUUGCAAAAGAAAAUGGGAAUCUCUGUUGCAUCAGGGUUACUACGCCGUCAUAUCCCCGAGGAGUCAGAAGAUCAAGAGUUCGUUGAGUUAGGAACCAGAUUGAUUGAGGGAGAUGUAAUUGAUAAUCGAACCUCCAUGAUUCAGGUUAAUUUUUCCUCUUGUCUUUUUCAGGAUGUGUGAUUGUGUUAUUCUUGUACUGAAAAUGCUUCUCAACGAUUAGAUGGCAGCUGAAGCACUUCGUCAACAUUGGAAAGAGUCCACUCCUGAGACUUUGCAGUUAAAAGAGCUUAAUGCCUUGCUUCGAGAUUAUCAGCGACUUGUUUCCCGAAAAUACACGUGAGUUCUUACAUUAUCUUGUUUAUGUAGAUUAUCUUUUAUUUCAAUAAAAAUGGUUGUUCUUUGAUUGCGCUUGGAAUGGCAUUAGAAUAACUUAGAUAAAUCUCCUGAGAGUUUAGGAGUGUUAUAUAGAGUUAAUAUCAAUAUCAUUUUUUGUGUCUUGAAUAGCCCUUGAGACUUUUUAAUCCAAGAAUUGCCAAAACUGAUUCAUUUCUUAAUGUUGUGCAGUCCUCACAUAAAAGUUGAUUGUAAAUGCAUCGCUUUGUACCCCUUUGAAAAGUAUUAAACAUCAUGAAAUUUCACAUUUGAUUCUUCCUUUCCGUCACACAUGUUUGUUUUCGUUGUUGUGGCGUGAGUCUCAGAGCACAGAGCAGCUUAACAUCUACUGAUUUUGGCCUCCCCGGAAAGCAGACGUUUACGUUUUAUCAUAUCAAAACUUCUUCCGAGGUAAUACCACAUACUUUCCUCCUGUUAUGAGCUCUCUUGAACAUUUGACAGCAAUCAAUCAACACAUCAGGCUCUUGGCACAUGCUCUGACAUGUCAAUUUAACAUUUUGUUAUUCUCAGUUACGGAUGGAUGACAUCCCGAAGUUGCUGGAAGAAUACAAAACCCUUGUAAUCUGAUUGAGGAGCUCUGCCAUGAAACUCACAAGGAGAAUACAAAACUCAUCAAGUAGCUGCCAAGAAGAUCACCAAGAUUGCUAUCAGCACUACCAUUGCAAACAACAAAACUAAAAAAAGUCUCAACAGAAUCAUAUAUCUGAUAGACAACAAGACAUGUACAACUUCUUUUUAGUCAAGAACAAAAACAUGUACCCAUAUGUAAGAUUUUCCAUUAUCUCCACUUAAUCCGUAUCUCAGCGUCUGCUCUUUAUUUUUCUAGCCUCUUGCAUUUUACUUUGAAAAUAGAUUGAUUUGCCUUGAAGCUAAUGUUCGAACCCCGAUCCAUCUUUGAGCAACUGUUUUAGUUCCGUGUCUAGGAGACCAGUGUUCUGCACUAUCGAAUCUUGGUCUCCUACUUGAGAUGUGAUGCUUCCAUACAAUGUCCAGCCACUGGCGUUGCCUAGUAAUUAAUAUCAUCUCCACCAUAUCAAUAUUUGCUGCAUCCCCUCCUCCAUAAGAAACAUAAAAUAUAAAAGUUAGGUAGCUCUAAAACACUUCUGAUCAUAACAAAAAUUAAGAUCUAAACCACACUUGAUGAUUACGUAAGUUUGUUCGUAAUUUUUACCAAUCUUUGGUAUGAGGAACUGGAGAAAAGAUUCCAAAUAGACUGAGGAAGAAGGACAUGCAGAUUUCAGAGAUUUGAUAGUUUGGUGUCAAGGCCACAAAGCAUCAAGCUUGUUAACAUGUCGUAGUAGUAGAACCAGAAGAACUUGACCACAGUACGGUCGUAUCCUAUCAUUGAGUAAAGGAUUAGAGUAUGUAAACUCUAGUUUGAAUGGUGUCAUACUACAUGAUCUAAUAACUUUGUCUAUAUUACCAAUUUUCCCAAUUAAUUAUUUCUAACGAAAAUAUAAUGUAUAAAUAUCAAUGAAUAUAUUUUGAAAGUUGAAAAUAAGAGAGAAAUUUUUUUUUACCAAAAAGAAUAAUAAGGGAGAAACUAUAGUGAAUGUUUCGAGUGGGCCUAAAGCAAAUGCAUUAUUGCCUUGCGAAAAAAUCAUUAUCGCCAGAGACUAGAAAAAAACUCCUAUUUUCUUUUUAAUUCAAAAUUAGAACCACAAGAUGACUGUCAUAGACUGUCGAUACUCUUUCAUUAUUUUUUCUUCCAAAGAACGUCGCUAAGCAAGUUGCAGAUCUGUUACAUGUAAGGUAAAUCACGUUCUUGUAUCAUUAUUUGUCUGUUUAACUUGCUCUGAUCUGUCUUUUGGGCUCUGUGGUGGUUGAAUCUGAAUUUAAAAACAAAAAUUCGUUGCAUUGUUACAAAUCUUGUUUUACGAAUUUAAAGCAUUUAAUCAUCAAUGCUUGAAUAAAAGUAAGUUAAGUAAAGUUCCUCUGACAGGUAUCAUGUUUUAUUAGAUCAACCAAGGAUUAUCAUAACCGGUUUUAAAUCUUACUAUACAAGUUUGUACUCAUAUGUUGACGGUGGAACAGGAGAAUAGCGAUGGCUGAGGGAAUUGUAUCGUUUGGAGUGCAGAGACUCUGGGAGCUCUUGGCUCGAGAAUCUGAGAGACUGCAGGGAGUUCAUGAGAAAGUUGAUGAUCUAAAAUGUCAGAUGAGAAUGUUACAGUCGUUGUUGAAAGAUGCAGAUGCCAAGAAACAUGGGAGUGAAGUAGUGAGAAACUUCUUGGAAGAUGUCAAAGACAUUGUUUUUGAUGCUGAAGAUAUAAUUGAAUCCUUUCUUUUGAAAGAAUUGAGUGGAAACCAAAAAGGGAUCAAGAGGCAUCUGAAAAGACUUUCUUGUUUCUUAGUGGAUCGCCGAAAUAUUUCUAUGGACAUUGAAGGCAUAACUAAGAGAAUGUCCAAGCUUGUCGAGCAAAUGCAGAGCUUUGGAAUACAACAGAUCGUCUACAGAUCACCGUCUCUACAAGAGAGACAGAGGGAAAUCCAACAAACAUAUCCUGAGAAAUCUCAAAAGGAUCUUGUGGCCGUGGAACAGAGUGUUAAGGAACUGGUUGGUCAGUUGGUGGAGAAUGAUCGCAUCCAAGUAGUUUCCAUAUCCGGGAUGGGUGGUAUUGGAAAAACCACUCUUGCGAGACAAGUCUUUCAUCAUGACAUUGUUCGAAGUCAUUUUGAUGGAUUCGCGUGGAUCUGCGUUUCGCAAGAUUUUAAGCGGAAGGAUAUUUGGCAAAAGUUAUUGCAAGACCUUAGACCACAUGAUAAGGGCAUCGAACAUAUGAAUGAGAAUACACUCCAGGCUGAGCUCUUUCACUUGUUGGAGACAUCUAAAUAUUUAAUUGUCAUGGAUGAUGUAUGGAAAAAAGAAGACUGGGAUAUAAUAAAACACGUUUUCCCCCAAGAAAGAAGAGGUGAGCUCUCUAAUUGUACAUACAUUACUUAAGAACUCUCCAUAGCUAUUUCAUAAAUACCUUUUCAGUCUCUGAGAUGAAAGGAAAUACAAUUGCAGGUUGGAAGAUGAUUCUUACUUCACGUGAUGAAAGUGUUGGUUUCCAUGCAGACCGAACAUGUUUUCCCUUUAGACCAAAAACUCUUACUCCUGAAGAAAGUUGGAAGCUAUGUGAGAGCAUAGCAUUCCCUAGAAGAGAGAUAACAGGUACGUUUUUAAUACAAGAAUCAUAUGAAUCAUUAAGGCCAAAAAGCAUGAUAUCUCUUACAUGCCUUCUUAUAAAAAAACUUGUGUAGUAAUUCCCAAAUUAUCGUCUCUGGAAUGACAUACACUAAAAACUCUAUAAAUUAAUAAUACUAAAACUAUGAAAUUUUAUUAAUUUAUAGAAUUACUAAUUUUUUCAAAGUUUCAGUUUUAGAUUUUUUUUACACUAUUUUUAUUAUAAAAACUAGGUAAGGAACCCGUGCGAUAUCGCACGGGAACUCAUUUUAUAAAUUGAUAGUAAAGAUAUACACAUUAAAAAAUUAUGCAGAAUUUAAAUUAUUAUCUUGAACUUAUUUUAAUAAGAUUACAAAUAUGUCACGUUGUGGAAUUUAUACUUUUGUAUAAAACAUCUUAUUGUGCUAUCAAAAAAAGUUCAUGUGACAUUAAUGUAAAACUAAAAUAAGGAGAAAAUACAUAUCUUUUGAUUUUCCAUAAAAUUAAAAAAAUAUAUAAUAUAAGUAAAUUGAGAAAUAACCACAAACCAUAUCAAUAAAAGUAUUCAAAAUGAAAAGACACAUAGUUUCAUAUAUCAUAUAUUGUUUUACUGAAAAUAUUUGUCAAAUAACUUAUUAGUGACAAUAUUUUAUUUGUUUCAAUUAUUGUUAUACCAGCCAAAAUAGAACUAAUUAUAUAUUAAUUUACUUUUUAUAGUAACAAUAAACUCUUGACUAACAAAACUUUCACUAAAAUGACAGUAGGACAUUGUCUUCAGCCUCAUUGUCAAUUUUAUUUUCAUGUAUACUAUAUUUAAUAUCAAUUUUCUUUAAAAUAAAAUUAUCAUUUUAUGUAUUCAGAAUAACUAACAAGUUACAAUAGAUUUAACUAAUUCAGUUGGUUAUUUAAUAGAAUCUUUGAAAUAUAUUUGUUAACAUUAUAAAAGACUAUGUAUAUGAACCAUCAUAGGGAAUCAACUUUACUCAAUAUAUAUAUAUAUAUAUAUAUAUAAUAACUUUAAUGUUCUGUUUAUAUUUUAUUAGAAUAAAUAUUGUUUACAACUAUGCCUCCAUCUUUUUAAGUUUAUUCUUAUAGUUUUACAUGAUAUUUAGCUCCAACAACUUCUUGAACUACUUUCAAUUAUUUUCCGUGAUAUUUAAAUAAUUUUUCCUAUUUAAGAGACAAUAUUAGAAUUAUCAGUUUGUAGUAUAUUAAGAAAAUUUAUAUUUCUAUGUUGGUAAAAAUAGUUAUUAUUUUUAUAAAUUUAUUUACCUGCUCUAUUUUUGGGAAAAAUAUUAAGGAGAUUGGAUAUCAUAAUAAAUAUAUGUUGACUUAAGUUGAUAUGACAUUUCUCACUUAUAUUAUUUCCUUUAAUUUCCGGAAGAGUUCUUAUAAAACACCAGCACUUAUUAUAUUAAAACUAACAUAAUAAUUAUGGAUUUAAAUCAUGAUGACUUUUGUUGUAUCAAUAAAUAAUAUUUUUGAAGUCAAGGUUGUAUUGAGAUAUAAAUACUGUAGAACUCUAUCGGUUUCUCAAUCAAAUUUCCAAGCUUAGACUAAGAUAUAAGAAUAACAAAUAGAGCUAUGCAUGUUCAUAUGUAUUUGUUCAAAAAUCUUUGAAAAUAAUUUAACAGUGAAUCUCUAUCUUUUCUAAUCUAUAGAUUGUUGUCAUUUUUUUUGUGAUUUUUCUAUUCCCACAACAACUUAUAUAGAUGACUAAAGGUUACAAUGGUUGAUACCAAACAUUGCAAUGGUUAGAUAAUAGUUGCAAUAAUUAACAUCAGAAGUUACAAUGGAUUAUCACCAAAUACUACAAUCACUAACAUUGCAAUGAUUUAUUACCAAAGAUUGCAUUGGUUCUUCACUAAAAUUAUUGUCACCAACAGUUGCAGCGAUAUCUUUAGACAUUUUGAUAACUUUUUUUAACAAAUAAAAAAAUUUAGGAUGAAAAACACAUCCUUAUACAUUUUAACAACAUCUUUUAAACCAAUUUAAUUCCUAAAAUGAAAGUAACAUUUUUAAGAUGAAAGGAUCCAUACUUAUAUUUUUUACAAUAUUUUUUGAAGAACGCAAUUUUUAAUAUGAAAAGACACAUUGUUAAGAUCAAAAAUUAUAACCAUUGAUAUUUAUUUGGAGAAAAUAUACAUUUUUACACAUUUUGAUAAUUUUUUAACAAAUGAAAAUUUAGGAUGAAAAGACAUAUUUUAUACGUUUUAGGAACUUACUUUAAACCAAUGCAAUUCUUAAAAUGAAAUGACAUAUUAUUAAGAUGAAAAGUUACAUACUUAUAUAUGUGACAACAUUUUUUAAAGUAGUGUCAUUUUUAAGAUGAAAAGACACUUCGUUAGGAUGAAAAGUUACAACCUUUGACAUUUAUUUGGAGAAAAUAUAUAUUUUUAGACGUUUUGACAACUUUUAUUAAGAAAUACAGUUUUUUUUAGGAUUAAAAGAUACAUCUUUAUACAUUUUAACAAUUUCUUCAAAACAAAUGCAAUUCGACAAUGAAAAGACACAUUGUUAAGAUGAUAAUAUUUUUACUUAUAUAUUUGACAACAUUUUUUUAAAGCAAUGCCAUUUAAAUGAAAAAUAAUACUUUGUUAGGAUGAAAAAUUACAACAUUUAACAUUUAUUUUUUAACAAAUGCAAUUUGUAGGAUAAAAAGACACAUCCUUAUACAUUUUAACAACUUCUUUUAAACCAAUGCAAUUCUUAAAAAUGAAAAGACAUACUUUUAAGAUGAAAAGAUACAUACUUGUAUUUUUUUAGGACAUUUUUUAAUAAGAUAAAAAGACACUUUGAUAUAAUGAAAAGUUACAAUUUUUGACAUUUAUUUGGAUAAACCACAUCUUUAGACAUUUUGACAACUUUUUUUAAUAAAUGCAAUUUGUAUGAAACUUAUACUUAUACACUUUGACAAUUUCUCUUAACCCAAUGCAAUUUUAAAAAUAAAAUAAAAUGUACUAAUAUAUUUUAACGACACUUUUAAAACAAUGCUCUUUUUAAGAUGAAAUGACACAUAAUUACAAAGAGACACUUUUUGAGAUAUUUUAAUAAUUUUUUAAAAAAUUAUCUUAUAUAAUGAGAAGACACAAUUUUAAAACUAAUAUUUAUAGAAAAACACUUAUUAGGAUAUUUUAACAAAUUUUAAACUAAUAAUUUUACUUAUAGUCUAAGAAAUUCAACCUAUAAUAGUUUUGAUCUUGAGACUUCUAGUUUACAGAUGUGUAAACCAGUAAAUAGCCAUUUAAAUUUAAUUGAAUGCAAGACAAGAUUGAUAAAAGUCAACUACUUAUGUUCGCUAAAUAUCUUGGAAAAAGGUUCUAAAUUUAAAUUGUUAUUUUCCUAUAUAUACGUAACGACACAAGUGAUAAAAGAUGCUACUUUUGAUAAAUAAAUGGUCAUUAACGAAAUAUAGAUGCAAAUAACUAAAAAUAAAUAAAAAAUUUGUCAGAUUUGUUUGUUGUCAAAGAAAUUGUAAGAUGUGUUUUGCCUUUAGUUUUCGUUAAGAAUUGAAUAUAUUUAAAACUCUAGACUUUUACAUCAUAUUUGUUUGUCUCUAACCAACAAUUGAUAUGUUUCCGAGAAAUAAUAUAUAAAUAAAAAGAUCUUUUAAUGAGUUUUAUAAUCUCAGUAGUUCGCACAUCUCCAAACCAGGCAGUAGAAAACAAUGUAAAUUUGCAAUUCAUGAGUGGACAAUUAUAUUAUUUUGUGAACAAUUAUAUUGACAUGGGGGAUUCCUAAGUUUAAAAUGUGACACCUAUGCAGAUUUAAAUAUUCCAGUGGAAUUAAACCAUUCCCAUUAAAAAGAAAUUGAUGAUAAUUCCCACGAGAAUAACACUCUCCAAUUAAGAGACACAUUGUUUGAUUAACUCAUGACGGUCAUCACCAACCGGUUUUCCUCUAAUAGAUUUACUGAAUGACAGACAACCCAUUUUUUGUACAUCGUAAUUUGGAAAGCAUUAAUCUUAGACUCUGACAAAACGCAAGAACAACAACACAUAUAAAUUAGAUAUGUUGUAACAACUAUUAAAAAAAUUGAAUGAUGGAAAUCCUAAAUUUGUUUAAAGAAAAUGACGUUGAUAGUGGUUUUUGAAAAAAAAUAUAUGGGAUUAUGAUGAACAAUAACAAUGAAAACUCAUUGUAAACACGCUUUAGAGAGCAAAACAAAUAAAUCAAUUCUGAGAUUUUGGGUGGAAAGGUAAUUUAAGAGGAGAUGGAAAACGAUAACAGGAAUGAGUCUUUAAAAACACACACAUAUAUAUAGAUUGAUAAGGAAUGCUUCAUCUCAGAGUUGUAUUGUUUUGAGAUGGAGACUAUUCGGUGAAAAGAUGCAACACACCGCAGUUUUGUUUUUUUAUAUCAUUAAAUUCAAUCAAAUAUGACUGUUGGACUUAAAACUUUUUUCUUUUAAAAAGUGAUAAUAUCACCAGUUUUGGUAUGCUAUUAUAUAUAUAAUUUUUAAUAAUGAAAAGAUACAAUUUUAAAAAUUAAUAAUAUUCAGUUUGUUAUGAAAAUAUACAAUUUUUAUAAUGAACAUACACAAUUUUUCAAACUAAUACAUUUCAGUUUUUCUUAUGAAACAACACAACCAAAGUAGUUAUUUUGAAAAGACACAAUUAUUUAGAUUUUUAGAAAAUACACAACUUUUCAACAUAAAUGAGUUUCAUAACCUUUGGAAUUAAUCAGGAUUGCUAUUAUUAGUAGAUAAAAUACUUGAUUUUAUCAUAUAUAUAUAUAUAUAUUAAUUAACUUUUAGAAAUCCGACAUUUAUAUUGUUUUUGUUACACUAUUUGGUGUAUACAAAAUAUGUUUUAUAGAAUUUAAAAUUUAUUUUUAUAUAUAAUUUUACGAAAUAUUAUCAAAAUAUAUUGAAAUAUUAAGAAAAAAUAGAAAUGAACUUCAUUGUGAAUAUAAAACAAAUAAUACAAUGUUUAAUGUUUGUACUUUAGUGUGUUUAUUAAUUAUUGAAUUUUUUACUGCAUAUUGUUAUAAAUAUAUAUAUUUUAAGAACAUUUGACAAGACUAAACACAUUAUUAUUUCAAGACUCUGAUCUUAUAACGUGUGUUACUAUUUUCAGAAUUUGAUGUUGAUGAGGAACUAGAAGCCAUGGGUAAGGAAAUGGUGGCAUAUUGUGGAGGACUACCAUUAGCCGUUAAAGUGCUGGGAGGCUUGUUAUCUAAUAAAACCAUGGUUGAAGAGUGGAAAAGAGUAGAUGACAAUAUUCAAAGUCAGAUAGUUCGCAUAGAUGACAAAAGUCAAGAUUCUGUUUACCGAGUAUUGUCUAUGAGCUAUGAAGAUUUGCCAACGCAGUUAAAGCAUUGUUUCCUCUACCUAGCUCAUUUUCCCGAAGAUGACAAGAUACAAGUGGAGAGAUUGUAUUAUUAUUGGGAAGCAGAAGGAAUAAUAACGUCAAGUGGCGAUGGAGAAACCACUAGGAAAAUUGGAGAAGACUACAUAGAGGAGCUAGUAAGGAGAAAUAUGGUUAUUGGAGUAAAAGAGGAAUUGAGUUGCAGAUGGGAGUAUUGUCAAAUGCAUGACAUGAUGAGAGAAGUAUGUUUAUAUAAAGCCAAAGAAGAGAACUUUCUUCAGUUUAUCAAAGUCCAUACUUCUUCCACCUCUAACAUCAAUGCUCAUACUCCUACCAGAUCUCGCAGACUCGUAGUACACGGUGGUGGUAGUGCACUUGAUAUGCUGUUAUGUAAAAGCAAUCAAAAAGCUAGAUCUGUUUUGGGUUUUGGACUCGACAGCAACUUGUGGAAGCAGUCAGGUCAAGGACUCAGAAAUUUACUUUUACUUAGGGUCUUAGAUUUAAGUUUAGAAGAUAAAAGCGACUCUAGAGGAGGGAGAAUACCAUCCAGCAUUGGAAAGCUCAUUCAUUUGAGAUAUUUGAGCUUAGACAUGGGUAGUGCAACUGAUGUACCUUCUUCUUUACGGAAUCUAAAGCUUCUAAUCUAUUUGAGUAUUUACUCCAAUGAAAGAGUUCAUCUGCCAAGUAUCUUUAAAGAGAUGGUAGAGUUGAGGUUCCUGGCGCUUCCCCCUCUUAUUGACGCUAAAACAAAGUUGGAAUUGGGUAAUCUUGUGAACCUGGAGUGCUUGACCGGCUUCCGAUCAGAAAACGGUAGCAUCACAGACUUCCUCCGAAUGAAAAAGCUCAGGAAUCUCGAGAUACAUCUCAAAGGCAGGUAUACUUCUGAAAUUCUAGCGUCAUCUCUCUGUGAAUUAAGAAACCUGGAGGUGCUUAGCUUGAUCGAUGAGUACCGAUCCGGUGGGGCUUAUGAUGUGGAUUUCGUUUGGAAUUUCAUUAAGCUAAGGCAUUUAGGGCUGAGCAUACAUGUGACAAGGCUUCCUGAUCACUCUCGAUUUCCUCCCCACCUUGCACACAUAUCUCUAUGUUUCUGUGAAUUGGAGGAGGAUCCACUGCAGAUUCUGGAAAAGUUGCUUCAUUUAAAGUCGGUUGUAUUACAAUACAGAUCUUUCGUGGGGAGGAAGAUGGUGUGUUCAAAAGGUGGAUUCCCUCAAUUAUGUAAGCUAGACAUAGUGUCCCUAUACGACUUGGAAGAGUGGGUAAUCGAAGAAGGGUCGAUGCCAUGUCUUCGUACCUUGGAAAUAUGGUAUUGUGAAAAGUUGAAGGAGCUACCGGAAGGGCUCAAGUAUAUCACUUCUUUAAAGGAACUGGAUAUCGCACAUAAGAACAAGGAGUGGAAGACGAAACUCGUACCAGGUGGGGAAAGUUACCACAAAGUCCAACACAUUCCUAGUGUUCAAUUACACUAUCAUAGCGACGACUCUGAUAUUGACGAAUAAGGAGAAUACAACCGUCUCAGGUAUAAUAUUCUUUUUGGUAUAAUGUCAAUAUUGUUCAUUUUGUUUGUUAUGUAUCCUCCUUGAAGUUUAGUGUGAAAGUCUAAACAGCUGUUAUUCGGUUUUCAGGUGAACCUACUCAGGAUCAGUACCCACCACUAUCGAUUGUGUGAUGUGAUAAUAAGUCGUUUUUGUUGUAUUGGUGUAUGAAGUUUACAUAUCUUGUUUGUGAUAUAUUCCGUUUAUCUGUUUGCAUGCUCAUUCACUGUAAUACUAAGUUUGAAAUACAUUAUUUGUAUGUUGAACCAUAUCUUCUUCGAUGUCUCCGUUGUGUGUGCUUCGUUGAUUUGUUUAGUCCGAACUGGAGAUAGAAUGGUGCUUUGAUAGUGUGAUCACUGAACAUCAUUCUUAACACGAUUUUAUCAUUUGGUUUAACGAAGGUCAAGAUAUUGAGGGAACCCUGAGUUUUCCAAAAAUUUUAAGUAACAAGAGAAACCGGUUAAUUCCAAUCCAGUUCUGUAAUUUGUCUGUCACUACCAAACCGGACCAUAUUGAUGGUUUAAAAACAAAGCUCGGUCUGGAUUAUAAUAUCAAAGAUUAAACAAAGAGUCCUUUCGAUCUCUGCAAAUUUGUUUUGACUCUGAAGAGGAGAAGAAGUGUACUUUCAAUCGCCAAGCGUAUGCAUAACUGGGUUAGAGCUUCCUCAUCCGAUUUCACCGGAACUCCUCCACAGCCCAGGAGGUAAAUUAAUUACUUCUUCUCCAUUCAAUUUUCGAUUUUAAUUUCAGCUGAUGUUUUUUAUUCUUCAUCAGUGGACAUACAGCUGUCAAUGUCGGAAAAUCCAUGGUCGUGGUGUUCGGCGGCCUCGUCGACAAGAAGUUCCUCAACGACAUCAUUGUUUAUGACAUUGGUAAUAUCAUACUUUAGCCUUAGGAUUAUUGUUUCCUUGCUUCAAGAAAGAUGCUUUCUUUCUCACGAGUUACGUUCUUGGCUUGCUCUGUUUGUAAUGACUAUUGUCUCUAGUAGUUUAUUUGAUAGAACGAUGCUUACAUCAAAGAUAGUUACUUUGCAACAAAAAAAAAAAACUAUAGAAAGCUGAAAACUUCAAGAUGAGAUUAUUCGAUUCGGUGUUGUUGAAGAGGAAUCAGAUGGAUACUCUCUUUUCUUAUUUUGCUAGUUUUUGUUUCUGAGCUUCUUUUGUCCCCUCCUUGGCCUUGUUUUAAGUAUCAUACUAGAUCUUGACCCGCACACCCGUGCGGAUGUAUUUAAAAAAAAAAAUAUGAUAUAUGAUGUUAUUUGCUUUUUAUGUCACUAUUUAGGGUUGGGCAAAAACUCAAAUUCGAAAAAUCAAACCGAUCCGAUCCCAAUCCAAAUAAGUAGUACUAAAUCCGAACCAGAAUUGAUUAAAUAUCCGAAUUAUUCAAAAUUUUGGUAUUUGAAGAAUUGAAACCUAAUCCGAUCUGAACCGAAUUAUUUUUAAUAUAUAUAAAAACGUCCAUAAUAUAUAUACAACUAAUUAAACGUAAAUAUCUUAAAUAAUUAAAAAAUACUCAAAUCUCCAAAAAUACUUAAAUAAUUAUUAAUUCUCUAUCCAAAUAUUUAAACCAAACCUAUUUAAAUUGGUUAUCCAAAUCAGAACCAAAUCCUCAAAGAUCUGAACUGAACACGAAAUCCCAAAAAGACCCGAAAACGAACCCGAACGCCCACCCAUAAUCACUAUUAUAUAUAUAUAUGUUAUCAUAGGUUACAAAAUAUGUGUUAUCAUAUAAUUAAUCGUAUUUUAUACGUACCAUCAAAUAAGUUUUCUUAUAAUUAAUAAUAUUUUAUACGUACAAUCAUAUAAAUAAUCACAUAUAUUAUAUUUUAAAAUUUAAUGUGAAAUAUAAAAACCAUAAUUUAAGUUGGUGUUUGAAAUUGGGCUUUGUAUUGUAUUAUUAUUAAAUAUAUUGAAAACAUUUUUAUAAUAGUUACUGGAAAAUAUGUUAGUAAAAAUCAAAUUUUGAAUAUAUGUAUAUUUUUGAAUGAAUUUUUGAUAUAAAUCAAUUUUAAGUUAUUACUUUGAUUUGAACAUAUAUAUCAAGUAACAUAUACCUAUUAGUUUUUAAUAUAAUGUAAUGGACUUUCAAUUUUUUUAAGUAGCAUAAGCCCAUUAUCUUUUUUUCUAACUUACUAUUAUCCAUGUUUUCAAUUUUAACUACUAUCCACAUUACCAAACAAUCCCAUUUUGUACUUGAGUUUUAAUAAGAUAGAUGUUCAGCUUUUUUAAUCAUGUGAUAAUUGGUGGUCUUAUGAUUUGCUUCUUCUUUAAUCCUGUCGACUAGAAAACAAACUCUGGUUUGAGCCAGAAUGUACUGGCAGCGUAUCUGAAGGAAAAGUUGGUCCUACACCUCGCGCCUUUCAUUUUGCCAUCACUAUUGAUUGUCAUAUGUUCAUCUUUGGUGGACGUUCUGGUGGCAAGAGGUACGCACUACUAUUUAUUUGCUAGCUGUAAGCGUUUUUACAUUCUAAAUAGCUUAUUUCUAUAAAUCAAUUUCAGGUUGGGUGACUUCUGGGUUCUAGAUACUGGUAAGUGUGCUUCGGAGUUUUUAUUUCUCUGCUUUGGCACUUCUAUGAGACACCUAUUAAUGACAUUUUCUGCAGAUAUAUGGCAGUGGUCUGAGCUAACCAGCUUUGGCGACUUACCUACGCCUCGUGAUUUUUCUGCUGCCGCUGCUAUUGGCAACCAGAAAAUUGUGUUGUGAGUAUCAUAAAUUUUAGACGUUCCAUCAGCUUGUUGCCUGCAUUGGCUUAACCUAUGACCAUUGGCAGGUGUGGCGGCUGGGAUGGUAAAAAAUGGCUGUCAGAUGUGUAUGUUAUGGACACAAGUAAAACACUUUAUACCUCUCGUCUACUUCAGUUUUGUGAUAAAACUUGUUUUAAGUUUAUGAUAAUGUCAGCUUUUCUUGGUAUUUGCUAGUGUCUCUUGAAUGGAUGGAGCUGUCAGUUUCGGGGUCGUUGCCGCCUCCUAGAUGUGGUCAUACAGCCACCAUGGUUGAGAAGCGUUUACUUGUUUUUGGUGGCCGAGGUAAUACCAAAAUUAAAAAAAAACUGUAGAUUCUUGAUGUUGACUUAUCGCCAUUCCUUUAAUAAGUUAAGGUGUUUGCAUACUAAACCAAUCACCACAACUGAGGAGUGUUCUUGGCGGACUCGCAUUAUGGAUAAAAUUCAAAACUGAAUGAUUUAUUUGCUAUUUUACUUUUUUCAUUCAUCAAACAUGUUAAGGAUGCUGAUGUGUUUGGUUUACCCGUUGCUGUUAAUUAAUAACUUUCAUUUAUUAACGAAGUUUCCUGACCGGGUGUACUGAUGGUAUAUGUUCACAAGAAGUUUUGCUUGAGCUGAUAACAAGUAAACUGAGACUAUGGUGUGUGAUAUGGUUAUCUUUGACAGGAGGUGGUGGCCCUAUCAUGGGUGAUCUGUGGGCUUUGAAGGGUCUAAUAGAUGAAGGUGCAUCCUUGAUUAAAUUACUUCAAAACUGCAUUGGAUCUUAUUCUGGGUUUACCUUUGUUGUGCAAGAAAGAGCGUGAAACACCUGGAUGGACACAACUCAAGCUUCCUGGCCAAGCACCAUCGUCUCGAUGUGGUCAUACGGUUACAUCCGGAGGACAUUACGUAAGUCUUUUCCAGCUCAUGUUUGCUCUUUUGUAUAUGAAUGGCUUCGCGGGACAUACAUCACUCACAUCAUUAAUUUCCAUGUAUGAAGCUUCUGUUAUUUGGGGGACAUGGAACUGGUGGAUGGCUGAGUCGAUAUGAUGUCUAUUAUAAUGACACUAUAAUUUUAGAUAGAGGUACAUUCUUGCUCACUCGUCUCAUUAGCUUCGUCUCCUCUGCUAAAGGAUCACUGGAAAUCUAAAAUCCACCUAAUCGAAGUAUAAUCUAGUGAGAUGAGAAAAUUGUGAUGUAAUUCAUCAGUUUUAUUGCUGUGCAUUGUCUUGUACGCGCUGUUGCUAAAUUUAUGCGUUGUUGCUAGUAACUGCACAGUGGAAGCGCUUACCAGUAAGCAAUGAUGAGCCUCCUCCUCGGUGUGAAGUUUCAGUUCUACGAAGGCUCUGGUCUUGGUGGUGUUGUCAGGCUGCGGUGGAGGGCUUAGCGUUUCUCUUCGGUGUCGAGGAGGUCUCUCUCCCUCUCUCUUCUGUCGUGUGAGCUCUGGAGGUUUCCGCUUCCUCGGAGAUGAGUCGUGGGUUGAGGUAUGCAGUAGGAGAUGGUGCCUCAGUCUAGUUCCGAUUUCCAAGGGUUCUGUGGGUUGCUUGGAAGGAGUCUUCUAUGGUUUUAUUCACGGCAUCUCAACGUCUCUCAUCACUGGAGAUCUUCCCUGCUUGGUUCUCGUUCUGAUUCUUCUGGUGAAUGGCGACGGUCCUCUUCAUCAAAUGCUUGUCCUUGUUCUUCAUGUUUCUUGCUUUCUGUUUGACACCGGAAUGUGACACAGGGAGUCACAGGAAAUUGCUCUCGGUUCUCGAUAGCAGCAAGCGUCGAUUUGUUUUGAGCGUGUGCUCUUUGCCUAUUGGUGUCAAUGCUUGGCCAAUUAGCAAGCGUCGAUUUGGUUUGUUCUUCUGUGGCAGUGUGAGCUGGCUAUAUUUCUGUGCAGGUUCGGAUACUGUAUCAGACGAAAUGUGGUGGCGUUUGCAAGCCCGCCUUUUGGAUCCUAAUUGGUGAUGGAGGGGAGUGUACAGUCCGAGUUCUUGGCGUCGUCACUCAGGUGAAAUGUCCGAAACUCCCUCUGUUUCCAUCGUCAAACGCUUCAUAGACAGUGACAGUUAUAAGCUGGAGUUCAUCGGGAACCAGCUACUCCGUGGACAAAAUGGAAAGUCCCAGCGCAUCCGAAGCAAUAAGGACCGAGACAAUAAGGAAAACCUCACCUUCUCGUGAUCUUCGUCGAUGGUUGAUGUUUGAGAAUGGUAACCAUUCCAAAGAAUUCCAAAAAACGAAUCAACGGAAUGUAUCAUGUUUAGUGGACGGAAAAAGCUAAUUUUGUAAUAGUUUGAGUUUGAAAAUUUUGUACAAAACAGACUUGUAACCAGAUCUGAAUUUCCGAUCCUCAGGUCAAAUUAAUAUAUAUUUUAAAAAAGUCUUUAGUAUUGCAAGACGAAGUAUUCAAGGUGUAUAGGUCAUAGAUUGUAGACGAAAUAUUUAUUUAAAUUUUUUAUAUAUCUUACUUAUGGAGGAAACAUCUUAGUUUGGUAGAAUUUUUCCAUUUUAUUGGAGUCAAGCGGAAAACUUGAUCCAAAGACCAUAAAUCGUUUAAGCAGGAAAAGAAGGAUCUACCUCCUAAGCAAGUUGCAGAUCUGUUACGUGAAAGGUAAAUCACGUUCUUAUAUCAUUAUUUUUCUGUUUAACUUGCUUUGAUCUGUCUUUUAGGCUCUGUUGUGGUUGAAUCUGAUUUACAAACAAAAAUUCGUUGGAUUAUUACAAAUCUUGUUUUACGAAUUAAAAGCAUUUACUCUAAUCUUGUUAUAAAGUGUCUGAAUAAUAAGCUAAGUAAAGUUCCUCUGACAGGUAUCAUGUUUUAUUAUAGAUCAACCAAGGAUUAUCAAAAACGGUUUUAAAUCUUACUACAAGUUUGUACUUAUGUGUUGUGUUGAUGGUGGAACAGGAGAAUAGUGAUGGCUGAGGGAGUUGUGUCGUUUGGAGUGGAGAAACUCUGGGAUCUCCUGAGUCGAGAAUCUGAGCGAUUGCAGGGAGUUCAAGUGCAAGUUGAUGAUCUAAAAUGUCAGAUGAGUACGUUACAGUCGUUGUUGGAAGAUGCAGAUGGUAAGAGAUAUGAGAGUAAAGUAGUGAGAAGCUUCUUGGAAGAUGUCAAAGACAUUGUAUUUGAUGCUGAAGAUAUAAUCGAAUCCUUUCUUUUGAAAGAACUCAGUGGAAACCAAAAAGGGAUCAUGAGGCGUGUGAAAAGACUUUCUUGUUUCUUAGUGGAUCGCCGAGGUCUUUCUAUGGACAUUGAAGGCAUAACUAAGAGAAUGGCCAAGGUUGUUGCGCAAAUGCAUAGCUUUGGAAUACAACAGAUCAUCUACAGAUCACCGUCUCUACAAGAGAGACAAAGGGAGAUCCGACAAACAUAUCCAAAGAGAUCUCAAAAGGAUCUUGUGGGGGUGGAACAGAGUGUUAAGGAACUGGUUGGUCAGUUGGUGGAGAAUGAUAACAUCCAAGUAGUUUCCAUUUCUGGGAUGGGUGGUAUUGGAAAAACCACUCUUGCGAGACAAGUCUUUCAUCAUGACAUUGUUCGAAGUCAUUUUGAUGGAUUCGCAUGGAUCUGCGUUUCGCAAGAUUUUAAGCAGAAGGAUAUUUGGCAAAAGUUAUUGCAAGACCUUAGACCACAUGAUAAGGGCAUCGAACAUAUGAAUGAGAAUACACUCCAGGCUGAGCUCUUUCUCUUGUUGGAAACAUCUAGAUAUUUAAUUGUCAUGGAUGAUGUAUGGAAAAACGAAGACUGGGAUAUAAUAAAACACGUUUUCCCCCAAGAAAGAAGAGGUGAGCUCUCUAAUUGUACAUACAUUACUUAAGUUCUCCCCAUAGCCAUUUCUUAAAUGCCUUUGAGUCUCUGAUAUGAAACUAAAUACAAUUGCAGCUUGGAAGAUGAUUCUUACUUCACGCAAUGAAGGUGUUGGUUUGCAUGCAGACCCAACAUGUUUUCCCUUUAGACCAAAAAUCUUUACUCCUGAAGAAAGCUGGAAGCUAUGUGAGAGCAUAGCAUUCCCUAGAAGAGAGAUAACAGGUACGUUUUUAUAUAAGAAUCACAUGAAUCCUUAAGGCCAGAAAGCAUGAUAUCUCUUACUGGUUUUCUUUAUAAAAAAUGGUGUAGUAAUUCCUAAAUAUCCUCUGAGAUGGCAUAUAUUGUUGUAUAUGUAUUUUUUUUUUUUUGAACAUUUGAAAAGACUAGACACCAUAGGGGUGGGAAAAAGCUGACCCAUCCGUACCCAAGCCAAACCAAAAUCUAUGUUUAAAAAAAAGGUGUUUUUAAUUAGAUUAAUUAAAUAUACUAGUAAUAUUAAAAUCUAAUAUAUUUAUCCAUUUAACCUAAACAACUAAAUAUAAUUUAUACAUUUUACUUCUAAAUGAAUAGAAUAAACAUAACUAAAAAUAAAAUAAAAGAAUUUUAUUUUCAUACAUUAACAUUAAAACCGAAAAAUUACCUAUAUUACUUAUAGUAGGUUUAAAGAUAAUAACAUAAAAUUAUUUGGAAACAGAAUAUGAUGUUGAUGAAGAACUAGAAGCCAUGGGUAAGAAAAUGGUCAUGUAUUGUGGAGGACUACCAUUAGCCGUUAAAGUGCUAGGAGGCUUGUUAGCUAAUAAAUAUAUGGUUGAAGAUUGGAAAAGAAUAAAUGAGAAUAUUCAAACUCAGAUAGUUCGCUUAGAUGACAACAAUCAAGAUUCGGUUUACCGAGUAUUGUCUAUGAGCUAUGAAGAUUUGCCAAUGCAGUUAAAGCAUUGCUUCCUCUACCUAGCGCAUUUUCCCGAAGAUUACAAGAUACAAGUUGGGAAAUUGUGUAAUCUCUGGGAAGCAGAAGGAACAAUAACAUCAAGUUGCGAUGGAGCAACCACUAGGAAAAUUGGAGAAGAAUAUAUAGACGAGCUAGUAAGGAGAAAUAUGGUUAUGGCAGUAAAACAGGAUUUGAGUUGCACUUGGGAGUAUUGUCAAAUGCAUGACAUGAUGAGAGAAGUUUGCUUAUAUAAAGCUAAAGAAGAGAACUUUCUUAAGUUUAUCAAAGUCCCUAAUUCUUCCACCUCCACCAUCAAUGCUCAUACUCCUACUAGAUUUCGCAGACUCGUAGUACAUGGUGGUAAUGCCCUUGAUCUGCUGGGACGUAAAAGCAAUCAAAAAGCUAGAUCUGUUUUGGGGUUUGGACUCGACAGCAACUUGUGGAAGCAGUCAGCUCAAGGACUCCGAAAUUUACAAUUACUUAGGGUCCUAGAUCUGACUCUGAGUUUAAAACUACAUGGUAGAAGCAACUCUAGAGGAGGGAGAAUACCUUCCAGCAUAGGAAAGCUCAUUCAUUUGAGAUAUUUGAGCUUAUACAUGGGUUGUGCAACUCAUGUACCUUCUUCUUUUAGGAAUCUAAAGCUUCUAAUCUAUUUGAAAAUUUGCUCUGGGGCAACAGUUUAUCUGCCAAGUAUCUUUAAAGAGAUGGUAGAGUUGAGGUUCCUAUUUCUCCCCUCUUCUUUUGAGGCUAAAACAAAGUUGGAAUUGGGUAAUCUUGUGAACCUGGAGUACCUGACCUGCUUCCGAGCAGAAUACGGUAGCAUCACAGACUUCCUCCGAAUGACUAGGCUCAGGACUCUCUAUGUAUUUCUCAAAGGCAGGUAUACUUCUGAAAUUCUAGUGUCAUCUCUAUGUGAAUUAAGAAACCUGGAGACGCUUAUAUUGAUCGAUGUGAACGAACCCGAUGAGGCUUAUUAUGAUGUGGAUUUCGUUUGGAAUUUCAUUCAUCUAAGGCAUUUAGAGCUGGCCAUACAUAUGCCAAGGCUUCCCAAUCACUCUCGAUUUCCUCCCCACCUUGCACACAUAUCUUUACGUUACUGUAACAUGGAGGAUGAUCCACUGCAGAUUCUGGAAAAAUUGCUUCAUUUAAAGUCGGUUAAGUUAACAGAUUUUUCUUUCGUGGGGAGGAAGAUGGUGUGUUCAAAAGGUGGAUUCCCUCAAUUAUGUAAGCUAGAAAUAUGGGACCUAAACGAAUUGGAAGAGUGGAUAGUCGAAGAAGGGUCGAUGCCAUGUCUUCGUACCUUGUCUAUUCGGUAUUGUAAAAAGUUGAAGGAGCUACCGGAAGGGCUCAAGCAUAUAACUUCUUUAAAGGAACUGUAUAUCAGACAUAAGAACAAGGAGUGGAAGACAAAACUCGUACCAGGUGGGGAAAGUUACCACAAAGUCCAACACAUUCCUAGUGUUCAAUUACACUAUGAUAGCGACGAAUAAGGAGAAUAAAACGGUCUCAGGUAUGUCUUUUUGGUAUAAUGUCAAUAUUGUUCUUCUUGAAGUUUUGUGUGUAAGUCUCAACUAUCUAACCUUUUUAUUAUUCGGUUUUCAGGUGAACCUACUCAGGAUCAGUACCCACCACUACCGAUUGUGUGAUAUGAUAAUAAGUCGUUUUUGUUGUAUGAAGUUUACAUAUCUUGUUUGUGAUAUAUUCCGUAUAUCUAUUUGCAUGCUCAUUCACUGUAAUGCUAAGUUUGAAAUACAUUAUUUGUAUGUUGAACCAUAUCUUAUUCGAUGUUCUCCGUUGUGUGUGCUUAGUUGACUUGUAUAGUUACCGAACCGAACCUGAGUUUUCCAAAUUUGUCUUUUACUACUAAACCGGACAAAUUGAUGGUUUAAAAACAAAACUCGGUCUGGAUUAUAAUAAAAUCAGAUGAUGAGACUCUACCAAACAAGAGAGUCCUUUCGAUCUCUGCAAAUUUGUUUUUGACUCCAAUUAAGAGGAGGAGAAGUCUAUUAGUUGAAGCGAAUACAAAACGCGGUGAUCCGUGCGUUUCAGACAUCAAUCGCCAAACGUAUGCAUAACUGGGUUAGAGCUUCCUCUUCCGAUUUCACGGGAACUCCUCCACAGCCUAGGAGGUAAAUUAAUUACUUCUUCUCCAUUCAAUUUUCGAUUUUAAUUUUAGCUGAUGAUUUUUUUAUUGUUCAUCAGUGGACAUACAGCUGUCAAUGUCGGAAAAUCCAUGGUCGUUGUGUUCGGCGGUCUCGUCGACAAGAAGUUCCUCAACGACAUCAUUGUCUAUGACAUUGGUAAUAAUCAUCAAUUAUAUUCAGCCUAGGAUUAUUGAUUCCUUGAUCCAAAGAAGAUGCUUUUUUUUUUAUUAGUUACUACUGUCUUGGCUUGUUCUUCUUGUAAUGACUAGUGUUUGCUUCUUCUUUAAUUCUGUGGACUAGAGAACAAACUCUGGUUUGAGCCAGAAUGUACUGGCAGCGUGUCUGAAGGAAAAGUUGGUCCUACACCUCGCGCCUUUCAUGUUGCCAUCACUAUUGAUUGCCAUAUGUUCAUCUUUGGUGGACGUUCUGGUGGCAAGAGGUACGCACUUCUAUAUAUUUUCUAGUUAUAAGCGUUUUUACAUUCUAAAUAGCUCAUUUCUGUAAAUCAAUUUCAGGUUGGGUGACUUCUGGGUUCUAGAUACUGGUAAGUGUUCAAGUUAUAACAAUGUCAUUGAGACCUGCAUAGGGAACUUUUUAAUACUCUGCUGCCAACGUUUUCUGCAGAUAUAUGGCAGUGGUCUGAGCUAACCAGCUUUGGCGACUUACCUACGCCUCGUGAUUUUUCUGCCGCCGCUGCUAUUGGGAACCAGAAAAUUGUGUUGUGAGUAUUCAGAAAUUUUAGACGUUCAUCAGCUUGUUGCCUGCAUUGGCGUAACCUAUGAUCAUUGGCAGGUGUGGCGGCUGGGAUGGUAAAAAAUGGCUGUCAGAUGUGUAUGUUAUGGACACAAGUAAGUUUCUGAUAAUGUCAGCUUUCUUGGUGUCUGUUAGUGUCUCUUGAAUGGAUGGAGCUGUCGGUUUCGGGGUCGUUGCCGCCUCCUAGAUGUGGCCAUACAGCCACCAUGGUUGAGAAACGUUUACUUGUUUUUGGUGGCCGAGGUAUAUAACACCAGAACCAGAAUCUUUGUUCUGCUUGAGCUGAUGACAACUAAACUGAGACUAUGGUUAUCUUUGACAGGAGGUGGUGGCCCUAUCAUGGGUGAUCUGUGGGCUUUGAAGGGUCUAAUAGAUGAAGGUUCAUCCUUACUUACAUUUCUUGAAAAUUGCAUUGAAUUAUGUAGAGGAGUAUUCUCUUGAGUUGUCUUUCUUUCUUUUGUUCUGUUUGCUGAUCUUAUUGUGGUUUACCUUUGUUGUGGAAGAAAGAGCGUGAAACACCUGGAUGGACCCAACUAAAACUUCCUGGCCAAGCACCAUCAGCUCGAUGUGGUCACACUGUCACAUCCGGAGGACAUUAUGUAUGUCUAUUUCAGCUUCCGUUUGCUCUUUUGUAUAAAUAGGUUCGCAUGACAUACAUCACUCACAUCAUUAAUUUUCAUGUAUGAAGCUUCUGUUAUUUGGGGGACAUGGAACUGGUGGAUGGCUGAGUCGUUAUGAUGUCUAUUAUAAUGACACUAUAAUUUUAGACAGAGGUAAAUUCUUGCUUAUGAGAUUCGUCACUCUAAAUCCAAAAAUCCACCUCAGUAAUUUACAAUCUAGUGAGAUGAUAAAAUUGUGAUGUGCUUUAUCAUUUUUCUUGCUGAGCAUUGUUUUCUACGCGUUGUUGCUAAAUUUAUAUUUUCACAUACUAGUAACUGCGCAGUGGAAGCGCUUACCGAUAAGCAAUGAUGAGCCUCCUCCUCCUCGAGCUUACCAUACAAUGACUAGUAUUGUUGCUCGUCAUCUUUUAAUUGGUGGUUUUGAUGGAAAAUCAACCUUCGGUGAUCUUUGGUGGUUGGUUCCUGAAGGUAUCUUUCUCUUAUUUAUACUGAUGUUUUAGUCCAACUUAGCUAUCAUUCUGUGUACACGCAUCAUCAGUUACUUAUAGUUGGAAACUCUUUAGACGAACUAAUCUUGGUGUUGGUCGCAGAUUGUAGGCAAUUUUAGAGACACUUAAUUUCUAGCAUAAUCUUUUUUUUCUUCUUUAUCAAGUUUGUAUUGAAAGUUUUGAAGUUUUACUGAACUGUUUAGCCUUCUGAAAAUGUUGUUAUUCGUUUUUUUCUUUUUCUCUUUUCUCAGAUGAUCCGAUAGCCAAGAGGUCUUCUGUACCUCAACUUAGAAACCCUCCUGAGACUAAAGAGUCAGAGAGAGAUUUGGAUACGGUAACUGUGGUUACUGCUCAUCAUCUUAUGUGUUUCUCGCCAAUGCAGUUAAAUUAGCUUUUCAACGUGUUUUAACACCAAGAGUUUGGUCACAGCAGGAAAGAGGACAAGAGGGAUUCACUAUCGUCGACUUGCAAAAGAAAAUGGGAAUCUCUGUUUCUUCAGGGUUACGCCUUCAAAUACCCGAGGAGUUAGAAGAUCAAGAGUUCGUUGAGUUAGGAACCAGAUUGAUUGAGGGAGAUGCAGUUGAUAAUGGAGCCUCCAUGAUUCAGGUGAGUUUUUCCUCUUGUCUAUUUUAGAAUGUGUGAUUGUGUUAUUCUUGUACUGAAAAUGCUUCUCAAUGAAAAGAUGGCAGCUGAAGCACUUCGUCAACAUUGGAAAGAGUCCACUCCAGAGACUUUGCAAUUAAAGGAGCUUGGUUCCUUGCUUCGAGAUUAUCAGCGACUGGUUACCCGAAAAUACACGUGAGUUCUUAUCCAUGCCUAACUAUUUCAGACUCAGUUCUUGUUUAUGUAGAUUAUCUUUUGUUUCACUAAAAAUGGUUGUUCUUUGAUUGCGCUUGGAAUCACCACAUGGCAUUAGAAUAACUUAGAUAAAUCUCCUGAGAGUUUAGGAGUCAUAUAGAGUUAAUAUGAAUAUAUCAUUUUUGUGUCUUGAAUAGCCCUCGAGACUUUUUAAUCCGAGCAUAUUGUCAAAACUGAUAAUGUUGUGAAUGCAUUGUUUUGUGCCCCUACUAUUACAUGUUAUGAAAUCUCACAUCUGCUUCUUCCUUUCCUUGACACAUGUUUCUUUUCAUUUGUUGUGGCGGGUUUCUAUCAGAUCACAGAGCAGCUUAACAUCUGCUGAUUUUGGAAAGAAGACGUUUACGUUUUAUCAUAUCAAAAAUUCUUCCGAGGUAUUACUCUGCAUACUUUCCUCCCUCGCCUGAAUAUUUGACACCAAUCAAUCAAAACAUCAGGCUUUCCUCCUGACAUGUCAAGUUUACAUUUUGCUAUUCUCAGUUGCGGAUGGAUGACAUUGCGGAGUUGCUGGAAGAAUACAAAACCCUUGUAAUCUGAUUGAGGAGCUCUGCCAUGAAACUCACAAGGAGAAUACAAAACUCAUCAAGUAGCUGCCAAGAAGAUCACCAAGAUUGCUAUCAGCAUUACCAUUGCAAACCACAAAGCUAAAAAGUCUCAAGAGAAUCACAUCUCUGAUAGACAACUAUGUGCAACUUCUUUUUAGCAAGAACAAAAAGAUACAACGUAUAUGUAAGACUUCCAUUAUCUCAACUUAAAUCCAUAUCUAAGCCUCUGCUCUUUUAUUUCUUGUUUGGGCUUUGAAAAUAGAUUGCUUUGCCUUGAAGCCAAUGCGAAAGUAAGGAAAAAAGUAGGCAAACUUCAUCUAUUAGACUUUGAAAUGGAUUACAACAACAACGGUACUCUUGAUAACUUAAACCACAGAGUUUCUGUCUGCAUAGACCCGUAUUGUCUUUUCUCUAUCCCCUAAAACAACUCGAACUCAAGAUGAUCUCCCAUGGCUUUACAUUCAAGAUAUCCAUUACCAUUUCCUUUAGGAGAAGUUGCUUCCGUUGCACCAUUCUCAUAUACAUCCGGCAGCUCAGGCGGAAUGGCGCAGCGGAUGAGAGCCCAGUUCAAUCCUUCAAAGAAUGGAUGCCUCUUGAUCUCUGCAGCUCCUUUCUCCCACCCGAGACGGCUCCCCGGAUCCUUCAUCACCAACCUUCUGAUCAAAUCCUUUGCCUGGAAGCUCACAAGAGGGCUAUCAGGAAACUUGAGGUUCUGAAACACAAACGUCUCCUCAUUGUCAUAACCUUUGAACGGUGUCUUCCCGUAUAAAAGCUCAUAGAGAAGAACCCCAAACGUCCACCAGUCUACUGCAGCACCGUGCCCUUCUCCUUUAAUGAUCUCCGGCGCCAAGUACUCGUGCGUUCCUACAAAAGAGUUUGAUCUUGCUUCAGUUGGUUCAGCCACAAGCUGAGGCAAUGAUCUGAACUGUUGGGUCAGAAGAUCAGGCCUUCUCUGUUUUCUUGGUUUUGAGUUUCUAGCUUGCGUUGACAAGAGCCUAGGGCUGAAACAUGGGACACAGCACGAUGGACUCUAUCUAAAUCACAGGUUCUUCAUCUUCUUUGGAAGCUGAGGAGCUUGAUACAAUAAGUGAAGACGAAGACAAACAGCAGUAUCCAGGCGAUGUGCACUGCAGCUACAGCUGGUAAGAAGUCAUGUUCGAACCCGGAUCCAUCUUUGAGCAACUGUUUUAGUUCCGUGUCUAGGAGACCAGUGUUCUGUACUAUCGAAUCUUGGUCUCCUACUUGAGAUGUGAUGCUUCCAUACAAUGUCCAGCCACUGGCGUUGCCUAGUAAUUAAUAUCAUCUCCACCAUAUCAAUAUUUGCUGCAUCCCCUCCUCCAUAAGAAACAUAAAACAUAAAAGUUAGGUAGCUCUAAAACACUUCUGAUCAUAACAAAAAGUAAGAUCUAUAACACACUUGAUGAUUACGUAACUUGGUUCGUAAUUUUUACCAAUCUUUGGGAUGAGGAACUGGAGAAAAGAUUCCAAAUAGACCGAGGAAGAAAGACAUGCAGAUUCCGGAGAUUUGAUAGUUUGGUGUCAAGGCCACAAAGCAUCAAGCUUGGUAACAUGUCGUAGUAGUAGAAGUAGAACCAGAAGAACUUGACCACAGUACGGUCGUAUCCUAUCAUUGAGUAAAGGAUUAUAGUAUGUAAACUCUAGUUUGUAUGGUGUCAUACUACAUGAUCUAACAACUUUGUCUAUAUUACCAACUAGUGGUAUGCCCGCGCUACGCGCGGGGCGGUUGUCUUGUGUUGUAAUAUUUAUUUUAAAUGUAUUGUCAUCUUUUGUUUGAUUAUAGGUAAAUGAAAAAUUAAUGUAAUAAAAAUUGGUUUGAUUAUAUUAUCAUUAACUCAAAAAAUAAAAAUUAAUUUUUAGUUAUACUUGAGAUCAUGAAGCAUUAUUUUGAUCAACUGAUGAUAAUAGAUAUAAGUUUUAACUGUCAAAGAUAAAUUGUAGAGUACAAUGUGCAUAGUAUAAUAUAGGCUUGACAUUUUAUGUAUAAAUUUAGAUAUCUAUUAGUUUUUUUGUUUGAAAUAAGUAUUUUUUUAAAAUUGUUCUUAUUUGAUUAUAUUUGGGAAAGAAAUGCUGAGAAAGAAAAUUAUUUUGUAAAGAGGGAAUUUUUUUUGUUGUUGAAAUUAAUACAAAGGAGAAAACAGUACAGAAAUGAAACUGGAAAUUAGAAUAUAAUAAACCCCCUUAUUAGUAGUAAUUAAGCUGAAAUCAUAGAUUACUUUCCCUACGUAUGGGACAUUUUUUGUUCGUGCGAAGCCAUCGAUAAAUGUAAGGAAAAUAGAAAUUAUGGUUGCAAGUAAGAGAGUAAAUAUUGUUUUCAUAGUUGAAAUUCCUAAAGCACAUAGUGCAUUCUUCAAUAGUUGGAAGCCUAUUAAUUUCCUCUAAAUCGACGUUAAGUUUUGCAUCGCGUUUUGGUUGUAGCCCUUGAUAGUAAGAGUAAAUUGAAGAUCAUCAGUCAUGGUAUGUUAACAUGAAUUCUAUGCUUUCGGUUGUUGAAUCAUUAAAAUUAAAUUGAUUGUCAAUGAUAGAUGGUAGCUGAAAAUUAAUAAUGGAUUGUUGUGUGUUAGAUCUGGGGAUGUAGACUUGGAGUAUUUGUUGCGGACUUUCUCCUGAAGAUCUUGUUCGGAGUGAUAGCUGAUAAGAGAGAAGUGGUUUGUUAUUUACUUUUGAGUUCUUUGUAAGAGUUUUAUGGUGAAAGUAUGAAAAUGUUUUAUAAAUAUGUCUUAUAGAGUGUGAAUUAAGUUUUUGAUUUAUUUUGACUUCUUCUUACGUUUGGUAUUAAGAACUAUUUAUUUUGGAGGUUUAAUUUUUUGAGUUGAUGGUUUUUGAAGACUUGACUGUUCUGUUUAGGUUGAUUUGUUACUUCUUAUCGAGAUUUUUAUAAUAUACAUAUAGAGUUUAUUUGUAAGAGAAAAUGAUAAUAGGGUAAUUUUCCUAAAUACACAUUUUUAUGUUUUUGUCACAAAAUAGCUUCAAAUGAGUAAAAUGACUAAAAUGUCUCAUUUAAGAGAAAAAGAUAUUUAUACCCUAGAUAUAUAAAUACAAAUAAAAUAUAAUUUAUAGUUUCCAAUUAUAUGUUUUCAAAUUUGAACUUUCUUAUAAAAAUAUAUUUUGUAAAAGUCCAUUCUUUAACUCGAAACCCUAAAGUUUAGAUUAGUUAACCUCAAUUUUAUAAAAAAAUUGAAACCUCUAUCCUAAAACUUUAUCCUUUAACUCGAAACCCUAAAGUUCAGAUUAGUUAACCUCAAGGAUAUAAGUGUAUAUUUAUCUUUUAUUUUGGUUAUUUUUAUUCUAAAAGACUAUAUUUGUGACAAAAAAAAUUUAGGACUGUAAUAGGAAUUUCUCAUGAUAAUAUAUGCUUUUUAUAUUUCGAUGAAUCUUAUUAAUAAUAUAAUUUUAGUUUGGUUAAUUAUUAUUAUGGUUUAACAUUUCAACGAUAGUUUUACUCUUAAUUUUGAUGUUUCUAUAAUGUGCGUUGUUCUAAACUGAAAUUAAUUCGUAUUAGUUAUUUGUAGUUAUGUUAAUAUAUAUUUUUAUUAGUUUUAGUAUAGUUUUAAUGUCCUUGGCUAAAAGCAUUCUACAAAACUAUAGUAUAGUAUAGUUUUAAUUUGGGUUUCCAUAUUUAAUGGAAACGUAGUGGGUCUAGGAGAUUAAUGGUGUUCUUUUGUUGCUGUUGGAAUACGUUAUUGUUUUCAAAGUUUUGAUUUGAGUUAUUAAAUUUAUCAUUUAUAAUUUGAGAUUUUAUAUCAUGAAACUUUAAAACACGAUUGUUUUGUGACUUGUUUGAAAUAAUUAGUAUAUUAUACUUUAAAUUUUAUAUUAAUUUAUUUUAUCGUUAGUAAUUAACAAAGUUCAAGUUAUUCUCCCAAUAAUUGGUUCCAAAAAAAUAAUUGUGCUUUUUCAGUAAUUUACUGUUAAGAAAAUAAAGUUGUAAAUGUUAUGUGAUAUAAUUUUAAGUUAUAUUACACUGUUAUUUUAUAUUUUCUACAAAACAAUUUAUGGACAUUGUUAUUUUUGGCUCAUUUGAAUACACGAAAAAAAAUCUAUUGAUGGACUACACCUACGUUUGGGGAUUAGCAUACAUCUUUUCAUAUGUUUCCUAGGUUAAUAAAAUAAUAUUUCUAUUUUAUCUUCUAUUUAAAUUUAAAAUUUCUAAAUAUCCAUUUUGAUUAUAUAUUUUAUAUAUUUUGAGUAUCGUUGGCUGAAUUUCCUCUCAAAUCCUAGUUACCAAUAUGCCUUAAUUGUUUAAAAGUAGUAGAAAAGCCCAAUAAAAAUCUCUAAACCGAAGACGUUAUAGAGAUGAAGUCUCAGAUUCCGGAAGAGGAAGAGGAUGGAGCAGGAGAGACCCCGAUGGCGAAACAUAGAAACCCUAAAAGAACAAAUUAAGUUUUCUAGAUGAAGAGAAGAGCCCAGAGCCCAGGAACACAUUAAACUAUUCAGAGAGAAAGAGAAUGGCCCACGAAACAAAAACAAACGGACAAAACAAAAUAAACCCACGAAACAACACAAUUUAAGAAACGUAAAUGAAAUCAAACGAACAAAAGCUUUGUAAAAUAGAGACACGUGGCGAAAUUUAGAUAUAUGAGUGCUGAGGUGGAGGCCUGAGGAGCCUUUCCAAGCUACUUUAUUAAUAUAGAUUUUCCCAAUUAAUUAUUUCUAACGAAAAUAUAAUGUAUAAAUAUCAAUGAAUAUAUUUUGAAAGUUGAAAAUGAGGAAGAAAUUUUUUUUUUUACCAAAAAGAAUAAUAAGGGAGAACUAUAGUGAAUGCUUCGAGUGGGCUUAAGCAAACGCAUUAUUGCCUGCGAAAAGUCAUUAUCGCUACAGACUAGAAAACUCACAUAUUUUCUUUUUAUUCAAAAUUAGAACCACAGAUGGCAGCCAAUAUAGACUGUUGAUAAGAUUGACUUGGAGUCUACUCUUUCAUUGCCACUCAUAUCUCUUCUUCCAAAGAACCUCUCUAAGCAAGUUGAAGAGCUGUUACAUGAAAGGUAAAUCAUGUUCUUGUAUCAUUAUUUGUCUGUUUAACUUGCUUUGAUCUGUCUUUUGGACUCUGUUGUGGUUGAAUCUGAAUUUAAAAACGAAAAUUCGUUAGAUUAUUACAAAUCUUGUUUUACGAAUUUAAAGCAUUUAAUCAUCAAAUCUUGUUAUAAAUUGUUUGAAUAAAAGUAAGUUAAGUAAAGUUCCUCUGACAUGUAUCAUAUUUUAUUAGAUAAACCAAGGAUUAUCACAGCGGUUUUAAAUCUUACUACAAGUUUGUACUUAUGUAUUGAUGGUGGAACAGGAGAAUAGUGAUGGCUGAGGGAGUUGUGUCGUUUGGAGUGGAGAAACUCUGGGAUCUCCUGAGUCGAGAAUCAGAGAGACUGCAGGGAGUUCAUGAGAAAGUUGAUGAUCUAAAAUGUCAGAUGAGAAUGUUACAGUCAUUGUUGGAAGAUGCAGAUGCCAAGAGAUAUGAGAGUAAAGUAGUGAGAAGCUUCUUGGAAGAUGUCAAAGACAUUGUUUUUGAUGCAGAAGAUAUAAUCGAAUCCUUUCUUUUGAAAGAACUUAGUGGAAACCAAAAAGGGAUCAAGAGGCGUGUGAAAAGACUUUCUUGUUUCUUAGUGGAUCGCCGAGAUAUUUCUAUGGAAAUUGAAGGCAUAACUACGAGAAUGUCUAAGCUUGUUGCGCAAAUGCAGAGCUUUGGAAUACAACAGAUCAUCUACAGAUCACCGUCUCUACAAGAGAGACAAAGACCAAGGGAGAACCGACAAACAUAUCCAAAGACAUCUCAAAAGGAUCUUGUGGGGGUGGAACAGAGUGUUAACGAAUUGGUUAGUCAUUUGGUGGAGAAUGAUAGCAUCCAAGUAGUUUCCAUAUCUGGGAUGGGUGGUAUUGGAAAAACCACUCUUGCGAGACAAGUUUUUCAUCAUGACAUUGUUCAAAGUCAUUUUGAUGGAUUCGCAUGGAUCUGCGUUUCGCAAGAUUUUAAGAAGAAGGAUAUUUGGCAAAAGUUAUUGCGAGACCUCAGACCACAUGAGAAGGGAAUCGAACAUAUGAAUGAGGAUACACUCCAGGCUAAGAUCUUUCAUUUGUUGGAAACAUCUAAAUACUUAAUUGUCAUGGAUGAUGUAUGGAAAAAAGAAGACUGGGAUGUAAUAAAAGACGUAUUCCCCCAAGCAAGAGGUGAGCUCUCUAAUUGUACAAACAUUACUUCCCAUAGCUAUUUCAUAAAUGCCUUUGAGUCCUUGAGAUGAAAGGAAAUACAAUUGCAGGUUGGAAGAUGAUUCUUACUUCACGCAAUGAAGGUGUUGGUUUGCAUGCCGACCCAUCAUGUUUUCCCUUUAGACCAAAAAUCCUUACUCCUGAAGAAAGUUGGAUGCUAUGUGAGAGCAUAGCAUUCCCUAGAAGAGAAAUAACGGGUAUGUUUCUAUAUAAGACAUAUGAAUCUCUUACGGGCCUUCUUAUCAAAAAUCUUUUGUACUAAUUCCUAAAUUAUCAUCUGGGAUGACAUAUAUUGUUAUAUAUACUAGGUGUUUAUCGGCAUAUAUAAGAAGGAUAAAACAUAUUUUUGUAAAUUUUUUUAUGCUUAGAAUUUUAUUUUAAGAUAACAACCCAAUAUACCUAUAUAUAUGAUUUCUAUUUUUAUCUUAAAAAUAUAUUUUUAUUUUUUGACUAUUUUCUUAUCUUAGUCAAUCUAUUAAAUAAAUCCAAAAGUUGAUUAUAUAAAUUAUAAAUCUAGACAAGAACAAAAAAAAACAAUUUCAUUGCCAAUAAUGAAUUAUUAGAAUCUUUGAUUUAUAUAGUCCCAUCCGUUACUUUAUGUAUGUGUUAUUUAGGAGGGUCAUUGGUAAGUGAAUUCUUAUGAACUUUGGAAAAUUUGAGAUUUCAUUAUUAUUAGUUUUUGGAUUUCAAAUAUCUUAAUAGAAUCCGUUGUUAUUGGUUUUAAAAAAAAUCAAAAUCCAUUCAAAUCUUUUGUUAUUCAAAAAGUUUAGUUAUUAUUGAUUCUCUAAUUCUAACUAAAUUCAGUGUUACUGGGAGAUGAAUUUUAUUUAUUUUUAUUCAUAAGACUCAACUAUCAAAAUAUGUAUCCAUAUGAUUUUCAAAAUCCAUGUGAUAAAAAACUAAAAAAUAAAAUAAUUAUUCUUACCAAUUAUCUAUUGAACCUUAAAUCCAAAUUAUACGUCCAAAAAUAUAAUUAAUUACAUUUAUAUACUUUUACAUUUUUGAAUAUAUAAUUAUUUUUAUAAAUAUUAUCAUUUUUAAUAUAAAUAUUAAUAAUUACAUUUAUAAAUAUUAACAAGUUUUAAUAUAUUUUUUUAAAAAUAGUUUCGAAAACCAUUUUCAAAUUUAUAAAAAUUAUAAAAAGUUCAAAUUUGAAAACAUCUAAUCCGAAAUUAUAAAACAAAAUUUUUUAUUUUUAUUUUAUUUUUAUUACUUAUAUAUCUAUAAAGCAAAGGGAAAAAUAGUUUUUUGCCCUUUUAAUAAAACUUCUUUUGGUCAUUUUCCUUUUUGAAUAUUUUUUGUGACAAAAACUUAAAAAUGACUAUUUAAGAAAAUUGUACAAUUUUGUAUGUAUCACUAUUAUUUUCUUUUUAAUUUGAAGAAAAAAAUAAAUAAUCAUGCUAUAUGAUUUAGAAAAUAUAUAAAUUAUAUAUUUACUUUACAAAAAAAAAUUAUAGAAAAGAGGUAAUACAAAUUCAUGAAAAUCUUUUCCAAUCUAAAAAGGUUAUUAUCAAAUUUCAUAAGUCGAUGUAUUUAAAUUUUUACAAUCUACAUAACUUUUAAAAAUCUAUCAACUCCAUGGAUGGAUGGAUGGAUGGAUUUGCGAAGUGAUUUUUUGCAAUGGAGUUCUCACGUUAAAAGUUAGAGUGGUAAAUAUUGUGUAUACCCUUAAUGAAUAAAAUAUAUAUUAGCAAAAAAAAUAAAAAUUAAUUUAUUUUUUCUUAGAUAAUUAUUUAAACUAAUAAUAAGAAUUAUCCAAAAUCUAAAAAAAAAAAGAUAAUUCCUAUAGAUAUUGUGUUGUUAUCUGAAAAAAUCAUUUAAUAAAAAGUUCAAAGUUAAAAAAAUGGAAAACACAUAACUAAAUAUAUUAAUCAAGUAAAUGCUUGAUUUUAUAUAAUUGAAAAGAGCAUAUUGAGUGAUUUCUAAAAUUUAUUUAUUAAUAAUUAAUGAAUAUAGUGUAUAAGGAAAUAUUCAAAAAUUAUAAUACAUAAAAAAAUCAAAUGAAAAAAUAAAUAAUAAUUUAUCAUUAUAGUAUUCUAAUUAUUAAUACAUAUAUUAAUAAGUAAUUAUAAAAUACUUAUGUCUACGGAAGAAACACCUAGUAAUAGUAUAAUAUACAAGUUUAGCAAUAUGAACUUCAUAUUGUAAGCAUGGCCGGCUUUUGAGGAAGGCGGUCAGUGCGACCACUCCGCGGCCCGUUUCAAAUCAUGUUAUGUUAAGGGCCUUAAGAGUUAUAAAAUUUAGAGAUUCUAUUGUUAUUGGUUUAUGUAUUCUUAUAAUCUUGUUAGAAUCCUUUGUUAUUGGUUUAUGAACUUUUAAAUUUCAUAUAAAAUCCUUUGUUAUUCAAAAAGUCUAGUUUUUAUUGAUUUUGUAAUUUUAGUAAACUCUCUUGUUAUUGGGACAUAAAUUCUCUCUAGUUUUACUCAUAACACUCAACUUUACAAAUAUCAUCUAUACUCAUAAGAUUUUUAGAAUCUAUGUAACAAAAAACACAAAUAUACAAACACAAAAAGUUUUGUAUUACAUUUUUGUUGUCAUGUGAAAGAUAAUUGUAAAAGGAAAUUUAAAGAUAACAAAUUAUUAAAGAUAACAUAAUUAAGAAUAUGAAAAAAUCAUAGGUUGACCUCAGAAAACUUUAAACAAAAAUCAAAAAAGACAAAUUCAAAUAUUAAAAAAAUAAAAAAAAAAUAUUUUAACAUCAAAUAACUAUAUUUCUUGAAAUAAAAAGUUUAGAAGUAUUUUUAUAAAUAGAUAAAUCUGGAAAGAAAAACAUAUAUGGAAAUUCAUGCUAAUCAAUCAUAAUCAAUGAAAAUUUAUACAAUACAUAUGGCAAGAAUUCAUCAAAUUUACUUAACUCUUAAAAAAAUUUGAACUUUAAAAAUUUUCAGAUUCUAAGCAAAUUUCAUUUUCAAUAGGCCCCUAAGAAAUCAAGUAUAAAUUUUUGCUCGAUGUUAUGCCUAAGUUGAAAAGUUAAAGAAACACAAAAUUUAAAAAAACAGACUAGUUAUGGGCCUCAAAAUUUUGAUUUGCCCUGGGGCCCUCUAAUUGUAAGUGAUCUUAAAUGUUCGAAACAAAAAAAAUAUAAAAUACUAAGUAAACUAUUAAAAGAGUCCUCAUAAAAACUAACAAUUCUCCGGAUAAUCAUUAAGUUAGAAAAAAUAUAUAUAAUUCUUUUUAAUUUAUAAAAUUAAUUAUAGAUUAAAAGUAUCAAUGACUUUAGUCGUUAUAACUUUUAAUAUAAGAGUUCAGAGGUAAAAAAAUCACAAGUUUAGCAAUACAAACUUCAAAACAAAAAAAACGUAGUAGUAAUACAAACUGACGUAAGUAUAAAAUACUAAGUAAACUAUAAAAGGGGCCAUCAUAAAAACUAACAAUUUUCCAGAUAAUCACUAAGUUAGAAAAUCUAUAUAAUUCCUUUUAAUUUAUAAAACUAAUUAUAGAUUAAAGAUGUCAAUGACUUUAGUCGCUAUAACUUUUAACAUGAGAGUUCAGAGGUAAAAAAUCACAAGUUUAGCAAUAUAAACUUCAUAUUGUAAGUGAACAUAAAUGUUCAGAAAAAUAAGUGGUAGUAAUACAAACUGACGUAAAGUAUAAAAUACUAAGUAAACUAUAAAAGAGGCCAUCAUAAAAACAAACAAUUCUCCAGAUAAUCAUCCAGAUAAUCAUUAAGUUAGAAUAUAUAUAUAAUUCCUUUAAAUUUAUAAAUUAAUUAUAGAUUAAGGGUAUCCACGACUUUAGUCGCUCUAACGGAUGAGAGAUCAAAAGUAAAAACAUCACAUUGCUAAUAAUAGUACAAAUAGAUAGAUAUAUUAUAAUUUUUUGAAAAUUUGAAAAGACUAGACACAUAUAUUAUUUCAAGACUAAUCUAUAAUAUGCUUUACUGUUUUCAGAAUUUAAUGUUGAUGAAGAACUAGAAGCCAUGGGUAAGAAAAUGGUCAAAUAUUGUGGAGGACUACCAUUAGCCGUUAAAGUGCUGGGAGGCUUGUUAGCUAAUAAAACCAUGGUUGAAGAGUGGAAAAGAGUAGAUGACAAUAUUCAAACUCAGAUAGUUCGCAUAGAUGACAAAAGUCAAGAUUCUGUUUACCGAGUAUUGUCUAUGAGCUAUGAAGAUUUGCCAAUGCAGUUAAAGCAUUGCUUUCUCUACCUAGCUCAUUUUCCCGAAGAUUACGAGAUACAAGUGGAGAGAUUGUAUUAUCUCUGGGAAGCAGAAGGAAUAAUAACGUCAAGUGGCGAUGGAGAAACCACUAGGAAAAUUGGAGAAGAAUACAUAGACGAGCUAGUAAGGAGAAAUAUGGUUAUUGGAGUAAAAGAGGAUUUGAGUUGCAAAUGGGAGUAUUGUCAAAUGCAUGACAUGAUGAGAGAAGUAUGUUUAUAUAAAGCCAAAGAAGAGAACUUUCUUCAGUUUAUCGAAGUCCCUACUUCUUCCACCUCCACCAUCAAUGCUCAUACUCCUACGGGAUCUCGCAGACUCGCAGUACAUGGCGGUGAUACGCUGGGACGUCAAAACAAUAAAAAAGCUAGAUCUAUUUUGGGUUUUGGACUCAACAGCAACUUGUGGAAGCAGUCAGGUCAAGGAUUCCGAAAUUUACAAUUACUUAGGGUCUUACAUCUGAAUUUACAAACACAUGAUAGCGACUCUAGAGGAGGGAGAAUACCUUCGAGCAUUGGGAAGCUCAUUCAUUUGAGAUAUUUGAGCUUAGACAUGGGUUGUGCAACUCAUGUACCUUCUUCUUUACGGAAUCUAAAGCUUCUAAUCUAUUUGAGUAUUUUCUCCUUCAAAAGAAUUCAUCUGCCAAGUAUCUUUAAAGAGAUGGUAGAGUUGAGGCUCCUGAUGCUUCCCCAUGUAAUUGACCCUAAAACAAAGUUGGAAUUGGGUAAUCUAGUGAACCUCGAGUACUUGAGGUGGUUCCGAUCAGAAAACGGUAGCAUCACAGACUUACUCCGAAUGAAAAAGCUCAGGAAUCUCGAGAUAUAUCUCAAAGGCAGGUAUACUUCUGAAAUUCUAGCGUCAUCUCUCUGUGAAUUAAGAAACCUGGAGGAGCUUUGCUUGAUCGAUGAGAACAACGAAUCCGAUGGGGCUUAUGAUGUGGAUUUCGUUUGGAAUUUCAUUCAUCUAAGGCGUUUAGCGCUGGGCCUACAUGUGACAAGGCUUCCUGAUCACUCUCGAUUUCCUCCCCACCUUGCAUACAUAUCUCUAACUAAGUGUGAAUUGGAGGAGGAUCCACUGCAGAUUCUGGAAAAGUUGCUUCAUUUAAAGUCGGUUGAAUUAGGUUACAGCGCUUUCGUGGGGAGGAAGAUGGUGUGUUCAAAAGGUGGAUUCCCUCAAUUAUGUAAGCUACAAAUAUGGUUACUAGACGACUUGGAAGAGUGGAUAGUGGAAGAAGGGUCGAUGCCAUGUCUUCGUACCUUGUAUAUAUACAAUUGUAAAAAGUUGAAGGAGCUACCGGAAGGGCUCAAGUAUAUAACUUCUUUAAAGGAACUGAUAAUCACCGAUAAGAACAAGGAGUGGAAGACGAAACUCGUACCAGGUGGGGAAAGUUACCACAAAGUCCAACACAUUCCUAGCGUUCAAUUAGUCUAUGAUAGCGACGAAUAAGGAGAAUACAACCGUCUCAGGUAUAUAUACUUUUGUUUGGUAUAAUGUCAAUAUUGUUCUCCUUGAAGUUUAGUGUGGAAGUCUCAACUAUCUAACCUUUUUAUUAUUCGGUUUUCAGGUGAACCUACUCAGAAUCAGUACCCACUUAUUGAUUCUGUGAUGUGAUAUAUGUCGUUUUUGUUGUAUUGGUGUUUUAAAGUUUAUAUAUCUUGUUUGUGAUAUAUUUCGUUUUUCUGUUUGCAUGCUCAUUCACUGUAAUGCUACGUUUGAAAGACAUUUGUAUGUUGAACCGUAUCUUCUCUUCAAUGUCUCCGUUGUGUGUGCUUAGUUGACUUGUAUGGUCGGACUUGGAGAUAGAACGGUCCUUUGAUAGUGAUCGCUGAACAUCAUUCUUAACAUCACUUUAUCAUUUGGUUCAACGAAGGUCGAGAUUGAGGAGUCGAGAGCUUUUACACGAAACGUCUAGUUAAUCCCUUUUUAGAGCAUCUCAAACCCACCCCUAUAUUUGCUUCUAUAUGCUAUAAUAGAGGAAAAUCUACUCCACCCCAUCUCUAUUUCUUCUUCUAAAAUAGAGAUUGCUAUUUUCUCCUAUAUUUAGAGGAAAAAUUAGCAUUCCUCUAUAAUAGAGACAUACUUUUUUAUUUACACAAUAAUCCUUUAACUUUUUGUGAUUAUAUUUAAAAUACAUAUUUAUGUAGAAAUACAUGAUUUUUACAUAUAAAGCCUAAUUAUCUUUUGUUUACAUAAUAUUUUUUACAGUUAUAAGUAAAUAAAAUAAAUAAAUAAUAAUAUUAUUUUAUGUGAAAGUCUAAUUUUUAACAAAUAAUACUUAAUUUUAUAUUUAAUACUAAAAUUAUUAAUUAUAGUUUAAUUUCUAAAAAAUCUACAUAAACUUUACAUAUUGAUAACAUAUUUAUUUAAAUAUUAAUUAAUACAACAUAUUAAAACGCCUUAAUAUUAUGGUAAAUUACGUCCAGAUCUCCAUAAUGAUGGUUAGAUAAUGUAUACUUUGUUUUACUAUUUUUUUGUUUAAUUUUUUUUGUAACAAACUGUUUAAAUUAAAUAAUAUUGCAUUUUUAUGAAAAAAAUCCAAGUGAUAUAAUGAAUGGGUUAAUUUUCAAUAUUUAUAAGUUAAAAGGUGUUAAUUGUAAAAUUUUGAAAGAAUCUCUUAAGAAUAUUCCUUUUUAAAAGAUAAAAUAGAAGAAUACAUUGGAAAGAAAUCCACAUCUAUUAUAAAGUUACUCUAUUAUAAAGUAAAAAAAUAGAAAAAUACAUUGGAGAUGGUCUUACAAAUAUAUAACCUUAGGAGUUUAUUGAAACCAAAGCCAAGAGUUUCAGCACAAUGGGAUUCCUUACAGUUGAUACUACAAAGAGAUUAUUGAAUCAAAUGAAAUGAAUGAAUGAAUUUAGGAAAGUUUGUUACAAGAAGUAUAUAUAUACACGGUUAAGUUAUAGGAAACUUAAACCAUGUUGGUUAUCUAGUAAACCGAUAUAGUAUAUUGAUGGUUUAUGAUGAACUCGGUCUGGAUCAUAAUAUCAGAUCACGAGUCUCUACCAAACAAAGAGUCCUUUCGAUCUCUGCAUGUUUGUAUUGACUUUAAGGGGGUGUUAAUGGGACUUGAAGCGAAUCCAAAACGGGUGAUCCGUGCGUUUCAGACAUCAAUCGCCAAACCUCACUUUUCCAGACCGAACCGAACCGAAUCGACCCUGAGUUUUCCAAAUUUUAAGUAACGGCAUAAACCGGUUAAUUCUCAUCGACUCCUGUAAUUCGUCUUUCACUACCAAACCGGACAUAUUGAUGGUUUAACGAGCUCGGUCAUGAGUCUUUCUGCCAAACAAAGAGUCCUUUCGAUCUCUGCAAAAUUGUUUUUGACUUAGGAGAAGUCUACUACUUGAAGCGAAUACAAAACGCGGUGAUCCGUGCGUUUUCAGACAUCAAUCGCCAAACGUAUGCAUAACUGGGUUAGAGCUUCCUCUUCCGAUUUCACCGGAACUCCUCCGCAGCCAAGGAGGUAAAUUAAUUACUUCUUCUCCAUUCAAUUUCCGAUUUUAAUUUCAGCUGAUGAUUUUUAUUCUUCAUCAGUGGACAUACAGCUGUCAAUGUCGGAAAAUCCAUGGUCGUGGUGUUCGGCGGCCUCGUCGACAAGAAGUUCCUCAACGACAUCAUUGUCUAUGACAUUGGUAAUAAUCAUACUUCAGCCUUAGGAUUAUUGUUUCCUUGCUUCAAGAAAGAUGCUUUCUUUCUCACGAGUUACGUUCUUGGCUUGCUCUGCUUGUAAUGACUAUUGUCUCUACUAGUUUAUUUGAUAGAACGAUGCUUACAUCAAAGAUAGUUACUUUGCAACAAAAAAAAAACUAUAGAAAGCUGAAAACUUCAAGAUGAGAUUAUUCGAUUCGGUGUUGUUGAAGAGGAAUCAGAUGGAUACUCUCUUUUCUUAUUUUGCUAGUUUUGUUUCUGAGCUUCUUUUGUCCCCUCCUUGGCCUUGUUUUAAGUAUCAUAUGUUCAGCUUUUUUUUAAUCAUGUGAUAAUUGGUGGUCUUAUGAUUUGCUUCUUCUUUAUCCUGUCGACUAGAAAACAAACUCUGGUUCGAGCCAGAGUGUACUGGCAGCGUGUCUGAAGGAAAAGUUGGUCCUACACCUCGCGCGUUUCAUGUUGCCAUCACUAUUGAUUGCCAUAUGUUCAUCUUUGGUGGACGUUCUGGUGGCAAGAGGUGCGCACUACUAUUUAUUUUCUUGCUAUAAGCGUUUUUACAUUCUAAAGAGCUCAUUUCUAUAAAUCAAUUACAGGUUGGGUGACUUCUGGGUUCUAGAUACAGGUAAGUGUGCAAGUUAUAACAACUGCCUGGGAACUAUUUAAUACUCUGCUGCUAACGUUUUCUGCAGAUAUAUGGCAGUGGUCUGAGCUAACCAGCUUUGGCGACUUACCUACGCCUCGUGAUUUUUCUGCUGCUGCUGCUAUUGGGAACCAGAAGAUUGUGUUGUGAGUUUCAGAAAUGUUAGACGUUCAUCAGCUUGUUGCAUGCAUUGGCUUAGCCUAUGAUUAUUGGCAGGUGUGGCGGCUGGGAUGGUAAAAAAUGGCUGUCAGAUGUGUAUGUUAUGGACACAAGUAUAUCUCUCGUCUACUUCAGUUUUGUAAUAAAACUGUUUUUAAGUUUAUGAUAAUGUCAGCUUUAUUGGUGUCUGUUAGUGUCACUUGAAUGGAUGGAGCUGACGGUUUCGGGGUCGUUGCCGCCUCCUAGAUGUGGUCAUACAGCCACCAUGGUUGAGAAACGCUUACUUGUUUUUGGUGGCCGAGGUAUACCAGAACUAAAACUUUGUAGUUAUCACCAUUCCCUAAAUAAGUUAAAGGUGUUUGUAUAUUUAACCAACUUGGCGGAAUCAUAUUAUAGAUAAAAGUCAAAAACCCUAAUGAUUUGUUUACUAUUCCACCUUUUCACUCAUCAAACAUGCUAAGGAUGCUGAUGUGUUUGAUCUACCCUGUCGCUGUCAGUUAAUAACUUUAACUAUUAGUUAAGUUUCCUGACUGGGUGUACUGAUGGUAUAUGUAAUAUAGAAACCCUUUUCCGAUCCUAACGAUUCAUACUUGUAAAUGAAUUCACUAGCUUGAUAUUUCCUUGGUUCUGUUUCAUGGUAUGAGUCAGGAUCAUAAUUUGUUUUGCUUGAGCUGAUAACAAGUAAACUGAUAUUAUGGUGUGUGCUAUGUUAUCUUUGACAGGAGGUGGUGGCCCUAUCAUGGGUGAUUUGUGGGCUUUGAAGGGUCUAAUCGAUGAAGGUAUCCUUACUUAAAAUUUGCAUUUGAUCUUGUAGGAAUAUCCUCUUCAUUUGUUUUAUUUAUUAUGUUCUGGUUGCUGAUCUAAUUGUGGUUUACGUUUGUUGUGCAAGAAAGAGCGUGAAACACCUGGAUGGACCCAACUAAAGCUUCCUGGCCAAGCACCAUCAGCUCGAUGUGGUCACACUGUCACAUCCGGAGGACAUUAUGUAUAUCUUUUUCAGCUUCUGUUUGUUCUUUUGUGUAAGGAUAGCUUCGCAUGACAUACAUCACUCACAUCAUUAAUUUUCAUGUAUGAAGCUUCUGUUAUUUGGGGGACAUGGAACUGGUGGAUGGCUGAGUCGUUAUGAUGUCUAUUAUAACGACGCUAUAAUUUUGGAUAGAGGUAGAUUCUUGCUCACUCGUCUCAUAAGAUUCUUCUCCUCUGCUAAAGGAUCACUCUAAAUCCAAAAAUCCACUUCAUUAAUUUACAAUAGUACAAUACUAGUGAGAUGAUAAAAUUGUGAUGUAAAUUAUCCUUUUUCUUGCUGAGCAUUGUCUUCUAUGCGUUGUUGCUAAAUUUCUAUUUUUCACAUACUAGUAACUGCUCAGUGGAAGCGCUUACCGAUAAGCAAUGAUGAGCCUCCUCCACCUCGAGCUUACCAUACAAUGACUAGUAUUGGAGCUCGUCAUCUUUUAAUUGGUGGUUUUGAUGGAAAGUCAACCUUCGGUGAUCUUUGGUGGCUGGUUCCUGAAGGUAUUAAACUCUUAUUUGUACUAAUGUUUUACUCCAACUUAGCUAUCAUUCUGUGUACAUGCAUCAUCAGUUACAAUCUCGGUGCUGGUCACAGAUUAUAGGCAAUUAGAGACACUUAAUUUCUAGCAUACUCUUUUUUUUCUUCUUUAUCAAGUUUGUAUUGAAAGUUUUGAAGUUUUACACAUCUGAUUGAAUUUACUGAACUGUUUUAGCCUUCUGAAAAUGUUGUUAUUCGUUGUGAAAGAAAGAAAUGGAAUAAAGAAAGAAAUGUUGUUAGCGAUCUAACUCUUUUUCUCUUUUCUCAGAUGAUCCCAUAGCCAAGAGGUCUUCUGUACCUCAACUUAGAAACCCUCCUGAGACUAAAGAGUCAGAGAGAGAUUUGGAUACGGUAACUGUGGUUCCUGCUCAUCAUCUUAUGUGUUUCUCGCCAAUGCAGUUAAAUUAGCUUUUCAACUUGUUUUAACACCAAGAGUUUGGUCACAGCAGGAAAGAGGACAAGAGGGAUUCACUAUCGUCGACUUGCAAAAGAAAAUGGGAAUCUCUGUUUCUUCAGGGUUACGCCUUCAAAUACCCGAGGAGUUAGAAGAUCAAGAGUUCGUUGAGUUAGGAACCAGAUUGAUUGAGGGAGAUGCAGUUGAUAAUGGAGCCUCCAUGAUUCAGGUGAGUUUUUCCUCUUGUCUAUUUUAGAAUGUGUGAUUGUGUUAUUCUUGUACUGAAAAUGCUUCUCAAUGAAAAGAUGUCAGCUGAAGCACUUCGUCAACAUUGGAAAGAGUCCACUCCAGAGACUUUGCAAUUAAAGGAGCUUGGUUCCUUGCUUCGAGAUUAUCAGCGACUGGUUACCCGAAAAUACACGUGAGUUCUUAUCCAUGCCAACUAUUUCAGACUCAGUUCUUGUUUAUGUAGAUUAUCUUUUGUUUCACUAAAAAUGGUUGUUCUUUGAUUGCGCUUGGAAUCACCACAUGGCAUUAGAAUAACUUGGAUAAAUCUCCUGAGAGUUUAGGAGUCAUAUAGAGUUAAUAUGAAUAUAUCAUUUUUGUGUCUUGAAUAGCCCUCGAGACUUUUUAAUCCGAGCAUGUUGUCAAAACUGAUAAUGUUGUGAAUGCAUUGUUUUGUGCCCCUACUAUUACAUGUUAUGAAAUCUCACAUCUGCUUCUUCCUUUCCUUGACACAUGUUUCUUUUCAUUUGUUGUGGCGGGUUUCUAUCAGAUCACAGAGCAGCUUAACAUCUGCUGAUUUUGGAAAGAAGACGUUUACGUUUUAUCAUAUCAAAAAUUCUUCCGAGGUAUUACUCUGCAUACUUUCCUCCCUCGCCUGAAUAUUUGACACCAAUCAAUCAAAACAUCAGGCUUUCCUCUCUGACAUGUCAAGUUUACAUUUUGCUAUUCUCAGUUGCGGAUGGAUGACAUUCCGGAGUUGCUGGAAGAAUACAAAACCCUUGUAAUCUGAUUGAGGAGCUCUGCCAUGAAACUCACAAGGAGAAUACAAAACUCAUCAAGUAGCUGCCAAGAAGAUCACCAAGAUUGCUAUCAGCAUUACCAUUGCAAACCACAAAGCUAAAAAGUCUCAAGAGAAUCACAUCUCUGAUAGACAACUAUGUGCAACUUCUUUUUAGCAAGAACAAAAAGAUACAACGUAUAUGUAAGACUUCCAUUAUCUCAACUUAAAUCCAUAUCUAAGCCUCUGCUCUUUUAUUUCUUGUUUGGGCUUUGAAAAUAGAUUGCUUUGCCUUGAAGCCAAUGCGAAAGUAAGGAAAAAAGUAGGCAAACUUCAUCUAUUAGACUUUGAAAUGGAUUACAACAACAACGGUACUCUUGAUAACUUAAACCACAGAGUUUCUGUCUGCUUAGACCCGUAUUGUCUUUCUCUAUCCCCUAAAACAACUCGAACUCAAGAUGAUCUCCCAUAGCUUUACAUUCAAGAUACCCAUUAGUAUUCCCUUUAGGAGAAGUUGCUUCCGUUGCACCAUUCUCAUAUACAUCAGGCAGCUCAGGCGGAAUGGCGCAGCGGAUGAGAGCCCAGUUCAAUCCUUCAAAGAAAGGAUGCCUCUUGAUCUCUGCAGCUCCUUUCUCCGACCCCAGACGGCUCUCUGGAUCCUUCAUCACCAACCUUCUGAUCAAAUCCUUUGCCUGGAAGCUCACAAGAGGGCUAUCAGGAAACUUGAGGUUCUGAAACACAACGUUGGACAACGUCUCCUCAUUGUCAUAACCUUUGAACGGUGUCUUCCCGUAUAAAAGCUCAUAGAGAAGAACCCCAAACGUCCACCAGUCUACUGCAGCACCAUGUCCUUCUCCUUUAAUGAUCUCUGGCGCCAAGUACUCGUGAGUUCCUACAAAAGAGUUUGACCUUGCUUCGGUUGACAUGUGUGUGUUGCAUACUUUAUUCUGAAGAAAUGAUUUUACCUUUUCUUUGUUAAUGAUUAAGUAGGUAGGUUGCAUGUGUGUGUUGCAUACUUUAUUCUAAAGCAUAUAUCAAAGUUUUCGUUGUUUUCAUGUGAAGCUAGCGUGUGUGUCUUCGAGUUGUGACGCCAUAUGCCCUUAGUAAGAAGAGAGAGAGAGAGAGGUUGGUUUGUUUUUGAAGGUAAGAAGUGUCCAUACCUAAGGUUGAGUUGCCGUGGCGACUGGCCCAAUAUAAAACCGCCCGGAUGCAGGGAUGAGCCAAGCUAGGUCCUCAAUUUUUUUGAAAACAUGCAUGUAUAUAUACAUAGGUUUCCAAAUUUAUAAAAUAGAAAUUUCAGGUCCUAAACUAUUGAAAGUUUUAAUAAAUCGUCUACGGCCCCCAAAAUUUCAGGGCCGGUGGUCCUGCUUGGACCAAAAGAGGAAUAUCUUAGUCUGUAUACUCCACUCUGUCUAUACAACUCGGCAACGUUCCGACCAGAGGCUAAGUUGUUUGAAGAUGUUCAGUUUAUGGACGUUAUGUUUGUGGUAUUUCCCAGGAGUUAUACUUUUCUUAAGUAUUACUCAACAGCAUCCUUACAAAAUUUUCUCAUUCUUGGAACUGCGUUGGAUGUGUCUUCUUUUCACCAUCGCCACUUAUGUGCUCUCAUGCAUGUUGACCAUUUUUUUGUGUGGGAAAAGGCAAUCAGACAAUACAAGUAAAUUGGUUAUGUCUUAUGGGAAAUGAGGAGACUUCCAUGGCAUUGGUUAGGCUUGUGGUAUUUUACUCUACCAUCUCUUCGCCAGUCUGGUGGAAGCAAAAGCAUUUAAAUGGAUGACUUGACGCCGUUGAUAUGAUUCAAUUCGUUUUGGUGUUUGGAGCGACAAGACCGUCGUGUUUCUUGAGCUGCCAUGUUCAACUGCAUUAUGGCCUCUGUGUAUCCACAUGAAUGUUGCCUCCAUGUACGACAUAUUACGGUCUUCAGUUGUGUGGCCUCUUUCUCACACGGACAUAACUGUACCGUUGGUAGUCUUUUCUUCUCAGUGGUUACAAAUUGAGCUACAGUAUGGAGUAUCUAAGAGAAAAUUCGAGGUUGUGCAUCGUCCACAAGUUGGUUCAGGCUGCUUAUUAGUGGCAAUUAUUGGUUGGAGAGGCUUUGCUUGUGAAUCAAGCAACUUGUUCGGAGAUUCUAACUCAGAUUUUGAACAUGUUUGUGUAGCAGCUAUAAAAUUUCUCAUAUUUUCUGUGUUUCCGUCGUCAACCACUAAGUUAUCCCUGGUUGUACGGGUUAUAACAAGAUCAGUACUGAAUCAUCAGCUCGUUUGUGGUGUUUUGAUAAAUAUUUUCAAGACAACACAACACCGAUUACCUAACAAGAACGCUCAUGAGAUUCUCUUUGCCGACGUAACGAGGUGCGUGUUUCUAGUGGGGUGGGAUCUUUUUUACUUGCUGGCAGUCUCAUACGAAAGUCUUCUGUUGGACCUUUUCGAACUGCGAAGUAAGGUGUCUAUCCUUACGUGUCCUCCAUCUCAAGGGUCUCCAGUGAGCUGUUUCAUGGUGUAUGAUGUAUUUCAAAUUGCGGAGUCUAUCUUUACUUCUCCACUAUGGGUUCACAAACAGAUUUUGUCCCUUCCUCCGACGUUACAAAUAGUGCCAUGGAUGUUCUUCUCUACCACUAUAUUCCACCUUGGGUUCUAUUGUGUCAUUUAUAAAGCACAAUUUGGAGCGCUCUCUUACAGUGACGUCAUGGUUGUGGCAUAAGGAUGCUAAUUUCAGGUCCAGAAUGAUUAAUAUAUUGAUCAUGGUUAACAGAAGCAUGUGUUUAUUUCCUUUGUGGAUCGUAUCGGGUUUACUUCUGCGAGGUCAAGUUGAGCAAGGAGAGGCACCAACGUGUACGCAUCAUCAUGGGAAAAGAAUUGAAUUUGUGGGUUCACAAUCUUUCUUACGAUGUAGGUUCAGGAAAAUCUAUGCAUUUCGUUCCCUAAGUCACACUAACAGCACACCGGCUUCACUAUAAAAUUCAAUUCAAAAUGGAUGACUUGCUUUCUACAAGGAUAGCCAAGAAUCAUUUUUCUCAUCAUGCAUAUCACACGCUUAUAGUUUCCACGAUAGGACCACUACAAGUAUUUGAGAAGUUGGAUGCUAAUGCAUGUCACCAGUUUUUAGUUCAUGCUGAGUUUCUUUGCUCUGGCGUGUUCACAAUAAUGUGCCAUGUUCUGUUGGUUGCGAAUGGUGGGCUUUACGAUUCGAGGACGAAUUUUUUCAACCCCGGAUGACCUUAUGCAGCGUAGCAUCUUAUUUCUAUUGAGCUUUUGGUUUUAUAGUUUCCUUUUAUUCUUGUUCUAGAUAAACAUUAGUAUUUUUACUAUUUAGAAAGAGAAUGAUUAAAGACUUUAAUUAGGAUAAAAAGUUAGAUACUAAUCCUUAAGGACUUAGGUUUUUUUCUUAUAGAUAUAAAUAAUGAGCUCUUGAUUUGUAAAAGUCACAACUUUUAAUUAUUGAUUUAUAAAAGAGCUUUGUGUUAAACAAUUCUUGAUUCCUUUUAUUUCUGGGCAUUCAUUGAGAAUUCAACAGAUGUUAAAAAGGCUAAAAUAACGAGUAUUCUCAGAAUUCGACGUUAACUUCGCAUUAUCAGUUACUACGUUUACUUCAGCUCCGUUACUAGACCCAUGGGAUGAUGAAGUUUGUCACUAUCAGUGUUCUAAAUAUCGGUCUAGGACUAAACAAAACUAUUUUUUCAGAACAAUUUUUUUUAAAAUCGGCCUAAGCGUUCAAAGAAUCGGUCUAAGUGUCCACCUAAACAAUAAUCUUCUAUAAAGCAUUUAACUACCGCCUAGAGGUGACUACUACCCCAGAGAUCACAAGCUUAUCUUCAUCAAGAUCUAUAUGCUGUUACUUAAAUGACUCAAAUUAAUUGUGUUAUUACUAGAAUGACUCAUAUUUUUCAAAAAUUAUUAGAAUAUUUUUCUGGUCGAAAUUGCCCUUAUCCAUAGUUAUAACAAAAAUAAAAUAUUACCAAAGUACCCUUACCAUUUGGUCGUCGGCAGAUUUAUUUUCAAAAAAAUAAAUCUAUCGAGUAAUAAAUCUGUUUAUAAAAUCUGUUUAGAAAAAUAAAUCUAUCGUUAAAGUGGUGUCAGACUUACUUAGAAACGUCAGAUUUAUUACCACGAUAGAGUUAAUUGUACGAUUUGGAUAGAAAACAGAUUUUUAAGAAUAUGUCUGGCGAAUGAAGUGGCAGAUUUGUUACAAAUGAUCGAUUUUUGUGGUCAACUUAUUUUCGUAUAUACCGACUUAUUUUCUUAUGUACGACUUGUUUUUUUAUGACAGAUUUAUAUAUCCGACUUAAAAUGGUUGGUAGACUUUUUAUUUUACGUGGUGGCAGACUUUUUGACAGAAAUCUUGGUUUGUAUAAACCAAACAUAAUUUAAUAAAUUAUAUCCGGUUUAUCUUAAUUUCGAAUCUGGUUUAUUUUUAGUGUUAUUCAGAUCAGAAUUAUGUCUAAUUUUUUUUGUUAUUGUCGUCAUCUCUUUCAUCCCUCUUUUCUUUUAUUAUCAAGUUGGCUUCCUUUGUACCAAAUGGCUUCCGUUGUUGCAGAGUUAUAGAGAGUUGAAGUCUCGGUAUACAUUAUAUAGGCUAAUUUUUUGAUCCCUUUCGUUCAUUCUACAGUAAAACUCGCCUGUCCUUUUGAGGUGGCUGAACUUGGACAAUGACCUUUGAAUGUCCAGAUAUUAAAAGUAACUACUGCACUAACUCUUGUUGCAGUCGCAUGAAUGGGUAUAAUUCUUUGUAGGAUUAUGUGAUUGAUGAUUCUGCACCAUCUGACCCAAAUAGCAAAUGUCAAUGCUCACUAUCACAAUUCGAUUGAUGGUGACUACUUCAUCAUGUCCUUGCAUAUCUUUAUUGAGUACCCACACUGAUUUUACUCUCUUAAAUUGCUCCGUUAUAUAAAAGUUGGAAUGAAAAUUAGUGUAUUAAAAGGGGAGAAAACAACCCCAUCAUGAUCAAACUUUAUUAGUAAAAGUAAAGUCAAAACCCUAAGUACAUGAAAUUUUUCUAGCUUUGCCGCCUUGGUAAGAGAUUGUUGAACCUCGUUUACUGCAUCACCGUUCUCGCAUAGCUCAGAGAAGUCGCUGUAUUUAACUCCUGCUUGCUCUGCCCCAUUUCUUUAAUGCUCCGUAUGAUGCUACAACAAGAGUUACACAGUAGCUGUUCAUUGGGUCUGUGUGUACCAUAAUGUUGUCAACGUAAUUACUUGAAACAAAGCUGCAUCUGCUUAACUUCCUUGUAAACCUCAUCGGUUUUUGAUUGAUUGUUGAAGUAACCUGCUGUUACACAGUUAUCACCUACCACAAUCUCCCCUCGAGGCAUUGGUUUGUCUGAAACAUCCCUGUAAUUCACGUAACAAAAACAAACUUACACACCAACCACAUUGAGUGAGUAAAUCAAAGCAUCCUCUCCUAAGGAAGCAUAGAUAGUAACGCCAAUUAUGUUCUGUCUGAAACAUCCCUAUAAUUCACAAACAAAAGCAAAUCAAUUUCAUCAGUUAAGUAACACACAAAACUCAAUCAAUUACCUGAAAGCGAUAAACCACUCAUCUCUAGAAGUAAGUUCUUUACAUCAAACAGUGAGAAAAAAAACACAAUAUGACUCAUAACCAAACUCUAUAAACCCGAGGUAAAGAAACACAAAUACUACAGGAAAAUAGAUGAGAAAAUUGGGAAAUUUAGGGCUUUUGAAAUCUAACACUCAUUCAAACAAUAAAUGAUAAGAACAUGAAACAAAAACUUAGUUGCAUUGAUUUAGGACUUACAGGUUCAAUUUUCUUAGAUUGAAAGGUGGAUUUUGACAAAAAAGUAAAAUCGGAUUUAGGGUUCUUUUUGUAUGACAGACGACAGCGAGUUGAGGUGGAGAUGACGAAACGGAAGGAGCCUGUCCCAGAGGAGAGUUCACCGGAGACGGAAGUGAAGAGAACCCUCCUUCGUCUUCGACGUUUCUUUCGUCGGAGAGGAUAACGAGAGAUUGAGGAUUCUUUUUAGGGGAAAAUAAAAUAAUUAUCUAAUAUGAAAAGAAAUUUCAAAAAAAAAAACCAAAAAAAAAAGUGAAUAUGAAAAGGAAGGAUGGGUUUUUAGUACUUUCAUUAGUCAUAUGAGUUAGUCUAGUAAUUGCAAAAGUUGAUGAGUUAUUCUAGUCAUUUCAAGUAUAAUCUGAGUCAUUAUAAGUAAUUUCUCUUUUUUUAAUGAUAAACAUUUGAGUGAGAACCUUUGGCUCCUUCCAUGGUGAGCCCUGAAUUCUCAGAAAGAAAUUUCCCUGCAAAAAGGGUAUAUGUAACAAAAAGGGUAUAUGUAACAAAAACGGUAUAUGUAACAGAAAUAAUCCUUCUAAUCUGAUUCAUGAGCUUUUACCAUGAAACUCGGAAAGAGAAUACAAAAACCCUUCUAAACUCAUCAAGUAGCAGCCAAGAAGAUCACCAAGAUUGCUAUCAGCAUUACCAUUGCAAACAACAAAGCUAAAAAGUCUCAAGAGAAUCAUCUCUGAUAGACAACAAGAUAUGUACAACUUCUUUUUAGUCAAGUACAAAACGAUAUACCCAUAUGUAAAAUUUUCAUUAUAUCUACUUAAAUCCAUAUCUCAGCGUCUGCUCUCUUUUUUCUCUUGUUUAGGCUCUUGCCUUUUGCUUUGAAAAUAGAUUGCUUCGCCUUGAAGACAAUGGGAAAGUAAAGAAAAAGAGAGGCAAAAUUUACCUCUUAUACUUAGAAAUGGAUUACUACAACAACAGCGGUACGUACUAUUGAUAACUUAAACCAAAUAGUUUCUGUCUGCAGAGAGUAGAGACCCUUAUUGUCUUUCUCUAUCCCCUAAAACAACUGGAACUCAAGAUGAUCUCCCAUGGCUUUACAUUCAAGAUAACCAUUACUAUUCCCUUUAGGAGACUUUGCUUCCGUUGCACCAUUCUCAUAGACAUCAGGCAGCUCAGGGGGGAUGGCGCAGCGGAUGAGAGCCCAGUUCAAUCCUUCAAAGAAUGGAUGCCUCUUGAUCUCUGCAACUCCUUUCUCUGACCCCAGACGGCUCUCCGGAUCCUUCAUCACCAACCUUCUGAUUAAAUUCUUUGCCUGGAAGCUCACAAGAGGGCUAUCAGGAAACUUGAGGUUCUGAAACACAACGAUGGACAAUAUGUGUCCUCAUUGUCGUAACCUUUAAACGGCGUCUUCCAAUAUAAAAGCUCAUAGAGAAGAACCCCAAACGUCCACCAGUCUACUGCAGCACCAUGUCCUUCUCCUUUAAUGAUCUCCGGUGCCAAGUACUCGUGCGUUCCUACAAAAGAGUUUGAUCUUGCUUCGGUUGGUUCAGCCACAAGCUGAGGCAAUGAUCUGAGUGGGUCAAAAGAUCAGGUCUUCUCUGUUUUCUUGGUUUUGCAUUUCUAGCUUGCGUUGACAAGAGCCUAGGGCUGAUCAUAACAAAAAAACUUAAAAAUUAGGUAGCUCUAAAACACUUCUGAUCAUAACAAAAAGUAAGAUCUAAACCACACUUAAUUUUUACCGAUCUUUGGUAUGAGGAACUGGAGAAAAAUUCCAGAGAGACUAAGGAAGUAGGACAUGCAGAUUCCGGAGAUUCAGGAGAUAUGAUAUUUUGGUGUCAAGGGCACGAAGCAUCAACCUUGUCAGCGUGUAGUAGUAGUAGAACCAGAAGAAAUUGGCCACUGUCCAGUCGUAUCCUAUCAUUGAGUAAAGGAUUAUAGUAUGUAAACUCUAGUUUGUACGGUGUUAUAUACUACAUGAUCUAACAACUUUGUCUAUAUUAUCAAUUUUCCUAAUUAAUUAUUUCUAACAAAAAUAUAACUUUUAAAUAUUUUGGAAGUUGAAAUUAAGGUAGAAAUUUUGUACCAAAGCGAAGGAAGGAUAUGGGAGAAUUAUUUGCCUUGCGAAAAGUCAUUAUCGCUACAGACUAGAAAACUCACAUAUUUUCUUUUUAUUCAAAAUUAGAACCACAGAUGGCAGUCAAUAUAGACUGUUGAUAAGAUUGACUUGGAGUCUACUCUUUCAUUGCCACUUAUAUCUCUUCUUCCAAAGAACCUCUCUAAGCAAGUUGCAGAGAGCUGUUUCAUGAAAGGUAAAUCAUAUUCUUAUAUCAUUAUUUGUCUGUUUAACUUGAUUUGAUCUGUCUUUUGGGCUCUGUUGUGGUUGAAUCUGAUUUUAAAAACAAAAAUUCGUUGGAUUGUUAGAACUCAUUUUUUUUUACGAAUUUAAAGCAUUUAAUCAUCAAAUCUUGUUAUAAAUUGUUUGAAUAAAAGUGAGUUAAGUUCAGUUCCUCUGGCAGGUAUCAUGUUUUAUUAGAUCAACCAAGGAUUAUCAUAAACGGUUUUAAAUCUUACUACAAGGUUUGAAUAGUGAUGGCUGACGGAGUUGUGUCGUUUGGAGUGGAGAAACUCUGGGAUCUCCUCAGUCGAGAAUCAGAGAGACUGCAGGGAGUUCAUGAGAAAGUUGAUGAUCUAAAAUGUCAGAUGAGAAUGUUACAGUCAUUGUUGGAAGAUGCAGAUGCCAAGAGAUAUGAGAGUAAAGUAGUGAGAAGCUUCUUGGAAGAUGUCAAAGACAUUGUUUUUGAUGCUGAAGAUAUAAUUGAAUCCUUUCUUUUGAAAGAAUCUAGCGGUGACGAAAAAGGGAUCAAGAGGCAUCUGAAAAGACUUUCUUGUUUCUUAGUGGAUCGCCGAGAUAUUUCUAUGGAAAUUGAAGGCAUAACUAAGAGAAUGUCUAAGGUGGUUGUGCAAAUGCAGGUGUUUGGAAUACAACAGAUCAUCUACAGAUCACUGUCUUUACAAGAGAGACAAAGACCAAGGGAGAAUCCACAAACAUAUCCAAAGACAUCUCAAAAGGAUCUUGUGGGGGUGGAACAAAGUGUUAAUGAAUUGGUUGGUCAUUUGGUGGAGAAUGAUAGCAUCCAAGUAGUUUCCAUAUCUGGGAUGGGUGGUAUUGGAAAAACCACUCUUGCGAGACAAGUUCUUCAUCAUGACAUUGUUCGAAGUCAUUUUGUUGAUGGAUUCGCAUGGAUCUGCGUUUCUCAGGAAUUUAAGAAGAAGGAUAUUUGGCAAAAGUUAUUGCGAGACCUUAGACCACAUGAUACGGGGAUUGAACAAAUGAAUGAGGAUACACUCCAGGCUAAGAUCUUUCAAUUGUUGGAAACAUCUAAAUACUUAAUUGUCAUGGAUGAUGUAUGGAAAACAGAAGAUUGGGAUGUAAUAAAAGACGUUUUCCCCCAAGAAAGAAGAGGUGAGCUCUCUAAAUUGUACAUACAUUACGUAAGUACUUCCCAUAGAUAUUUCAUAAAAUGCCUUUCAGUCCCUGAAAUGAAAGGAAAUACAAUUGCAGGUUGGAAGAUGAUUCUUACUUCACGCGAUGAAGGUGUUGGUUUGCAUGCAGACCCAACAUGUUUUCCUUUUAGACCAAAACCACUUACUCCCGAAGAAAGUUGGAAGCUAUGUGAGAGCAUAGCAUUCCCUAGAAAAGAGAUCACGGGUACGUUUUUAUAUAAGAAUCAUGUGAAUCUCUUACGGCCUUCUUAUCAAAAAUCUUGUGUACUAAUUCCUAAAUUAUCAUCUGGGAUACAUAUAUAUAUCUAUACUAUUAUUUAUGAAGUGAUUUACAUUAUUUGUCAUGAUUUUAAGUAAUUUUGCUUAUUUGUCAUGUUUUAAUUAGGUUUAAGAUGAGUCAUUAUCUAUAAAUAGUUUUAAAAUAAUUUAGCUUAUUUGUCAUGAUUUCCAUGAUUUAAGAUAAUUUUGCUUAUUUGUCAUGUUUUAAUUAGGUUUAAGAUGAGUCAUUAAUUUUAAUAAUUAUAACUAGAUAUGUCUUUUUCAGCUUCUGUUUGUUCUUUUGUGUAAUAAAUUAAUAACAGAAACAUCGACUCCAUCUAAGUGUACCGCAAUAUCUAAGUGUAUUACUCCAUAAUGAUCAUGUACAUUCAAGUUAAAUUAAUAAAAUGUCGUUAUAAAAAAAAAAUUAAUAACAGAAACUAAAAACUAAUUUUAAUAAUUUUAACUGAGUCAUUAAUUUAUUAAUUUAAAUAAUACAACUAUUUCAAGAUUUAUAAUUAGAUACAUAUAUUUUUUAAAAAAAAUUGUAACUUUGAAUAGUUAUGAUCAAUUCUUAUUAUUCUAUUAUAAAAUCAUAUUUGUUACUGGAUAAUUUUAAAUCAUAUUUGUUACUAAAUGUGGAACAUAAUCUAUCUUUUAAUAUAGUUUAUAGCUUAAUGAUAGUGUAGAUAAUGUGUAAGUGAUAUUUCUCUUAGUCUAGGUCGUAUUAUAGUUAUAGUAGUAUUUAAAUGCUAAUAUAUAGAAUUAUGAUGCCGACUUUAUCUUGGUAUCUAUUUUAAUAAUCUAUUAUUAUAAUUUGCCGACUCUAUGCUAUGAUUGUAUAUAUUCUCAUCAUACGUUUGAUGGAAAUACACACAAAAUUUACAAAAUUUUAUCUUUAAAUAAUAUGAAGUGUGUAUUUUCUACUAUCCACACUUCAAACGUUGUCUUUUGGAAAAAGAAACAUGUUUCACUUUUUCUUAUUGGAGAUAUUGCGUCGGCUAAAUAUUGCUAUAAAAUUAGGUAAACAUGUUGAUACUUAAGAAUCAUGAAAAAAUCAAAAUUUGUUUCAACUGAAUUGGUGUUGGUAGAUAUCCAUCGUAAAUAUUAAUUUAUUUCAUUAUUGAUUCACAUUAAUUAUACGAUUUAGUGUUAGUCAAUUAUUUUGAAAUUUAUUUUUUUAGGGAACUAGGGACUCAUGCUUAUAUUGAUAAAUGUUCUUUUGGCGACUUGUCUUUUGGUAAUUUCCGAUCUAAGUUAUGUCAAAGAAAUUAUUUUAUUCAGCAUAAUUUCACUUCUGGUGAUUAGACCAUAAAAUAUAAAAUGCCUCCUCCUCUGCUUUUUAAGAUAUAUUUCUAUAGAAUAACUAAAAUCAUACCUUGUGAUGAUUUUUCAAAAGAGUUAAAAAUAAUUAUAAAAAUACUAAAACAUAUUUAUUCAAUAAAACAAUAUAAAUACAAAAAUAAAAAUUAUUCAAUAAAAAUUUUUAAUUGGAAUUAUAAAAAUACUAAAAUAUAUUUAUUAUAUUUUAAUUAAUAUUAUAAAAUUUUAAAAUAAAAAUAUUUUCUAUUAUCUAAAAAAUAAACUAUAACUUUCUAAAUAUAAUUUUAAUAUUUAUUAGAAUAUUAUGAUUUUUGAUAUUUUUAUAAUUGUAUAAAAUAUAAAUAUUGUUAAUUUAUUAUUUAAUUGAUGUUGCAUUUGGUAGUUAACCAGUCAUAAAUAUCUCGCAAACGCACCAAUUUCUAACAGUAGAUCCAGUCGUACAAAUCUCUUAAACCCGCUAGUAACCGCAGCCACCCGCAUCCGCAAACUCUCGCAACCGCAACCGCUGCGUUUGAAGCAGUCAUGCCCUGAAUCUAAUAACUCAAUGACCGGAAAAUAAUUAGAUCCAAAUCUAGACUGUGUUUAAAACAUUAAUUAAACCUUAAUUCAUUCCCAUUAAUUUGUGUGGUGAAAAUAAUACUUAUUAUAGUAUCAAUAUUACUGUUUCCAAAUGACAUAAUAUUUAUUUAUUGGACUUCAUAAGGUAGUGACAGUUUGUAAUAUUGAAAGGAUCACUGAUUUUAGUAGUAGUUACAAAAUUAUUUUAUUAGUAACGUUCGUAUAUGACAGAAUUGCAUCCGAAAAUUUUGGAAUAAAAGUGGAAGUUACAAAAUUAUUUUAUCAAGGUGGUUAUAUGAUAUAUUUAGAUAAUCAAUUAGAUGAAGUUAUAUUUUAAGUUGGACUCAACUAUUAUCAAUAGAACAUGAUUCUAAUUUAAUAGUAUUGAUUAGAAUCUUUGAUUUAUAUAGUCCCAACCGUUACUUUAUGCAUGUGUUAUUUAGGAGAGUUAUUGGUAAGUGAAUUCUUAUGAACUUUGAAAAUUUUGAAAUUUCAUUAUUAUUGGGUUUUGAAUUUCAAAUAUCUUAAUAGAAUCCGUUGUUAUUGGUUUUUAAAAAAAUUCAAAAUCCAUUCCAAUUAUUUGUUAUUCAAAAAGUUUAGUUAUUAUUGAUUCUCUAAUUCUACCUAAAUUCAGUGUUAUUGAGAGAUGAAUUUUAUUCAAUUUUAUUCAUAAGAUUCAACUAUCAAAAUAUCAUAUGUAUCCAUUUGAUUUUCCAAAUCCAUGUGACAAAAAUCUAAAAAAUAAAAUAAUUAUUCUUACCAAUUAUCUAUUGAACCUUAAAUCCAAAUUAUAUGUCCAAACUAUAAUUAAUUACAUUUAUAUACUUUUAAAUUUUUGAAUAUAUAAUUAUUUUUAUAAAUAUUAUAAUUUUUAAUAUAAAUAUUAAUAAUUACAUUUAUAAAUAUUAACAAGUUUUAAUAUAAUUUUUUAAAAACAGUUUCGAAAACCAUUUUCAAAUUUAUAAAAAGUUCAAAUUUGAAAACAUAUAACCCGAAAUUAUAAAACAAAACUUUUUAUUUUUUUUAUUUUUAUUACUUAUAUAUAAAGCAAAGGGAAAAAUAGUUUUUUUGUCCUUUUAAUGAAACUUCUUUUGGUCAUUUUCCUUUUUGAAUGUUUUUUUGUGACAAAAACUCAAAAAUGAUUAUUUAAGAAAAUUGUACUAUUUUGUAUGUAUCACUAUUAUUUUCUUUUUAAUUUGAAGAAAAAUUAAAUAAUCAUGCUAUAUGAUUUAGAAAAUAUAUAAAUUAUAUAUUUACUUUACAAAAAAAAUUAUAGAAAACAGGUAAUACAAAUUCAUGAAAAUAUUUUCCAAUCUAAAAAAUUUAUUAUCAAAUUUCAUAAGUCAAUGUAUUUAAAUUUUUACAAUCCACAUAACUUUUAAAAAUCUAUCAACUCCAUGGAUGGAUGGAUGGAUGUAUUUGCGAAGUGAUUUUUUGCGAAGUGUUUUUUUGCAACAGAGUUCUCACGUUAAAAGUUAGAGUGGUAAAUAUUGUUUAUACCCUUAAUAAAUAAAAUAUAUAUCAGCGAAGUGAUUUUUUCCUUAGAUAAUUAUUUAAACUAAUAGUAAGAGUUAUCCAAAAUCUAAAAAGAAAAAGAUAAUUCUUAUAAAUAUUGUGUUGUUAUCUGAAAAAAAUCAUUUAAUAAAAAGUUCAGAGUUAAAAAAUUGGAAAACACAUAACUAAAUAUAUUAAUCAAGUAAAUGCUUAAUUUUAUAUAAUUGAAAAGAGCAUUGAGUGAUUUCUAAAAUUCAUUUAUUAAUAAUUAAUGAAUAUAGUGUCUAUGGAAAUUUUCGAAAAUUAUAAUACAUAAAAAUAUUCAAAUGAAAAAAUAAAUAAUAAUUUAUCAUUAUAGUAUUCUAAUUAUUAAUACAUAUAUUAAUAAAUAAUUAUAAAAUACUUAUGUCUACAGACGAAACACCUAGUAAUAGUAUAAUACACAAGUUUAGCAAUAUGAACUUCAUAUUGUAAGUAUGGCCAGCUUUUGAGGGAGGCAGUCAGUGCGAGCACUCCGCGGCCUGUUUCAAAUCAUGUUAUGUUAAGGGCCUUAAUUUUUCUUUAUAGCAUGCUUGGUUUAAAUUUGGAUCGUAUAAAAACAUAAGAUUACUGAAUUUUCUAACUAAGAAAUCAAGUAUAAAUUUUUGCUUGAUGUUAUGUGUAAGUUGAAAAGUUAAAGAAACACACAAUUUUAAAAACAGACUAGUUAUGGGCCUCAAAAUUUUGUUUUGCCCAGGGGCCUGAUUGUAAGUGAUCGUAAAUGUUCGAAACAAAAAAAAUGGUAAUAAUACAAACUGACGUAAAAUAUAAAAUACUAAGUAAACUAUUAAAAGAGGCCAUUAUAAAACUCCGGAUAAUCACUAAGUUAGAAAAAAUAUAUAUAAUUCUUUUUAAUUUAUAAAAUUAAUUAUAGAUUAAAAGUAUCAAUGACUUUAGUCGCCAUAACUUUUAACAUAAGAGUUCAGAGGUAAAAAAAUCACAAGUUUAGCAAUACAAACUUCAAAACAAAAAAUAAAAGUGGUAGUAAUACAAACUGACGUAAAUAUAAAAUACUAAGUAAACUAUAAAAGGGGCCAUCAUAAAAUUAACAUUUUUCCAGAUAAUCAUUAAGUUAGAAAAUCUAUAUAAUUCCUUUUACUUUAUAAAACUAAUUAUAGAUUAAAGAUAGCAAUGACUUUAGUCGCUAUAACUUUUAACAUGAGAGUUCAGAGGUAAAAAAUUACAAGUUUAACAAUAUAAACUUCAUAUUGUAAGUGAACAUAAAUGUUCAAAAAAAGAAGUGGUAGUAAUACAAACUGAUGUAAAGUAUAAAAUACUAAGUAAACUAUGAAAGAAACCAUCAUAAAAACUAACAAUUCUCCAGAUAAUCAUCUUAGAAAAUAUAUAUAACUAGGUUAAGAUCCGCGCCUUGCGCGGAAUGAAUAUUAUAUAUAAAUUAUUUUUAAGUAUUAUCUAUUUUUUACAUAUUAUGAAAUAAUAAAUAUACAUUAAUAAUUAAAAAUUUAGUAACUAUUACAUAUAUAUAAUUAAAUUGGUACAAAUACUUAAAUAAAUUUUAUUAAUCCAGACAAACAUUUUUUUAUAUUUUAUAUGAUAUAAAAUUAAUUUUAAAUGAUAUUAAGAUAUAUAGUACAUUUUUAACAUUGACAUCUGUUAAAAAAUAUUUUAUACUCAUAUUAUUUUUGAUCACUUGUAUUACUUUAUAACAAAUAUUUUUAAUCAAUGAUAAUAAUUAAAAAAAUUGUGGGAUGUUUAAUAGUUUUAGUAAUUCAUAAUUUUAAAAACAAUCCAUGCAAAAUUUAAAAUCUUAAUUUUAAGUUGUCAAUAAUUGUUCAAAAUGUUUAUCAAAAGAAUUCAAAACAAAUUCGAAAUUAAAACAAAUAUGUAUUUUAUAUGGUAUAUAAUUUAUUUUUGAAAAAUAUUAAUAUACAUAUAUAUAUAAUAUUUAUUAUAUGAGAUUUCCUAUUUAUGUAAUUUUGUAAUCAUUUGUAUCUUGUUAUAACAUAAAUUUUAAACCAUGGAUCACAAAAAUUUUAAUGUGAUUUUUUUAACAACUUUAGCCAUUUGUAUUCGUUUUUUAAAAUUCAAAAUAUAACAUAUACGAAAAAAUCUAAAUUUUUCUUAUAUAGUUAAUGUGGUUGUUUAAUUUAUUUUAAUAAGUUAAAAUUUUAAAAAAUGAUAGAAAAUAGACUAAAUUUUAUCAAAUCUUUAUUAUUCAAAAUCAUUAAUUGUCAUAUAUAUACUUUAGCCACAUUAGGUAAUUCCGUGAUUUUUAUUUAAGGAAACAAUGAAGAACAUUUAUGAUUAAUUUAUGGUUAGUUUAAUAAAAAGCUUAUUAUAUAUUUCUAUGGACCAACAUAUUUUUCUAAAGAUUCUAAGAAUGAUUGUGGUGAAGACAUGUGGCUACAAAAUAUGUUGUAAUGCUUCUCUUUUAAUAUAUAGGGGAUUCCUUUUAAUUUAUAAAAUUCAUUAUAGAUUAAAGGUCAACAACUUUAGUCGCUCUAACGGAUGAGAGAUCAAAAGUAAAAACAUCACAUCGCUAAUAAUAGUAUAAACUAGCUUUUGACCCGCGCUUUCAAAGCUCGAGUUUAUUUUUUAUUUUUUUCAAUUGACAAAUAUUUAGUAAAUGUCAGAUUUUCAUAUAUUUGUGUUUUAUUUUAUAAAAUACUUAAACUUUUUAUCUUUAUUUAUCGUAUUUCAUUUUAAAUGACUAUUUAUGUCUAAAAAAUAAACUUUAUUUCUUUAAUGAAUUAAGUUGGUAUAACUCUGAUAAAUUAAUUUUAUUAUGUGGCUAAUAUUUUAAUUAAAAUAAUUAUAUACUUUUAAUAAAGAUUUAUACUUUUCAACUUCAAAAUUCAAUUUUUUUUAUGAAUGCUUAAAUUAUAUUAAGAAAAAAUAAUAAUAAUUAAGAAUAGUUGAAAAAAAAAUUAUUUGAACUUGGACUCAAUGGCCCAAAAGAAAAAAAAAAUGUGAGAAUUGAAUUUGAUUUCUUAAUCGGCCCAAAUGGCCCAAGAGAGAUCUGAUGUGGGCUGGAUCAGAAAAUAAUGACCCAAUAUAGAUGUGUUAUUAAUAUUACUUGAUUGCCCUUAAUGAAAAAUGCAAUGUUAGUAAAAGAAAAGACAGGCUAAGGUAAAAAGAACAAUAUGAUCUUGCUUUAAUAGUAUAGACUAGAUUUUGACCCGCGCCUUCAAAGCGCGUGUUUAUUAUUAUUAUUAUUUUCAAUAGACAAAUAUUUAGUAAAUGUUAUAUUUUCAUAUAUUUAUGUUUAUUUUAUAAAAGACUUAAAAUUUUUAUCUUUAUUUAUCAUAUUUCAUUUUAAAUGAAUAUUUAUGUUAAAAAAUAAACUUUAUUUGUUUAAUGAAUUAAGUUGGUAACUCUGAUAAAUUAAUUUUAUUAUGUAGUUAAUUUUUUAAUAAAAAAUAUAUAUAUAUAUAUAUAUAUUUUUCAAUGAAAAAAACAAUUUUUUUUUAUGAAUGCUUAAAUUAUAUUAAGAAAAGAAAAAAAUAAUAAUAAUUAAGGAUAGUUGAAAAAAAUUAUUUGAACUUGGACUCAAUAGCCCAAAGGAAAAAAAAUGUGAGAAUUGGAUUUGAUUUCUUAAUCGGUCCAAAUGGUUCAAUAGAGAUUUGAUGUGGGCUGGAUCCAAAAUAAAUGACUCAAUAUAGAUGAGUUAUUAAUAUUACUUGAUUACCCUUAAUGAAACAUGCAAUGUUAAUAAAGAAAAUGACAGAUUAAGGUAAUUUUUAAAAUAGGAUCCUGCUUUAAUAGUAUAGAUAGAUAGAUAUAUUAUAAUUUUUUGAAAAUUUGAAAAGACUAGACACAUAUACUAUUUCAAGACUCUAAUCUAUAAUAUGCGUUACUGUCAGAAUUUAAUGUUGAUGAAGAACUAGAAGCCAUGGGUAAGAAAAUGGUCAAAUAUUGUGGAGGACUACCAUUAGCCGUUAAAGUGCUGGGAGGCUUGUUAGCUAAUAAAACCAUGGUUGAAGAGUGGAAAAGAGUAGAUGACAAUAUUAAAACUCAGAUAGUUCGCAUAGAUGACAAAAAUCAAGAUUCGGUUUACCGAGUAUUGUCUAUGAGCUAUGAAGAUUUGCCAAUGCAGUUGAAGAAUUGCUUCCUCUACCUAGCUCAUUUUCCAGAAGAUUACAAGAUAGAAGCAGAGCAAUUGUAUUAUUACUGGGAAGCAGAAGGAAUAAUAACGUCAAGUGUCGAUGGAGAAACCACUAGGAAAAUUGGAGAAGACUACAUAGAGGAGCUAGUAAGGAGAAAUAUGAUUAUUGGAGUAAAAGAUGAUUUGAGUUGCAGAUGGGAGUAUUGUCAAAUGCAUGACAUGAUGAGAGAAGUAUGUUUAUAUAAAGCCAAAGAAGAGAACUUUCUGCAGUUUAUCAAAGUACCUACUUCUUCCACCUCUACCAUCAGUGCACAUACUCCUACCAGAUCUCGCAGACUCGCAGUAUAUGGCGGUGAUACGCUGGGAUGUAAAAACAAUAAAAAAGUUAGAUCUGUUUUGGGGUUUGGACUCGACAGCAACUUGUGGAAGCAGUCAGGUCAAGGACUCAGAAAUUUACAAUUACUUAGGGUCUUACAUCUGAGUUUAGAUUAUAAAAGCGACUCUAGAGGAGGGAGAAUACCAUCAAGCAUUGGAAAGCUCAUUCAUUUGAGAUAUUUGAGCUUAGACAUGGGUUGGGGAACUCAUGUACCUUCUUCUUUACAGAAUCUAAAGCUUCUAAUCUAUUUUAGUAUUUUCUCCUGGGAAAUAGUUCAACUGCCAAGU
rnacentral:lncRNA from 1 species